rnacentral:lncRNA from 1 species
GAGUGUGUAUACUUGAAACAUAUUGUGCACACCGGCAAGCCUUGGUUGUAUUGUUAGUCGAUAUGCAAGGAUCCCGCGCAUUCCAAAACUCAUACUGUAAGGAAGUGAAUUCUCGAAACUCGAGGAUUAGACUUCGAUCAGAAUCGACUAGUUGUCGAGUGUGUAAGCUUCGGAAAGUCCGAAGGUGAUUAUAAUGCAUAAAGUGCAUUAAAGAAGGGUCCGCGGGAGCACUAGUGCAAAACUUGCACUGGAGCAGAAAUGCUCUCGGGGACCCGUCCCUGGCAAGGAGGGACCGGUCCCAUCAGGCUGGGUUGCGUAGGUCUCUGAUGAGACCGGUCCCUAUAGGCAGGGACCGGUUCCCGAACGUUAGCCCAGCGAAAAUAGCCGAAAUUUGGCUAAGUCCCGAAAACUUAGCUUUCGGGAACCGGUCUCUCGGACAAGGACCGGUCUCCCGGGGACCGGUCUCUCAGGCAAGGACCGGUUCCCGAAUACGAAAACCCCUCUGCUCGAGAUGGCAGCCUUCGGGGACCGGUCUUCCCGAGCUGGGACCGGUCCCUCACUGCGAAAAUGCCCAGAGAGGGCUGAUUCUAAGGAUGAAAAGUUGAGGGGGCUAAUUGCAAAAUGGCCUUUAAUAGAGGUGGGGGAUCCCUCUCUUUCCCUCAUUGCUCUCUAACUCUCUCACUCUUUCCCUCUCUCUCUCUAGCAAGAAAAGAAAGAGAAGAAAGAGAAGAAGGAGAAGAAGGAAAAGAGGAAGAAGUAGAAGGAGAAGUCCAAGAAGAAGAAGGAGAAGGUCUUCUUCCCUCUCUCCUUCAACCUAGAGCGAGCUUGGAGCUUGGCUUAGAGGUAAGCUCCAAACCCAUCCAUGGUAGAUUUCUUAGGAUUGGGUUUUAUUGCUUAGAAUUGGUUCAAAUGGAACCUAGAGGAGAUAAGUAGAUGGUUCGGGCUCGCAAUCGAAGCUCGCACCACGGAUUUCUCCCUCGUUGCCAUUCUAGGGCAUGGAAUUGGGAUUUUUGGAAAUCUAGGGUUUUGAUCUAGUUUAAUGGGUCGCAAACCUAAUUGCUAGGUCCCGGAAUGCGUCGGCGAAGACGGUUUCUCGAUCCGACGAGCGGGUGCGAAGAAAUUGCCAAAUCGGGUACUUGAGGGCUCGCUUCGCCCCGAGGAGUUAAAGCGGCGUGCAAAGACCGCAACGUCGAGUUUUCUAUCAUCACGAUAUCGCCAAGAGGUGGGUGGUGUCCAUCCCGAAGCAAUCGGGCUCCCUUCUAUGUCUUAGUACAUGUCGACCCUUGCAUCUUGUAUUAUUGCAUUAUAGGAUGAUUGUGCAUUGCCUUUCCUUAUGCUUUUCUUGAUGAUAUCGUAGCAUGUAUUGGAUACUUGACAUAGUAGUGGAUCGAUAAGGAUUGGGUCGAGACUUGUGAAUCCUAUAGUGCAAAGAAAGAGAUGGGCUCGACGGUUGGUCUAAUGUUAAACAAAGAACGAGUGGCAUCUAGUUGAUAGCAAACAAAUGAACGAGUGGCAUUUAGUUGAUAGUAAGCAAAAGAACAAAUGACACAAAUGAGUCGUAGUGUAUGUGAAACCUAUGGACUAUAUGAUGAUUGUAACCCUAGAGGAUAGGGUAUUCUCGAGAUGAGGAUUGGAUUAUGCUCACGGUCUGUUUUAAAUCUUGUGAUGGAAGCCCCACACAAGUAGUGCNUGUAAGGAAGUGAAUUCUCGAAACUCGAGGAUUAGACUUCGAUUAGAAUCGACUAGUGGUCGAGUGUGUAAUCUUCGGAAAGUCCGAAGGUGAUCUUAAUGCGUAAAGUGCAUUAAGGAGAGGCCCGCGAGAGCACCAGUGCAAAACUUGCACUGGAGCAGAAAUGCUCUCGGGGACCUGUCCCUGGCAGGAAGGGACCGGUUCCAUCAGGCUGGGCUGCGGGGGUCUCUGAUGAGACCGGUCCCUGGUGGUGAGGGACCGGUUCCCGAACGUUGGCCCAGCGAAAAUAGCCGAAAUUUGGCUAAGUCCCGAAAAUUCAGCUUUCGGGAACCGGUCUCUCGGACAAGGACCGGUCUCCCGGGGACCGGUCUCUCAAGCAAGAACCGGUUCCCGAACGCGAAAUCCCUUCUGCUUGAAAUGGCAGCCUUCGGGGACCGGUCUUCCCGAGCUGGGACCGGUCCCUCACUCCGAAAAUGGCCAGGGAGGGCUGUUGCAGGGAAUGAAAAGUUGAGGGGGCUAACUGCAAGAUGGCCUUUAAUAGAGGUGGGGGAUUCCUCUCUUUCCCUCAUUGCUCUCUAACUCUCUCACUCUUUCCUCUCUCUCUAGGAAAGAAAAGAAAAGAAAGAAGGAAAGAAAGAAGAAGAAGAGGAAGGAGAAGAAGGGAAGAAAGAAGAAGAAAGAGAAGGAGAAGACUAAGAAGAAGAGGAAAGUCAUCUUCUCUCCCUCUCCCUCAAGCUUGGAGCUUAGGUUAGAGGUAAGCUUCCAACCCUUUAAUGGAAAUUCUAGGGUUUUGGGUUUUUAUGGUUUAGAAUUGGUUCAAAUGGAACCUAUUGGGAAUAAAUAGAUGGUUCGAGCUCAAAAUCGAAGCUCGCACCAUGGAUUUCCCUCUCGUCGCCAUUCUAGGGCACGGAUUGGGAUUUUGGGAAAUUUAGGGUUUUGAUCUAUCUUAAUAGGUCGUAAACCAAAUUGCUAGGUCUCGAAACGCGUCGGCGAAGACGGUUUGCCGAUCCGACGAGCGGGUGCGGAGUUAUCGCCGAAUCGGGUACUCGAGGGCUCGCUUUGCCCCGAGGAGUUUAAGCGGCGUGCAAGAACCGCAACGUCGAGCUUUCUACUAUCGCGGCAUCGCCAAGAGGUGGGUGGUGUCCAUCCCGAAGCAAUCGGGCUCCCUCCUAUGUCUUAGUACAUUUCGAUUCUGCAUCUUGUAUUAUUGCAUUAUAGGAUAUUAUGCAUUGCCUUUCCUUAUGCCUUCCUUGAUGAUAUCGUAGCAUGCAUUGAAUAUUUGAUAUAGGGGAUUGAUAAGGAUUGGGUCGAGAUUGUGAAUCCUAUAGUGCAGAGAAAGUGAUGGGCUCAACAGUCGGUCUAAUGAUGAACAAAGAACGAGUGGCAUCUAGUCGAUAGUAAACAAAUAAACGAGUGGCAUUUGGUUGAUAGUAAGCAAAAGAACAAUGAUACCUAUGAGUCGUAGUGUAUGCGAAACCUAUGGACUAUAUGAUGAUUGUAACCCUAGAGGAUAGGGUAUUCUCGAGACGAGGAUUGGAUCAUGCUCACGGCCUGUUUUAAAUCUUGUGAUGGAAGCCCCACACAAGUAGUGCGCUCCGGAUGUUGGUCACGCCAGGGAUUGCCUAUAUGGCCCCGCCAGACGGUCUCGGGUCCGUAGUGUGAGUUGAUUCUCCCUACGUGUCGAGAUGGCUAGUGAGCUGUAGGCGAGCCUUCGGGUAAGCCAUGAGAUUAAUGGACAAGUAAAUGAGGUUAAUGAACGAGUAAAUAGCUUUUUGCCUUUGGACAUGAUAAUGGGUUAGUUGUUUAUCUAUUUCCUUGUACAUGCAUUCAUAUAUUAUGAUUGGGCAUAGUAGCGUAGCUUCAUUCCGUCAUUUACAGCUUUCCUUAUUUAUCUAUCCAUCUAUUGGUAUAUCUACUUGUGCCCGCUUGGACCUAGUGGGGAGAUCGGCGGAGUUGGCGGCCGAACCCACUGGGAACUAAGGAAGUUAGUUCUCACCCCUAUUUUACUACAGGUUCCAGCUCGGGUGUCCCCGGUGAGCGUGAGGAUCGCGGUAAGGGCCCGGCGUUCUAGUCGCAUUAGCUACCUCCCUUUUGCUUUAGCCGUCACCCUUUUGUACUUGAGAGUAGAUGAUGUAUAGGGUGAGGUGGAGUGAUUGUAUUUAUAUUUUGGAAGAAUGUAAAGACGUAAUUGAAUGUAUUAAGUCAAAUGAAUGUAAUAGAUAGCUUCUUCUCUCUUUAUGUACUUGUAUAUGUUUCUAUACUUGUAUCUUGCUCUUGGUUGUCGCACUAGUGGUGCUUCUUGAUCGUGUAUUUAUGAAUUGAAUUUCUGGGUAAAUUCUUAUACAUGAUCUGUUGGUUGCCUUGGGCGGACAGGGGAGGUCCUGUCCGUCCGGCGUCUGUUCGACGCGCCCGGGCCGGACCAAAUUGGUAGCGGUCGCGGGGCGUGACAGAUAAAGUGGUAUCAGAGCACCAGAGCAAGUAAAGAGAGAGUCUAGGAUGACCUAGGGGACCCUAGGUUGGUAAACCCUAAGGUUAUAGGGACGUGAGUGAACGUGAACCUAUGGCGGUGGCGGGAGUUGAUCGAUUGGGUCGAAGUUGGUGUUAUGUCUCUAGCUGUGAAUAGAGACGGAUCCAAGUGAUACUAGUUUCUCGGCUCGUAGUGGUUGUGUCGGCGGUCGACGACGCGACGCUAAGAGUCCAGAACUGGAGCACUUGUGAACUUCCGCCCGAUUUCGUUGUUGAGUCGUUUAUUUUCGCAAACGCUGAGGAAGUUAUCGGAAUGAGAUAACUAACCGAGUUGUUGCUUUUCAGGAGCAAAUGUCCCCAAGGCGUUAUGCGCGUAGGUCUGCUCCGGUACCGCCUUCUGCGGAGCCCGAGCAGCCAAGAUCGGAGGAGGUGCAGGAGCUGCGGGAGCAGGUCGCUGCAAUGUUGGGCGCGAUGCAGCGCCAGGAGGCUCGGUUCGAGCAGCUCCAGGAAGUUGUGGAGCGGCAAGCAGCAGCGGCGGCGGCCGCGACGGCGGCAGGAGAGCGCGAGCCGCCCGCACCUUCGGCACGCACGCCGGUAGCGGCCGAGGGUGAGGGCAUAGCGGCGGUUCCCCCGCCGACAAGUGCGCCUCCGACAGCCUCGGGUUCGGCGACGCUUGAUACGACGGCCGAUGAGGUGGAGCGGGAGCGUGCGCUAACGGCUCUGAUGAAGUUUAUGAAGUUUAAACCACCAACUUUUGAAGGGGGGAAGGUGGAGCCGUCGGUGGUGGAGUCUUGGGUUGACUCUAUGGAGACCCUCUUCGAGGACUUGUAUACCCCGGAGAAUGAUAAGGUGCCUUUCGCCAUCCAUUGCCUCGACAAGGCGGCGAAGGUGUGGUGGAAGCGGUUGAAGCGGGAUCGACCCUCUGAUCUUCCACCAAUGCUCUGGGAGGAGUUCAAGAAGGAGAUGUUCGGAAAUUACUUCCCCGACACCGAGAAGCGGAAGUUGAAGGAGAGGUUUCGUAAGUUGAGGCAGGGAGAUCGUUCAGUGGCGGACUAUGAACAGGAGUUCUCCCACAUUAUAGACUGUGUUCUGGACGUGGUCAAGGAUGACGCGGAUCGAGCCGAGUGGUUCUUGCGAGGACUUCGGCCGUGGAUCUAUAGGGCAGUGCAACUAUUUCAGCUCACGACUUUCGCCGAGGUUUUCAAUAAGGCGCUGUGGGCAGAGCAUGGAGAUGCCCAUAUGCGGGAGGAGCGUGAGUUGUUGGCCGGAUCCCAAGACAAGGGGAAGAAGCGGUCGGGUGGCGGUUCGGGGGGGACAAUCUAGUUCGAGGAGGCCCCCGAAGCAUCCGCGGUCGCAGUCGUGGGGCCGUGGGCCGCAGCGGUGCCCUAUCUGUGGGGAUCGAGGCCAUCGGGCACCGCAGUGUAGACAACGACAAGGACGGUGCUUUAAUUGUGGACAAGAAGGACACAUUAGCCGCGAUUGUCCGGCAAGGGCCUCGUCUACUCCGUCAGUGGCAUCGACUCCAGCGCCCUCGCCUUAUCAAGGAGGGGCCCCAUAUGUUCCUGUAUCGGCGGGACGCGCACUAGCGCCGCGCCAGCCGGAGGUGACUCGAUCAGCGCCGAGCGGACGGGUAUUCGCCGCUCAGGCCCUUGCCGAAGAGCCUGCCAAGCCGAGGAGCCUGAUGUUGUGGCAGGUAUGGUUCUAAUCAAUGGAGUUCGCUCCAGAGCUAUGUUCGAUACGGGUGCCACGCAUUCAUUUAUUAGUAGGGCAUUUGCACGCAUGCAUGACAUACCCAUAGAAGCCAGUGGCAAGUGGCGAGUCGAGGGUCCUGAGUCGUCGUUCAAUACCUAUACGGAGUGCUCUUCAUGCCCAGUACAAGUAGGUGAGUGGAUAAUGCCCAUCCGGAUGUUGGAACUCACUAAGCUGGAGGCGUAUGACGUCAUUUUGGGCAUGGACUGGCUCUCAAAGUAUUACGCUACGAUCGAUUGUAAGAAUAAAUUGAUCACCUUUUGGGAGCCUGGGCAGAGGGAGUUCGUUUACCGAGCUUGUCGGAGUUCUCGCUUCGUCGCGACAGUAUCGGCGACUAGAGCUAGAAAGUUGGUCAGCGGCGGUUGCGCGGCAUUUUUGGCGACCGUCGUGGAGGUGGACCGGGUGGUGCCAAAACUAGAAGAUUUAUCGGUGGUGCGGGAAUUCCCAGAUGUAUUUCCCACGGAGUUGGCAGGGAUGUCGCCGGAUCGGGAGAUCGAGUUCGUUAUAGACUUGAUUCCUGGGACGGCGCCAAUCUCGAAGGCCCCAUAUCGUAUGGCGCCGGCAGAGUUAAGGGAAUUGAGGGAUCAGUUACAAGAUCUCCUCGACAAGGGGUUUAUCCGGCCGAGCGUAUCGCCGUGGGGAGCGCCGGUGUUGUUUGUGCGCAAGAAGGAUGGCUCGUUUCGACUCUGCGUGGAUUAUCGAGAGUUGAAUAAGGUCACAAUAAAGAAUAAGUACCCGUUGCCCCGAAUCGACGACUUGUUCGACCAAUUACAAGGGUCACAAGUAUACUCGAAGAUAGAUCUACAGUCCGGCUAUCAUCAGUUAAAGAUCAGGCCGGAGGAUAUUCAGAAGACCGCGUUUCGUACGCGUUAUGGACACCAUGAAUACACGGUUAUGCCUUUUGGGCUCACUAAUGCCUCGGCAGCGUUCAUGGACCUAAUGAACUGUGUGUUCAAGGCGUGCUUGGACCGAUUCGUCGUGGUCUUCAUAGACGACAUCCUGGUCUAUUCGCGGAACGACGAGGAGCACGCGGAGCAUUUACGGACGGUGCUUCAAAUCCUUCGGAAGGAGAAGCUAUUCGCAAAGUUGAAGAAGUGUGAUUUCUGGCUUCGAUAGGUUGCCUUCUUGGGGCAUGUGAUUUCCGAGGGCGGUGUUUCUGUUGACCCGAGGAAAGUCGAAGCGGUCGAGAAUUGGCCACGCCCGACGAACGUUACGGAGGUCCGAAGCUUUGUGGGCUUAGCGGGCUAUUAUCGACGGUUUCUGGAGGGCUUUUCGAAGAUUGUAACUCCACUUACCGGUCUGACACAGAAGGGCGUCAAGUUCAUUUGGAGCGACGAGUGUGAUCAAAGCUUCAACGAGUUGAAGAAAAGAUUGACGUCGGCUCCAAUACUCGCCUUGCCGGUGCAAGGCGAGGACUUUGUGGUUUAUAGCGAUGCAUCCUAUCUGGGCUUGGGGUGUGUUCUGAUGCAAGGCGAGAGGGUGAUAGCUUAUGCAUCCCGUCAGCUGAAAGAUCACGAGAAGAAUUACCCUAUUCAUGACUUGGAAUUGGCGGCGGUGAUCUUUGCGUUGAAGUUGUGGAGGCACUACCUAUACGGUGCACACUGCGAGAUCUACACCGACCACAAAAGCCUGAAAUACCUAUUUACCCAGAAGGAGCUAAAUAUGCGACAAAGGCGGUGGCUAGAGCUAUUAAAAGAUUAUGACGUUGACAUUCUGUACCACCCCGGCAAAGCAAAUGUGGUCGCGGACGCACUUAGUAGGAAGUCGGCGAAGAACCUCGCUUUUGACGUUACCCGGCAAACACCCCUAGGGCUGGAAAUGGAGCGACUGGACCUUGAAGUGGUCGCUCCCGAGGUCCCGGCUCAGCUAAUGGCGCUCGUUAUUCAACCGACCUUAUUGGAGAGGAUCAGAAAUUUACAACCUGCGGAUCCGAGUCUCCAGAAGGUGCGGCGAAAUAUCGAGGAAGGACGAGAUGGCGAUUUUAGUGUGGACGCCGGUGGCGCGCUUCGGUUUCGAAACCGGUGGUGUGUGCCCGAGGAUGGAGGGCUUCGCGAGUUGAUUCUGCAAGAAGCUCACCGGUCUCCAUACGCGGAUCACCCGGGCGGCACCAAAAUGUAUCAUGAGUUGAGGGCACUCUAUUGGUGGCCGGGGAUGAAGGCCGACAUUGGGCGCUUCAUGGCAAAGUGCUUAACUUGUCAACAAGUAAAGGCGGAGCGCCGGUUUCCAGCGGGGAAGCUUCAAAGCUUACCUAUUCCCGUUUGGAAAUGGGAGGACAUAUCUAUGGAUUUCAUCGUCGGCUUACCUCGCUUGACAGGGGGCCAUGACGCAAUCUGGGUGAUCGUGGAUCGCUUGACCAAGUCAGCACACUUUUUGCCGAUCCACACCACCUGGGCGGGAGAUAAGUUGGCGCAGGUAUAUCUUGACGAAGUAGUGAGGUUACACGGGGUGCCGAAAUCGAUUGUGUCGGAUAGAGACCCCAAGUUUACCUCACAUUUCUGGAAAAGCCUGCAGGAGGCCCUUGGCACACGGCUCGAUUUCAGUACUGCAUUUCAUCCCCAGACAGACGGACAAACUGAAAGAACUAUUCAGACUCUGGAGGACAUGUUGCGAGCGUGUGUCAUCGACUACAAAGGAGGUUGGUGUAGGUAUUUGCCAAUGGCCGAGUUCGCCUACAACAACAGUUAUCACGCUAGUGUGGAGAUGGCACCGUUCGAAGCUCUUUAUGGGCGGAAGUGCCGCUCUCCCAUUUAUUGGAGUGAUGUGGGCGAACGCACGGAAUUUGGCCCCGAUGUGCUGCGGGAGGCGGAAGAAAAGGUCCGCCUUGCUCGCAAACGGUUACUCACGGCGCAAUCUCGACAACAGAGCUAUGCGGAUAGGCGCCAGCGAGAUCUAGAGUUUGCGGUGGGUGACCGCGUCUUCUUGAAGGUCUCGCCUAUGAGGGGUGUAAGGCGGUUUGGAGUUCGAGGAAAAUUGAGUCCCCGAUACAUUGGCCCCUACGAGAUCUUGGAGCGGAUUGGGACGGUGGCUUAUCGGCUCGCGUUGCCGCCGAAGCUUGCAGAUGUGCAUAACGUAUUCCACGUCUCCAAUCUUCGCAAAUACAUCCCUGAUCCCGAGCACGCGAUGUUAUAUGAACCGCCGGAACUUCAGGAGGACUUGAGCUACGAGGAAUUCCCGGUGGCAACUACCGCUCGUGAAGUGCGCAAGUUAAGGAAUCGGGAAAUUCCUUAUGUCCGAGUCCGGUGGAGCAAUCAUGAUGAUCGCGAAGCCACCUGGGAGCUUGAGCAGGAGAUGAAGGCGAAUCAUCCUUGUCUGUUCGAAGGGUAAAUUGAGGUAUGAAUUUAGAAUUUGAAAUUCUAAUCAAGUUUUGGAGUAUUGAGUUCGUUUCGAGGACGAAACUCUUUUAAGGUGAGAAGGAUGUAAGGAAGCGAAUUCUCGAAACUCGAGGAUUAGACUUCGAUUAGAAUCGACUAGUGGUCGAGUGUGUAAUCUUCGGAAAGUCCGAAGGUGAUCUUAAUGCGUAAAGUGCAUUAAGGAGAGGCCCGCGAGAGCACCAGUGCAAAACUUGCACUGGAGCAGAAAUGCUCUCGGGGACCGGUCCCUGGCAGGGAGGNUAUUAUAAAGGCUGAAUGAAUGUAAUAGAUAGAUGUUCCUCUCUUUAUCAUUACUUGUAUGUUCUAUACUUGUAUCUUGCUCUUGGUUGUUUGCACUGAUUGUGCUCUCGUUGUAGUUAUCGAUUGUGUAUGUAUUCAAGUUAUUUUCCUGGGAACUUGUUGUACACAAUCUCGUUGUUAGCCUUGGGUGGACAGGGGAGGUGCUGUCCGUCCGGCGUCUGUUCGACGCGCCCGGGCCGAGCCAAAUUGGUAGCGGUCGCGGGGCGUGACACAUACGGUCCUAUAUCGGGGACUUAACUUGCCCCGAACUCUAAAUUACUUCACCCUUCUCAUGGGUGACACUUUCAAGAAAAUGUAGUCGCCCACCACAAAUUCCAAAUCUUGUUGAUACUUGUUCGCAUAGCUUUUUUGUCGUGUUUGCAUCGUUAAGAGUUGUUGACACGCUAAACAGACUUUCUCUUCAUCGUCUUGCGACACAUUCGAUCCCAAGGCCAUUUCUUGCCAACCUUUCUCCAAUGUAUCGGAGAUCAAUAUACAAGGCCCUGAAUAGUGUCAUCCCAAUACUUGCCUGAUAGUUAUUAUUAUAGGCGAACUCUGCUAUCGGCAAAGUAUACGUGCCAUGCACCCUUAAAGUGAAGAAUAAACGCUCAAAACAUAUCCUCUAGAAUUUGAUUUAUUCGUUCUGAUUGACCAUCCAUCUGAGUAUGGAAUGUCGUGCUAAAGUUGAUCCGACCCCAUGUAGAUGCACGAUCUCAUUCAAAUAGAGGUGUGCCAACUUAUCCCUCGACAAUGUGGUGUAGAUCAACAAGAAGUUAGACGACUUCGUCAAACGGUCCACAACUACCCAAAUUGCAUCUUGACCUCCUUGCGAUCGAGGUAAACCGGUAACAAAGUCCAUUGCUAUAUUCUCCCUCUUUCAUACUAGAAUCGACAGAUUUUGUAAUUUUUUCGCAGAGAAGCGAUGUUCUGCUUUCACUUCUUGACACACUAAGCAUUGUGCCAUAAAGCAUCUAAUGUCCCUUUUCAUGCCUAAUCACUAAUAAUGCAUUUUGAGAUCCUUAUAUAUUUUGAUAUCACCCGGAUGAAUAGGAUACGGGGAUUGAUGAGCUUUACUCAAAAUCUCCCCACAAAUUUUUUUCGUCCUUGGGCACACACCACCGAUCCCAAAAUCGAAUUGUGCCCUCCGAGUCCAAGCUAAACUCGCCAGCCCACCUACUUUAAAAAUCGGUUCGCCCCUUUUGGAGUAACAAAUCCAAAGAUUGUUUUUCUUUUAUUCUCUCCAACAAGGUUGGUCGAAUCAUUAGGGUCAUAAGCUGUAGUACACUGAGCUUUAGCAAGUUGCAAGGUUCUAGUGUAAAAAUAACAUUUUAAACUAUUCUGGAUGUUUUGAGGGUUGUCUGUGUCGUAUUUGACUGUUACUAGAGCUUAUUAGGUGUGAAAACGGGCUUUCGACAUCAAAAUCUGCAAAGUGCAGGUUUUAGUGUUGAGUACCGGUACUGGAUGUUGGUAUCGGUACCCUGUAGAGUGCCGAAAUGUACAGCUCUCGGGUUUUGAGGUACUGGACAGUGAGUACUGGUACUGGGCUGGGUACCGGUACUGCAUCGCGUGGGUACCGGUACACCGUAAUAAACCUGAAUGUUUUACGCUCGAGUUUUGUGAGUUUGAGGGCCGGGUACCAAUACUCCAAUUCGAGUACCGGUACUCAAUGCAAAAAACUGUGUUUUGUGCAGUUUGCUAUUUGGGAGCUUUUAAGGGGCCUUUUUGGGAUUGUUACAUUAGUGUAUAUCCCCAGCACCCCUCAUUCUUGGUCUUUUGUGCUGGGACCUAAGGAAGGUGAAGGUAGGCUUUUCUCUCUUUCUCUCUCUAGAUUUUCUCUCUAAUUUCUUGUAGAUUUGAAGAUUUGAUCUUAUUUUCUUCUCCCCUUCCAUGGAAGCUUCCUUGGUGAACCCUAGAGGAGUCUUGGAAGUGAGGAUAGAAGCUUAGUUGAGGAUUAAACUUCAACCCUAGCUCAAGUUUAGCUUGGUUUGGAGCUUUCUUGAAGGUUAGUAAUCUAUUUACCACUUUUGAUUGUGUUUUUGUGAAAAUUUGUGGAAUUAAACCUAGUUAUGAGAAAACUAGGGUUUAAUUUGGGAUUUCUUAUUGUGAGGUUUUUUGUAAGGAAGUGAAUUCUCGAAAAGCGAGAGUUAGACUUCAUUCGGAAUCAACUUAUCGUUGACUUGGUGGGCUUCGGAGAGCCCGAAUGCGAUGAAAAUGCAAAAAAGUGCAUUAGGGUGGACCUUGGAGAGUUGAGGAUAGACCUGGCAAACGGGUAGGUUGGGUAACCUGUGGGCGGGUCAUUGUAUCCGUGAGUUAUUUGGGCAUGGGUAAAAUUUACCCGCAAAUUUUUGGGUAGCCAACAUCUUUACCCAUACCCGCCCGCGGGUGGGCGGGUGGGUAUGCGGGGUACUCGUCAUUUUUUUUUCUUUUUUGUUCUUAUAUUUUUUAAGUACAAAACAUAUAUAUAUAUAUAUAUAUAUAUAUAUAUAUAUAUAUAUAUAUAUAUAUAUAUAUAUAAGUUUUAAAAGUAUAUUAUAACUUAUUAUUUAAAGUAUCAUAAUAUAUAAUAAAAAUAUUUAAAGUCUUCAAGCAAAAAAAUUUCACAAAAAAAUUUCACAAAAAAUUAACACGACCAAAAAUUAGGGUUAGAAUUUUUAGGAUGAAUAAAUAAAUAAAUAAAUAUAUUAUUUAAAAANUAUAAUAAAAAUAUUUAAAGUCUUAAAGCAAAAAAAUUUCACAAAAAAGUAACACGAUAAAAAAUUAGGGUUAGAAUUUUUAGGAUGAAUAAAUAAAUAAAUAAAUAUAUUAAUUAAAAAAAUAUAUUUUGUAAUUAAAAUAUAUAUGUGUGGGUACCGGUGGGUGCGAGUUACCCAAAAUGCCCACAGCUUAAUGGGUACCUACUAGUUUUACCCAUAAUUUUUUGGGUUGAAAAAGUUGGUACUCAUACCCGCAAAUUUACAGGUAAUCCGCGGGCACCCGCGGGUUUCUGUCGAGAUUGCCAGGUCUAGUAGAGGAUUGCAAAAUUUACAAGUUUCACAACUUCACAACUCUCGGGGUCCGGACCCUAGUUGUAGGGUCCGGACCCCGUAGCUGUGAAAAUCCCAUUAGGGGUUGAGAAUUGCAGAGUGUGCAAUUCGCAUGUUUUUCCAACUCUCAGGGUCCGGACCCUAGUGGUAAGGUCCGGACCCCAUAGCUGCGAAACUUUGAGAAAUUGCAAAAUGUGCAAUUCCCAUGAUUCCCAACUCUCGGGGUUCGGACCCUAGCUCUAGCGUCCGAACCCCGUACCCCGAAAUUGCCCAAAAUGGGCUGAUGCAGAGGGGCAAAGUUGAGGGGCUAAAAUGCAAUUUUUGCAUAAGUGGGGCUAUAUGAGAGCUCAUGCUCUCUUUCUCUUCUCAUUUUCUCCCCAACACAACCCUAAAACACUCCUCUCUCUUUCUAAAGCUUUGCUCUCUCUCUCUCUCAAGGAAGGAGAAAGAAGAAGAAGAAGAAGAAGAAGAAGAAGAAGGAGAAGAAGAGUAGGAUCACCCUCUCCAUCUUCUUCCUCUUGUUUGGAGAAGCUUUUGGAGGUAAGCUUUUCUAACCCCUUUUAAUGGCAUCUUCUAGGGUUGAUGUUCUAAUACUCUAGAAUUGGUUUUAGUUAAACCCUAUGAUACUAGUGAUGUGAGAUAUUGAAUCUUGAUGGUUUGUAGCUAACUUUGGCCAAAUGGACCAAAGUGGGCAAUUGACGGUUUGGACAAGUUCCAUUCGGUAUUCCAACAAGUUUGGAAGAGCUAAAAUGAGUUCCAAAGGUGUUGGAUUGGUUUUGACAUCGAUCGGCGCGAGGUAGAGCCGAAGAGAAGUGAAAACAGCAUUCUGGAACUGUUGUACCGGUACAAGGGUGAUGGCUGUACCGGUACAACCAUCACAGCUCUCGGGUUGGAGGCUACCAGACCUUGUACCGGUACAAGGGGGUCUUGUACCGGUACAAGCACUGCGCACCCGAGAAACCGAGCUCUCGGGUUGGAGGCUGCCAGACCUUGUACCGGUACAAGGGGGUCUUGUACCGGUACAAGCACUGCGCAACCGAGAAACCGAGCCUCGGGUUAGGCUGUCUGCUAGGCCUUGUACCGGUACAAGAACCCGUGUACCGGUACAAGGGACCCGAAACUGCAGGUCAAGUUGGAAAAUUAGAUUUUUGAGGGGGCUUUUGGGAUUUUGUUACAUUAGAGGGUUAUAAUACCUCUCUCUCAGCCUCUCUCACUCACUCUUAGCCUCUCUCUCUCCCUCUCACUCAGCUCUCUCUCUCUCUAAACCGAAAAGGGAAAGAAAGAGAAGAAGAAGAAGAAAAGAAGGAGAGAAAGAAGGAGAAGAAGAAGGAGAAGAUCAAGGAGGAAAAGAAGAAGCUCUCUCCCUCCUCUUCCUCAAGCUAGGGCUUGCUUUGGAGCAAACCCUAGAGGUAAGCCUCAACCCUAACUUGUGAGAUUCUAGGAUUUUGUGACUUUUGUUGGUUUUAAUGGUUCAAAUGGAACCUAAUGAGUUUAGAGGACAUGGAUCUUGCUCACAAUGAAGCUAGAAACCAUGGUUUCCCAUGGGUGCUAAACCUAGGGUUGGUUUUUGGGGUUUUUGGGAAUAUUGGGUUUUGAUCUAUUUUGAUGGGUCGGAAACCUAAUUGUUAUGCUCCCGAACGCGUAGGCGAAGACGGUUCGUCGAUCCGUCGAGCGAGCGUGGAGAUAUCGCCGAUUUGGUCGCUCUAGGGUUCGUUUUGACCCAAGGUGUUGAAGCGGCGCACGUGGAUUUCGACGCCGAGUUUCUUAGCUUUUCGGCACUACCACAAGGUGGGUGGUGACCUUCCCGAAGCCAUGGGGCUACGUUCUAUGUCCGAGUUUAUUAUUGAUCCAAUUGCAUAUUAUUCAUGUUGCAUAUAGGGUUAGAAAAUGAUUGUUGUCGCUUAUAUUUGCAUGCUAGUAGCUAUAUAUCUUGUUGAUUAAUCUAUGACCUAGUAUGCAUAAGAACUACAUGAUGAAAACCUAGACCCUAUAUGAGAUGAUUAAUGUUUAUGUUGCUAAAGAACUAGUAUGAUGUAAUUAGUGUUGAAAAUGAGUCUAAAUGACGAGUGGCAUCUAGUUUAGAAAACUAUGACGAGUGGCAUCUAGUUAUAGAAAACUAUGAUGAAGAACAUAUGAUUAUUGAUAAUUUGAUAUGAGAACCUUAGUGUAGUUGAGACACUAUGAGAUUGGGUACAAGAACACCUUGAUUCCAUGAUGAGAUUAUCCUUAGAGGGUAGGUUGCUGUUCUUCGUGAGUUGAUCGUGCUCACAUAGCCUGUCUGCGCUUGGAGGGGUCGCUCCCCGCAAGCUGUGCACUCCGAAGGUUGGUCACUAGAGGGACAGUCAGUGUGCUGUCUGGACGGUCUGUGUGCUGUCCGCAGGCGGUCUCGGGAGUAGUUCAGUGAGACUUUCCCUAUGAGACUUACACGUGAGUUAUGCUUGUGAACUUCGAGUUCACCAUGAGAUUGGGUAACUUAUUGAGUCACACUCAUUACUUGUUGUUCAUAGUAGCUUCCCUAUGGUUGUUCAUGAUAGCUUACUUGUUAUUGUUGUUCAUAGUAGCUUACUACCCAGCUUUAUUUAUUGUUCAUGCAUGCAUGAUAUCAGAUUGAGGCAUAGCUAGAUAUUCAUGAUUCUACCUACUUACUCAUGUUCCUUACUUGCUCAGUUAUCAUACCUGCUUUUUAUCAGUUUAGCUUUAUAUAUAUAUAUAUUGCAUAUAUCUCUCUAUGCCUGCUUCGACCUAGUGGCUAGAUCGGUGGAGUCGGCGGUCGAACCCAUUGGGAACUAUUCGUAGUUCUCACACCCGUUGUUGCAGGCGCUAGUUCGAGUGUCCCGACCGAGCGGGAGGAUCGCGGCAAGGGCUUGGCGCCCUAGUGGUACCAGUUGGUAGCUUACUUUCCUACUUGUAUUAGUUCACCCUGUGCUUUUAUUUUGAGAGUAGAUGUUGUAUAGGGUGAGGUUUUGGAGAGUACUUGAUGUAUUUACUUUUUGGAAAAAAAUUGAAAAACAAUGUAUGAUGGUUUAAAGAGUUUAAUGCAAGUGGUAUUUAAAUGCUUUAAAUUCAUGGUUCAAUAGUUAAGUUUCUCUCUUUUGUAUACUUGUAUGCUUUUACUAGUAUCGCUUGCUCUUGUUGGUUUUAAUACUGUUUGUGUUAUCGCUGUUUGAUUGUGUAUGAAAUCAAGUUGUUUUUUCUGGGGACUUGUUGUACACAAUCUCGUUGGUUAGCCUUGGGCGGACAGGGGAGACUCUGUCCGUUCGGCCUCACGCCGCCGCCCUCGAACCGGACCAAAUAGGUACCGUUUUCGGGCCGUGCGGUCGGGGCAUGACAAGUGAUGUGCUAAUGGCAAGAAUCUAGGGUUUAAAUAGAGCCGAUUGCGUUGAUUCCAAUCUAGGGCUCCGAAAUGGGUUUCCGAGAAAUCGACGAGUUUGAUCUAAAUUAGAUGGCCAUAAACCUAAUUGCUAGGUCUCUAAGCGCGUCGGUGAAGACGGUUCGAGGAUCCGUCGAGCGAGUGCGAAGUUGUUGUCAAAAGAGACCCUCGGAGCUUCGUUUCCGCCUAGAAGGCCAACGAGGUGUCAUAAAAUCGGCGAAUCGUGUUCCAAGCGUCGCAACGUCGCCACAAGGUGGGUGGUGUCCAUCCUGAAGUAGUUGAGCUGCUCCCUAUGUCUAAGUUGUAUUUUGUUGAUCAUAAUGCACAUGUAGUAUUAUGCAUUAUAGGGUGUAGUUGGUUAUGUUUUAUCCUAGCAUGCUUCUUGGUAGUGUAGCAAUCUGAUUGGCACUUGAACCUAGAAGGCAUGAGAAUGAGUAUAAUGACAUAGAACCCUAUAGUGAUAAAGAUAAGUAGUAACUUGAUCUGAGGAUUAUAAAAGUUAAUGACAUGUGCAAUGUUCGGACCUUGUAUUAUGACGAGUGGCAUGGAACAUAGAAAACACUUGACGAGUGGCAUUAGAACUUAGUGUAAAGAACACUAUGAUAUGAUGAUGUAGGGACUAGAUGAGUUUUCCCUAGUUGGACAUCUUGCAUGAGAACUUGUGCGUCAUUGACACAGUUGCUAGCGUUGAGGCUUUGGACAUGGAUACAAACUAGUGUAUUCCCGAGAGAUUGAUGACCCUAGAGGAUAGGGCUUCCUCGAUGGCGAGGAGGGAUCAUACUUACAUAGUCUGUGCUUGGGGUGGUCGCUCCCCCCCGUUAGUGCGCUCCGGAGUUGGUCACGUUCAGGACAGACGUAGUUGUACGCAGACGGUCCCGGGUGGGUUGACAGUGAGGUCCUCACCUAGGUGGGAUUGAGAUGUGAGUCGAGGGCUAACUCUUGGUUGGCCAAGGAUUGGGUAAUGGACAUGUUGGACAUUGGACAUAUUGAGCAUAGUAGAUUAUAUACUUGCUUGUGGCAUGAUCUUAGUGACAUGUUAGUGAUACUUGUUUCGAUUGUUCAUUGCAUACUUGCCAGGCAUAGUAGUAUACUAUAGUUUCUUUACUAUGCUUUCAUUUCAGUUAAAUAUCUAUCUAUUUAUCUGCUUAUGCCUGCUUAGACCUAGUGGGGAGAUCGGCGGAGUCAGCGGCCGAACCCAUUGGGAACUAUUCGUAGUUCUCACCCCACUUUGUUGCAGGACUGAGCUCGGGUACUCCGAUCGUGGAUCGCGGUAAGGGCUUAGCACCCUAGAGGUUGUAGUCACCUUCCUAUUGCAUUAGUAGUCACCCUUUUGUAUUGAGAAUAGAUGAUGUAUAGGUGGUGAGGUGUUUUGAGAGAUGUAUCCAUGUAUGUAUAUAUGUGAUGGAUGAGUUGUACUCAUGUUUUGGAUGAAAUAAAAUGUAAUAACUUAGUAUUUCUCCAUUUUAUUCACUUGUAUGUUCAUUACUUGUGAUGCCUACUCUUGUUUGUUUAGCACUGUUUGUGCUCUCGCUUUUGUCGUUGUGAUUGUGUAUGUUUUCAAGUCGUUUUCCUGGGCACUUGUUGUACACAAUCUAUUGGUUAGCCUUGGUCGGACGGAGGAGGUCUUGUCCGUUCGACGUCUGUUCGACGCGCUCGAACCGGACCAAAUUGUUAGCGGGUUUCGGGGCGUGACAUUUUUGGAACCUAAUCAAUGGUUGUAAAACUCUCUUUUAGGUGGGAAUUGAAGCAUCCCAACCUUAAUUGGAGUUUUGGAUAACUUUUCUUCGAUUUAAGGUAAUUUCUACCUAUUUUUGGUAUGAAUUUUGGGAAUUUUUGUGGGGAGCUUAUUAGAAGCGUCUAACCCUUUUAGAAUUUUUGUUAGGGUUUUGGAGGCUUGAGGACAAUUUCGUUCGAGCAAACGAAGGAGUUCGAAGUGCAUUCGGUGGGUUUGACCUCACCGAAAUAGGUGAAGUCCCUCUGUCUUCUAUAUUAUUAUUAUAAGACAUAAUUUGGUGCAUUUCCAUGCUAGUUAUGACAUGGUACAAUUUUUGAAUGCAUGAAAUAUUCGCGUUACAUUUUGAAGUUCAUACUCUAUAUAGUAGAGGUUCAUCAUGUAGACUUGUACACUAGAUGGCACUAGACGGCAUGUAAUAGUAUUUUUCCCUCUUAUGCAAUAUUAGGAUGCGUAAUAGAGAUGAGUAAUGAAUAUCCUAUGGGACUUUGCAUGACUAGUGGAAUCAUUGAAUUUGAUUAGUACGAUAUCUAACGAACUUGUUUUUGACAAGGAUAAAAGUUAACAUGUUGCAUUUAACUAGUUAAAUGACUAAGUGAGCUUUAUGACUUUGCUCUCGACCUUUAGGUCGUUAGUUAUAUUCCAUAUUUUAGACAUGACGAAUGAGAUUACGACGCCUUUGGGCGAACAAUAAAAGAGGCAAAUGCAUAUAAUGCUAGUUGAAUGAAAAUUACUAGCAUGAUAACUCUUAUGCUCAAUGUAGUGGAGGCCUUGGUAGUAAAGCAUAUGCAUAACAUGCAUUAUGAUUUUUGUGGACAUCUUUAUAAUUCUUUUGCAUAUGGCAUUAGUAAAUGACUCUCUUGACUAUAGUGGAAAUAGUAUAUUUAUGAAACCUCUUUUGAGUCUUGAAUAAAAUAGUGAACCAUCUAAAUAGGACAAUGAGAUGUGAACUAAUAAAUGCUUAAGGCAUAUUUUGUGUCGGUAGGGACAUACCACCAAUGUAAUUAUGAAUGAAACAUGACAUGAAUGAUCUAGUACCUGACCUUCGAGUCGAUGUUUGAAAUUUCAUAUUUUAGAUAUGAUGAUUGACUAUUUGAUUUGUGGACACUAUGCUAUUGAUCACGCUUGCUUGCCAUUGUGCUCAUUCGCACAAGCUUGUGAGGGUCGCACCCUGCAAGCUGGCACUCCGGAGCAGCCUUGCGACGACAGAUCGCUCGUGCGAGAUUGGGCGCCGAAGUUGUGAGAUAUCGAGAUUCGACGAUAUUGGCUAACUUUGGCCAAAUGGGCCAAAGUAGGCGAUUGAGCGGUUUGGACAAGUUCCAUUCGGCAUUCCAACAAGUUUGGAAGAGCAAAAAUGUGUUCUAAAGGUGUUGGAAUGGUUUGGACAGCGAUCGGCGCAAAGUGGAGCUGAAACAGAGUGAAAUCAGCAUUCUGGAGCUGCUGUACCGGUAUAAGGGUGAUGGCUGUACCGGUACAGCCAUCGCAGCCAGGCUGCGUAGCUCUCGGGUUUGAGGGCUCCAGGUGCUGUACCGGUACAAGGGGCUUGUACCGGUACAAAUCCGACGAAACUGAGACCCGAGCUCUCGGGUUUGCUCUCGGUUUUAGUUGUCACCCAGACCUUGUACCGGUACAAGAUCCCGUGUACCGGUACAAGGGCACCCGAACAGCAGGGUGACAGUUUGGAAAAUAGAAAAGUUGAGGGGCUCUUUUGGAUAUUGUUACAAUAGAGGACCUAAGCCUCUCUCUCAGCCAUUCUCUCCCACUCCCUCACUCUCUCUCUCCCUCUCAUUUAGCUCUCUCUCUCUCUAACCGUGAGAAGAAGGAGAAGAAGAAAGAAGGAGAGAAAGAAAGAGAAGAAGAAGGAGAAAGGAAGGAGAAGGUCAAGGAGAAGAAGAAGAAGCUCUUCCUCCUCCUCAUUCUCAGCUAGGGCUUGCUUUGGAGCAAACCCUAGAGGUAAGCCUUAACCCUAACAUUGGAUUUCUAGGGUUUGAAGGUUUUUGUUUGGUUUUAAUGGUUCAAAUGGAACCUAAUGAGCUUAGAGGACAUGGAUUUAGCUCACAAUGAAGCUAGAAACUAUUACUUCCCAUGAGUGCUAAACCUAGGGCUUGAUUUUGGGAUUUUUGAAAAUAUGAGGGAUUGAUCUCUUUUGAUGGGUUAGAAACCUAAUUUCUAUGCUCCUAAACGCGUAGGCGAAGACGGUUCGUCGACCCGACGAGUGAGCGCGGAGAUAUCGCCAUCUUGAGUGCUCUAGGGUUUGAGUUGGCCCGAGGAUUUGAAGCGACGAAAGAGAUCGCUAGAGAACACGUUUCUUAGCUCUACGGUACUACCACAAGGUGGGUGGUGAGCAUCCCGAAGCAAUCGGGCUACCUUCUAUGUCUAAGUUUUAAAAGUCGAUCUAAUUGCAUAUUGUGCAUAUUCAUAUAGGGCUAGAGAUGGAUUGUUGCUUAUAAUUGCAUGCUAGUAACUUAAUGUAUCUUGCUUGGUUGGUUCAUGAUCUAGUAUGCAUGAUAAUUAUAUGAUGAAAACUCUAUGAUAAAGAUCUAGACCCUAUACGAGAUGGUUAAUGCUUAUGUUGCUAAAGAACUAGUAUGAUGUAACUAGUGUUGAUGAUGAGUCUAAAUGACGAGUGGCAUCUAGUUAGAAAACUAAGAUGAGUGGCAUAUGAUUGUUGAUGACCUUGAUAUGAGAAUAUUAGUGUAGUUGAAACACUAUGAGAUUGGGUACAAGUACACCUUGAUUCCACCAUGAGAUUACCCUUAGAGGGUAGGUUGCUGCUGUUCGUGAGUUGAUCGUGCUCACAUAGGCCUGUCUGCGCUUGGAGGGGUCGCUCCCCACAAGCUGUGCACUCCGGAGGUUGGUCACUAGAGGGACAGUCAGUGUGCUAUCUGGACGGUCUGUGUGCUGUCCGCAGGCAGUCUCGGGGAGUAGUUUAGUGAGACUUUUCCUAUGAGAUUUACACGUGAGUUAUGCUUGUGAACCACGAGUUCACCUCGAGAUUUUGUUACCGAUUGAGUCAUGCUCAUUAUUAUUGCUCAUGAUAGCUAGCUUUCAUAGUUGUUGUUCUUGUUCAUAGUUGUUCAUAGUUGUUGUUGUUCAUAGAUUUGGUUACCCAGCUUUACUUAUUGUUCAUGCAUCCAUGAUAUCAGAUUGAGGCAUAGCUUGAUAGACCUGUUUUUCAUACCCGCUUUCAGUUCAGUUUAGCUUUAUAUAUACUGCAUAUAUAUAUCUCUCUAUGCCUGCUUAAGACCUAGUGGGUAGAUCGGCGGAGUCGGCUGCCGAACCCACUGGGAACUAUUCGUAGUUCUCACACCCCUUAUUGCAGGUGCUAGCUCGAGUGUCCCGACUGAGCGGGAGGAUCGUAGCAAGGGCUUAGCGCCCUAGCGGUAUCAGUAGAUAGCUUACUUCCUACUUGCAUUAGCUCUACCCUGUACUUUUGCUUACAUUUUGAGAGUAGAUGUUGUAUAGGGUGAGGUUUUGGAGAGUAUUUGAUGUAUUUACUUUUUGGGCAAAAGAAUGCAAGUUGUAUUAAAUGAUUAAACUCUAAAUGACAUCGAAAGAGGUUAAAUGUUUCAAUCAUGUCUCAAUAGAUAAGUUUCUCUCUUUUGUAUACUUGUAUGCUUCUUACUUGUAUCGCUUGCUCUUGUUGAUAAAUAGCACUGUUCGUGCUCUCGAUUAUCGUUAUUUGAUUGUGUAUGAAUUCAAGUUGUAUUCCUGGGGACUUGUUGUACACAAUCCGAUUGGUUAGCAUUGGGUGAACAGGGGAGACUCUGUCUGUUCGGCAUCACGCCCGCCGCCCUCGAAAUAGACCAAAUUGGUACCGUUUUCGGGCCGUGCGGUUGGGGCGUGACAGUUGUGGUAUUAGAGAAAGUAAGAGCAAGCAAAAGAGAGAGUCUAGGAUGACCUAGGAGACUUUAGGUUAGUUAACCCUAUGGUUAUAGGUGCGUGAGUGCGACGUGAACCUAUGACGCGGCGGAAGCUAAAUGAUUGGGUUUGGAGUUGGUGAUGAGACUCUAGUUAUGUCUAGAGAUGAUUCAAGUGGUACUAAUUUUUGGCUUGAGGUGAUUGUGUUGGCGGCCGACAACACGAUGCCGAAAGUCGAGAAUUAAGACACUUGCAAGCUACCGCCUGAUUGAUGUUGUUUAAUCGUUAUGCUUCGUGUUUACGACGAUGUUGUUGAGUUAAGUAAUUAACCAACUGUCUGCGUUUCAGGAGCUAUGGCACCGAAGAGACGCUAUGUGCGUAGGACCGCUCCGGCACCACCUCGAGAGGUGCCCGGCCCAGCCGUGCCUCCAGUGGCGCCAGGGCCAGCUGGGCCUACUGAGGUGCAGGAGCUGCGAGCGCAGGUUGCGGCGCUCACAGGACGGUUCGAUAGGAUCCAGGAGCUGCUGGAGCAGCAAGCUGUGGCGGCGGCUGCGGCGGCAGGUCUAGGCCGCGGUCUGCCUGCGCCUUCGGCUCGUGCCCCUGAUGCGGUCGAGGGUGCGGGUGGCGUUUCGGUUCCGGUUGCGGCGCAACCCCCACCGGUGGAUAUUCCUCCGGCUAGCUCGAGUUCUCCCACCCCUGCAGUGGCGGCUGAGGAGGCGGAGCGUGAGCGCGGCUACGUGGCGCUCACGAGGUUCACGAAGUUUCGCCCGCCUACUUUCGACGGAGAGGUGGUUGAUCCAGCGACGGUGGAGUCUUGGCUGACAGCUAUGGAGACUCUAUUUGAGGACAUCUUCAUUUUGGAGAAGGACAAGGUGAACUUGGCCGCGCAUUGCUUCGAGAAGCGGGCCAGGACUUGGUGGAGGAGGGUCAAGCAGGACCGAUCCCCGGAGCUUCCCCCGAUCGAUUUGGUGGAUUCUGCAAGCUGAUGUUCGCCGAGUACUUCCCCGACAGUGAUAAAAGGAGGAUGCGGGAAGAUUUUCGCAAGCUUAAGCAAGGCAACCGCACAGUUCGGGAGUAUGAGCGGGAGUUCACCCAUCUCCUGAGCUGCGUCCCAGAUAUGACGGCGACAGAGCAGGACCGGGCGGAUUGUUUUGUUCGGGGACUACGGCCCGGUGUUUUCAAGUUGGUUCAUGCCUUCAAGUUCCACUCUUUGGCGGAGGCUUUAGAUAGCGCGCUAUGGGUCGAGCACGGGAACGCUUGCGAGCGUGAGGACUGUGAGGCGCUCGACAAGGACAAAGGCAAGAAGAGACAGGGCGGUGGUUCAGGCGGUCAGUCUAGCUCCAAGAGGCCCCGAAGUAUCCACGCUCUCAGCCCAAGGGUCGUGGUGCAGAGCGAUGCGUCUUUUGCGGCGGAGACCACCGACCGGGUGUAUGUGAGCAUCGUCGUGGGAGGUGCUUCAAGUGUGGGCAAGCGGGGCAUGUCAUUCGUGACUGUCCUCAGGGAGGAGCUUCGCCCGCUAUGUCGACUGCAUCGGCCCCGGCGGUUCCAGCUCGCUAUGCUCUGCCCCCUCCUACAGCAUCUACUGGGCGAGCGGCGGCGCCACGCCAACCCGAGCCUGCACGAUCAGCGCCGAGCGGAAGGAUGUAUGCUGCACCCGUGCAUGUUGAGGAGCCUUCUAAGGCCGGCAAGCGCAAUGUUGUGGCAGGUAUAAUUUUGGUUAAAGAUGUUCGAGCUAGAGCUCUAUUUGAUACAGGCGCAUCACACUCAUUCAUUAGUCGAUCAUUUGCACGAGCGCAUGAUAUUGAGUAUCGUCUUGGGGAGCACGUUUGGCAUGUUGAGGGCCCCGGGCGAUCCUUUUUUGUUAGGAAGCAAUGCUUGGCAUGUCCAGUGCAAGUGAAUGACUGGGUUAUGCCGAUCGACUUGUUGGUGCUUAAAAGGUUGAAGGAGUUCGAUGUCAUACUGGGCAUGGAUUGGCUCUCGAAGUACUAUGUGUCGAUCGAUUGCCCGACUCGAGUUAUCACAUUUCGGGAGCCGGGUCAAGAAGAGUUCACCUAUCGAGCUUGCAAGAGCUCGUGCUUCGCCGCGACGGUAUCGGCGACUAGAGCGAGGAAGCUGGUGAACAGCGGUUGCAUGGCUUAUUUGGCGACCGUUGUAGAGAUUGACCGAGCGGUUCCAAUCCUCGAGGAGUUGGCGGUUGUGCGGGAGUUCCCCGAUGUGUUUCCCGCGGAGUUACCGGGUAUGCCGCCGGACCGGGAGAUCGAGUUCAUGAUUGACUUGGUUCCCGGCACCGCGCCGAUUUCUAAGGCCCCGUAUCGCAUGGCGCCGGCCGAGCUAAGGGAGUUGAGAGAUCAAUUGCAGGAUCUUCUCGACAAGGAAUUCAUUAGGCCGAGCGUUUCGCCGUGGGGUGCCCCGGUAUUAUUUGUGCGCAAGAAAGAUGGAUCUUUUCGACUCUGCGUGGAUUACCGCGAGUUGAACAAGGUCACUAUGAAGAACAAGUACCCGCUACCCCAUAUUGAUGACUUGUUUGAUCAGUUGCAGGGGUCGCGAGUGUAUUCGAAGAUUGAACUUCAGUUCGGCUACCAUCAGUUAAAGAUCAAGCCGGAAGAUGAUCAGAAGACGGCGUUUCGCACGCAUUAUGGACACUACGAGUUCACGGUGAUGCCGUUUGGGCUCACGAAUGCCCCGGCAGCGUUCAUGAGCUUGAUGAACCGAGUGUUCCAGGAGUGCUUGGACCGAUUUGUCGUGGUCUUCAUAGACGACAUUUUGGUGUAUUCGCAUAGCGACGAAGAGCACGCGGAGCAUUUGCGCGCGGUACUUCAAAUCCUUCGAGAGAAGAAGUUGUACGCAAAGCUGAAGAAAUGCAACUUUUGGCUUCGAGAGGUCGUGUUUCUCGGGCAUGCUAUUUCCGAGGGUGGUGUUUCUGUUGACCCGAGGAAAGUGGAGGUUAUUGAGAUUGGCCGCGCCCGAAGAAUGUUACCGAGGUCCAUAGUUUUGUGGGCCUAGCUGGUUAUUAUCGACGGUUUGUUCAACUGAGUAGUCUAACGUUGUUCCGAUUUUGGUUUUUGUGAACGUUGACAUCGAUUUGUUCCAAAUUUACACUCUCGAGGCAUAAUAGAAAGCUAUUACUCCUUUUUCGAUAGAAUGAGAAAAAGGACUCGUUGCAAAGUUAUACUGUUGUGGCGCAACUGAGUAGUCUAAUGUUGUUCCGGUUUUGGUUGUUGUGAACGUUGACAUCGAUUCGUUCCAAAUUUACACUCUCGGGGCAUAAUAGAACAAUUUAAUUAGGUUUUACUCUUUGUUAGAUUGAACGAGAAAAAAUACUAGAUUCAAAAUUAUACUGUUAGGGCACAACUGAGUAGUCUAAUGUUGUUCUGGUUUUGGUUCUUGUGAACGUUGACGUCGAUUCGUUCCAAAUUUACACUCUCGGGGCAUAAUAGAAAGCUUUUACUUCUUGUUCAAUAGAAUGAGAAAAAGUACUCGUUGCAAAGUUAUACUAUUUUGGCGCAACUGAGUAGUAUAAUGUCGUUCCGGUUUUGGUUUUUGUGAAUGUUGACAUUGAUCGUUCCAAAUUUACACUCUCGGCGCAUAAUAGAACAAUAUAAUUAGGUUUGGGGCUUUGUUCGAUUGAAUGAGAAAACACCCAAAAAGAGAGAGAUUAUCCCAAAUUACACUCUCGGGAAUAGUAGAAAGCUAUUAUAUUCCUUGUUCGAUAGACUAAGAAAAAGUAGUCGUUGCAAAGUUAUACUGGUUGUGGAGCAACUGAGUACCUCUAUAUGUUGUUGACAGUUUGAUUCUUUUGAAUGUUGACAGUUCAUUCGUUCCAAACUUACACUUGUCCGGGGGCAUAAUAGAUAGAAUAUAAUUAGGUUUUGGGGCUUUGUUCGAUGAAUGAAAAAGUACUCGUUGCAAAGUUAUACUGGUCAGGCUCACUGAGUAGUCUAACGUUGUUUCAGCGAUUUUGGUUCUUGUGAACGAUUUCGACAUCCGAUUCGUUCCAAAUUUAUCACUCUCGGGGCAUAAUAAAAGCAUUUCCUUUGUUCGAUAGAAUGAGAAAAAGUAACUUUCGUCGUUGCAAGUUAUACGUUUGGUGCAACUGAGUAGUCCUAACGUAGUUCGCGUUUUGGUUCUUCGUGAACGUUGACACGAUUCGUCCAAAUUUACACUCUCGGGGCAUAAUAGAAAGCUAUUACUCCUUGUUGCGAUAGACAACUGAGAAAAAAGAUACUCGUUGUAAGUUAUAGCUGUUGUGGUGGCACUGAGUAGUCUAAUGUUGUUCGCAAGUUUUGCGUUCUUGUGAACGUUGAACAAUCAGAUUCCAGUUCCAAAUUUAUACUCCUGGGAGAUAGUAGAAGGCGAAUAUAGAUAGGUUGUGCGGUCUUUGUUCGACUUGAAGAAAAAAGUACUACUUGCAAAGUUAUACUGUUAGGGCUCAUUCAGUAGGCUAACCGUUGUUCCGAUUUUGGUUCUUGUAAAGUUGACAUCGAUCGUUCCAAAUUUACACUCUCGGGCAUAAAAGAAGCUAUACUUUUCUUGUUUCGAAGAAUGAGAAAAAGUCCUCGUUGCAAUAGUUUAUACUGUGUGGUGCAAACGAGAAGUCUAAUGUUGUUCCGGUUUUGGUUCUGUGUAACGUUGACAGUUGAUUCGUUCCAGAAUUUAGCACUCUCGGGGCAUAAUAGAACAAUAUAAUUAGGUUUGGGGCUUUGUUCGAUAAUGAAAAAAAGUACUGAGUUGCAAAGUAUAGCUGUUAGGCUCAACUGAGUAUCUAACGUUGUUCCGAUUUUGGUUGCUUGUGAACGUUGACAUCGAUAUCGUUCCAAAUUUACACUCUCGGGUAUAUAGAAAGCAAUUACUCCCUUGUUCGAUAGAAAUGAGAAAAAGUACUCGUUGCUAAAGGUUAUACUAUUUGUGGUGCAACUGAGUAGUUCUAAUGUUGUUUCAGUUUGGUUGCUUGUGAACGUUGACAUCGAUUGCGUUCCAAUUUAACACUCAGCUGGGUAAAUAAAUAAGAAUAAUAUAAUUAGGAUGGACGUUUGUUGAAUUGAAUGAGAAAAUUUAUGUUACAAAGUUAAUACUGUUAGGCUCAAUGAGUAGUCUAACGUUGUUCCGAUUUUGGUUCUUUGUGAACGUUGACAUCGAUUCAUUAGCAAAUUUAUCACUCAUCGGGAAUAGAGAUAAGCUAUUACUCUCCUUGUCGAUAGACUAAAAAAAGUACUCGUUGCAAAGUUUAUACUGUUGUGUGAGGGCAACUGAGUACUCUAAUGUUUGUACAGUUUUGAUUCUUUGGAAGUUGACAUUCUGUCGUCUCAAAUUUACUAGCUCUCGGCAUUAAUAAGAAGCAAUAUAAUUAGGUUUGGGGCUUUUGUUCGAUUGAUGAGAAAAAGUAUGUUUUCGUUGCAAAGUUAUACUGGUUCCAGGGCUCAAUCUGAGUAGUCUAACGUUUUUUCCCGAUUUGGUUCUUGUGGAACGUUGAAACAUCGAUUCGUUCCAUAAUUUACAACGUCCAGGGGCAUAAUAGAAGCUAUUACACCGUUGUCGAUAGAAAUGAGAAAAAGUACUCGUUGCAAAGUUAUACUUGUUGUGGUGGCAACUGAGUAGUCUAAGCGUUGUUCGCGGUUUGGUUCUUGUGAACGUUGAACAUCGAUUCGUUCCAAUUUUACACUCUCCGGGGCAUAAUAGAAACUAUUUACCCUUGUUCGAUAGACUGAGAAAAAGUACUCGGUUGUAAAAGUUAUAACUGUUGUGGUGCAACUGAGUAGUCUAUGUUUUCAGUUUUGGUUCUUGUGAGACUUGACAUCGGAUUGCGUUCCAAAGUUUAUAACUCCCUGGGAAUAAUAGAACAAUAAAUUAGGCAGGUUUUGGUCUUUGUUCGAUUGAAAUGAGAAAAAGUACUACUUNNNNNNNNNNNNNNNNNNNNNNNNNNNNNNNNNNNNNNNNNNNNNNNNNNNNNNNNNNNNNNNNNNNNNNNNNNNNNNNNNNNNNNNNNNNNNNNNNNNNNNNNNNNNNNNNNNNNNNNNNNNNNNNNNNNNNNNNNNNNNNNNNNNNNNNNNNNNNNNNNNNNNNNNNNNNNNNNNNNNNNNNNNNNNNNNNNNNNNNNNNNNNNNNNNNNNNNNNNNNNNNNNNGCAAAGUUAUACUGUUAGGGCUCAACUGAGUAGUCUAACGUUGUUCCGAUUUUGGUUCUUGUGAACGUUGACAUCGAUUCGUUCCAAAUUUACAUUCUCGGGGCAUAAUAGAAAGCAAUUACUACUUGUUCGAUAGAAUGAGAAAAAGUACUCGUUGCAAAGUUAUACUGUUAUAGUGCAACUGAGUUGUCUAAUGUUGUUCCGGUUUCUGUUCUUGUGAACGUUGACAUUGAUUCGUUCCAAAUUACACUCUCGGGGCAUAAUAGAACAAAAUAAUUAGGUUUGGGGGCAUUGCUCCAUUGAAUGAGAAAAAGUACUAGUUGCAAAGUUAUACUGUUAGGGCUCAACUGAGUAGUCUAACGUUGUUCCGAUUUUGGUUCUUGUAAACGUUGACAUCGAUUCGUUCCAAAUUUACACUCUCGGGGCAUAAUAGAAAGCUUUUACUCCUUAUUUGAUAGAAUGAGAAAAAGUACUCGUUGCGAAGUUAUACUGUUGUGGCGCAACUGAGUAGUCUAAUGUAGUUCCGGUUUUGGUUAUUGUGAUCGUUGACAUCGAUUCGUUCCAAAUUUGCACUCUCGGGACAUAAUAGAACUAUUUAAUUAGGUUUUACUCUUUGUUACAUUGAAUGAGAAAAAAUAUUAGUUGCAAAAUCAUACUGUUAGGGCACAACCGAGUAGUCUAAUGUUGUUCUGGAUUUUGUUCUUGUGAACGUUUACGUCGAUUCGUUCCAAAUUUACACUCUCGGGGCAUAAUAGAAAGCUUUUACUACUUUUUCGAUAGAAUGAGAAAAAGUACUCGUUGCAAAGUUAUACUGUUAUGGUGCAACUGAGUAGUCUAAUGUUGUUCCGGUUUCUGUUCUUGUGAACGUUGACAUUGAUUCGUUCCAAAUUUACACUCUCGGUGCAUAAUAGAACAAAAUAAUUAGGUUUGGGGACUUUGCUCCAUUGAAUGAGAAAAAGUACUAGUUGCAAAGUUAUACUGUUAGGGCUCAACUGAGUAGUCUAACGUUGUUCCGAUUUUGGUUCUUGUGAACGUUGACAUCGAUUCGUUCCAAAUUUACAUUCUCGGGGCAUAAUAGAAAGCAAUUACUCCUUGUUCGAUAGAAUGAGAAAAAGUACUCGUUGCAAAGUUAUACUGUUGUGGUGCAACUGAUUUGUCUAAUGUUGUUCCGGUUUUGGUUCUUGUGAACGUUGACAUUGAUUCGUUCCAAAUUUACACUCUCCGGGCAAAAUAGAAUAAUAUAAUUAGGUUUGGGGCUUUGUUCGAUUGAAUGCGAAGAAGUACUCGUUGCAAUGUUAUACUGUUUUGGCGCAACUGAGUAGUCUAAUGUUAUUCCGGUUUUGGUUCUUUUGAACGUUGACAUUGAUUCUGUAACAUACCAGAUUUUGGUAUAAAAAUAAAAAUAAAUAAAAAUAGUGUGAGAAACUAUUUUUAUUGGAUUUGUAGAAGUAAAACAUAAGUCAGAAGUGACUUGUCACGCCCCGCGACCAACUGCCUAUUUGGACCGGGUCGCGGCGCCGACGACAGACCGCCGAACGGACCGGGAAUUCCCCUGUACGCGGACAGAGUCUCCCCAGUACGUCCAAGGCGUCGCAAUCCAAACAAUCAACGAAUGUUCCAACAAGGAACGGAUAUCAAUCCAGAUUGCAUAAGGAAGUAUCAAAUACAUAAUCUACUUGCUAUUACAAGCAUUCAGCUAAGUACAUCUCAAAUCAGUUUACAUUAUACUUCCGAUUUCGAUCAUAAUAAAUAUUACAUAAUUUAUUUUACAAGUUUAGUACAUUUUGAUUCUAGCCUUCCAGAACCCUAAGCUAGACUGCCUCAGGGCACUGCUACCUCAGUCUCUGUGGUGGGGCGCUAUCUACUGAGCUACGCCCUCGCCUCGCGCCGCCGCGCCGCACACGAACGACCUGAAAAUCCCAAAACAACGUGGGGUGAGAACCAAUUCCAUGGUUUCCAGUGGGUACGGCCACCCAAGGGAAAAGCUCGACCGAUAGGUCUAAGUUGGCCCUGCAACAUGUCAGUUCAACAAUAUACAAUGCGAAUAUAUUCAAUUGAAAUACAUGUCAGGCCUAACAAUAUGCGAUAUGAAAUUCAUGCAACAACUAGUAGAUCACUUGGAUUCUACUUUUACUUGACUACUUUAGCUUACAUCUUUACUCUAAGGUCUCUAUUACCUUAGGAUCACAACACAAACCACUAGCUUCUAAGGUUUCUAUUACCUUAGCUCAAGCCCCUAUCUCUAGCUCAUAAGGGUUCCUCUACCCUAUCAUAGCUAACCACCCGACUCGGCUUCGAGUCAAUCAUCCGCGGAUAGCCCGCGCGCUGGCUGCUCAACAGCCUACCGCUCUCAGCCCCCUAGCGGCGAAGUCGUCGCACACGCUAAGCUCGGCUCGAGUCGCACGACCUGUCCAUCUGGUGGCGAUCGCGUUGCUCUUACCCAGCGUGGGCUCGAGACAUGACAUACCGUCUGGCGGCGAACGGAUCGCUCCACACCCAACAACGGUCAUGUCAGACUCGGCCACCUGGAGGCACCCGCAUCGUACUUACCCAGCAUAGUAUCAGUCUGCUCUGGCGGCCUGAUCCUCAAUGGCUUAGCCAUCCUGGCGGCGAAAUCGUCGCACAAACGCCACGGCAAUGGCUCAAGCCCCGGGCGGUGAUCUCCACGUGGUCACGCCCAAUCUACCCACAGUACCAAGCUCGGCGGCGAAGUCGUCGCACACACGCCCUAGCUUGUACUAGGGACAUCAAAAGUCCUGGGAUUCCGGAAUCCACUCUCCACAGGUCGAGGGUUCAUAACCAACCCUAUAUCAUCGACCUAACUCAUCCUAGUGGCUAUACCACUAUACUCAUCAACCUAGGUUCCAACACUCUAGGUUUUAUGUCCAUGUCACUUAACCUAGGUACACUUGCUAGGUUCUUAUCCUCUUUGCCUAGAUGUCCAUUUCUAAGUUUACUAGUUCGACCUAGGUUUACCAACGCUAGGUUCGAUGCCACACACCUAGAUUGUUCGACUCUAGGUUUACUACUCAAUCUAUGUUCUUUAACACUAGGUUAGAUGCCACUCGAUCUACCUGACAACCUAGUUGUCCAAUCAACUCUACUCACACUAGAGUUAUCGUUAUUAUCUACUUAGCUUUCAAGAUGCUACUUUGCAUUCUUUAUCUUAACUAGCAUUAUACACAUGCUACAUUCAUUAUGCCUUCUACUUAGCAUUUCAUCCUUGCAUCUUAUCUAAUAUGCAUUCCUUAUUUUACUCAUGUCUACAUGCACAUGCAUCAACAGGUGAUUACAUUGCUAAGACAUAAAGGGCGACCUAGUCGCUUCGGUAAGCACAACCCACCUUAGAUAGCUUUUUCCGAUUGCACGUCGACACUUGCAAUCGGCCUCCCGCGGCACUCGGCACACGACACCCGCUUGGGCCCGAUCUCACUGUGGCUCCCCAAGAGCGCGCCGCUUCGCUGUUUCGAGUGUCGGCAACCUUCGCCUUGCUGCUACGGUGCUCGGGACCCACUCUCACAAUUUGUGGACGUCGCCUCGGCCUCCCGGGAGAAAACGAAGCUCCGAGCGCCCGCUUCUCCAAUAUCCUCGCAACGGCUUGUCGGAUUGACGAACCGACUUCGCCAACGUGUUUCGUUACCUACCAAUUAGGUUUACAAGGGGUCAAAUGAGAUCAAUCCCAUCUAUUUACAAAAACCCCACUUUGAUGCCCUAGAUGCCAUUAUUGCCAAAUCCACCAAAUCGAUCUAUGAUUUGGGGUGAAAUCAUCUAAAUAGCAUACUAGGGUACCACUAAAUCCAUUUCUAGGGUUUUAGAACCCAUCUACAAGGAACUAUUACAAGAAGCCAUGAAACUCACCUCUCCAAGAGCUCCAAGGAGAAGAAGAAGACGAAGAGGAUGACGAUGACGACGAUCUCCUGCAUCUCCUCCAUCUUCUCCUUCUUUUUCUCCUCUCUUUUCCUUUCUUUCCUUUCUUUCCUUUCUUUCUUCCCCUUCUUUGCUUCGCACGAUCAGAGAGAGGGAGAGAGAAAGAGGCUGAGGGAGUGUGAGAGAGAGAGAGAAAUAUCCCUCUCUAAUACCCUCUCACAUAUUGUAACAAUAUCCCCAAAGGCCCCUCAACUUUUCGUCUCUUACACAGCCCUCUCUGGGCAUCCCGCGCGCGGAGGGACCGGUCUCCCCGACCUGGGACCGGUCCUCGGGGCCUUCCCCCGCGGACACGCGUUCGGGAACCGGUCCCUCCCUGAGAGACCGGUCCUCGGGAGACCGGUUCCUCUCAGAGAGACCGGUUCCCGAGAGCUAUACCUUCGGGACUUAGCCGAUUUUCGGCCCUUCUCACCGAUGUCGCAGGCUGGGACCGGUCCCUCCUCUGCCAGGGACCGAUUGCAUCAGCAACCCCAUAGCCUUCGGCUGAUGNCUAAUGAUAAAGAAUUGCAUAUUCUAAAGAAAGGCUAAUGGUAAAGAAUGACUAAGAGUUGCAUAAUUUGCAUAUUUGUGAGGCAUGAACAUGUAUUGCAUGAUGUUAUAUGUAUAUAUCUGUUGGACUAACAUGUUGCAGUGCCUCCUUUGGACCUGGUGGGUUGAGCACUUCUCUUGGGUGGCUGUACCCACUGAGGACUAUGGACAAUAGUCUCACCCCCGUGUUGUUGUUUUUGGGGGUACAGGUUCACACGCGAGCGGCUUGGCGGCGCGAGGAAAGGGCGUAGCUCCGUAGUUAGCACCCUACCACAGAGACCAGAUAGCAGCACCCUGAGUCGGCUUCUUAGGGGUAAAGAAAAGAAAAGAAAAGAAAAGAAUCGAUGUUGUAAUAUUAUGUUUAGAAAUCGAUUGUAUAUUUGGAAAUUGAGGAUCAAUGUAAUGAAAAAUGCGCUGUAAAAUGAUGAGAUGAAUGAUUGUAAUAACAUAAGAUGUGUUAUGUUGUUUGAUACCUUCCUUAUGCAAUCGUUGUUGAAAAUUGUUCCUGUUUGGAACCUCUUGUACUUGUAUUGAUUGCGAGGCCUUGAACGUACAGGAGAGACUCUGUCCGCGUGCAGGGGAACCCCUGUCCGUUCGGCGGUCUGUUGGCGUGCCCGAAUCCGACCAAAGAGGCGGGCUCGGGGCGUGACAAAAAGUACUCGUUGCAAAGUUAUACUGUUAUGGCGCAACUGUGUAGUCUAAUUUAGUUCCGGUUUUGGUUCUUGUGAACUUUGACAUCGAUUCGUUCCAAAUUUACACUCUCGGUGCAUAAUAGAACAACAUAAUUAGGUUUUAUUCUUUGUUCGAUUGAAUUAGAAAAAAUACCAGUUGCAAUGUUUUAUUGUUAUGGCUCAACUGAGUUGUCUAACGUUGUUCCGGUUUUGGUUCCUGUGAACGUUGACAUCGAUUCGUUCCAAAUUUACACUCUCUGGGCAUAAUAGAAAGCUUUCACUUCUUCUUCGAUAGAUUGAGAAAAAGUAGUCAUUGCAAAGUUAUACUGUUAUGGCGCAACAGAGUAGUCUAAUGUUGUUCCGGUUUUGGUUCUUGUGAACGUUGACAUCGAUUAGUUCCAAAUUUACACUCUUGGGGCAUAAUAGAACAAUAUUAUUAGGUUUUACGCUUUUUUCGAUUGAACGAGAAAAAGUACUCGUUGUAAAGUUAUACUGUUAUGGCGCAACUGAGUAGUCUAAUGUAGUUCCGAUUUUGGUUCUUGCGAAAGUUGACAUUGAUUCGUUCCAAAUUUACACUCUCGGGGCAUAAGAGAAAGCUUUUACUUCCUUUUCGAUAGAAUACGAAAAAGUACUCGUUGCAAAGUUAUACUGUUAUGGCGCAACUGAGUAGUCUAAUNNNNNNNNNNNNNNNNNNNNNNNNNNNNNNNNNNNNNNNNNNNNNNNNNNNNNNNNNNNNNNNNNNNNNNNNNNNNNNNNNNNNNNNNNNNNNNNNNNNNAGACGUGAGUAUUAUUAUGUCAUCGACUUGAUAUAUAUAUAUAUAUGUAUAUAUAUAUAUAUAUAUAUAUACAUAUAUAUGUACAUAUAUACACAUAUAUAUGUACAUAUAUUGUAUAUAUAUGUGUAUAUAUGUACAUACAUAUAUAUGUACAUAUAUGUACAUAUAUAUGUAUAUAUGUGUAUAUAUGUACAUAUAUAUGUAAAUAUGUACAUAUAUAUGUAUAUAUACAUAUAUGUAUAUAUAUACACAUAUAUAUAUAUAUAUAUAUAUACAUAUAUGUAUAUAUAUAUAUAUGUAUAUAUAUAUAUAUCCCAGGUCGAUGAUAUGAUAAUACUCAUGCUAGCGAGAGCAUGAGUAUUUAGCAAAAGCUACUAUCUCGAAGGCUUAGUUGCUAGAUAUGGCAAUUUGCAAUAAAUGUCGUAAAUUUUAAAGAUCUUUAGUUUAAAAUAUUAAAAAGCUGUAGUAAAUGGAAUGCUAGUUCUCCAGCGUUUAAACUGUUAAAAAUUACCGGCCAUACCUUAUGAACGAUCAAAUUGCCACAUUUUCUUAGUCUUAAACAACUUAAAAACUAUCUUUUAAGAUAAGUGAUGGAUCUAUUUCUAGUGAUUGAGACUAGAACUUAACUUCCUAGGCUAGUAGGAAAAAUCCUACAGCAAGCUAAAACUGACAAGUAAAAUACGGGCGAACUACCUGAAAUAAUACUAAAGCUUUUAAAUGCUUUAAAUAAAAGAUCUUCAAAGUUUAUGAGAUCUAGUACAAAUUGCCACACCUAGCAAUUAAACCUUCGAGCUUGUAACUUUUGUUGAAUACUCAUGCUUCCCGAGAUAUGAGUAUUCUCAUAUCAUCACGAUGAGAUAUAUAUAUUCCGAUGAUAUGAUAGAUAUCAUGGCUCGAAGCCAUGAUAUCACAACCAAAAGCUAGAAUCCCGCAAGUUUAGUUGCUAGGUGUGGCAAUUUUGACUAGAUCCCAUAAAUUUCAAAGAUCUUUAUUUUAAAAUAUAAAAAAGUUUUUUGUACUCAUAAAUUUUUGAAUUAGUUUUAAAAUUAAUUUCAGAUUUAAAUUCAAAAUUUUAAAUUUUUAUUUUUAGGGACUAAAGUGAAAAAUAAAGUUUAAGAACUAAAAUUGAAAUGCAAAAAAAAAUUAAAUAGGCGAUGACAUGAUAUCGUUAAUUCUAAAAUCUCUUUUAACAAUGCGAUUCUAUUGCAAUGAAAUCAAGAGAUUUAAAAUUUUGAUUGUAAAAAAAAAUUAAGGACUAAAAUAAAAAAUAGUGAAAAUGUUGGGACCAAUGUGCGAUUAAUUCUUAAAAAAAUUGCAUGUGAGCCCCACAACCUCCCAAAAUAAAGGGAGAGCUUAUUUUAAGAUUAAUUUUAAGAUGAAUUCCGGAUUUAAAUUUUAAAUUUUAAAUUUGAUUUUUGGGGACUAAAGUAAAAAAUAAUGUUUACGGACUAAAAUUGGCAUACAACAGAAAUUAGAUAGACGAUGGCAUGAUAAUAUUGUUAAUUCUAAAACGUCUUUUAAUAUUGCCAAAGUUUCAAAAUUUUGAUUGCAAAUAAAACAAAGAUUGAGGAUCAAAAUAAAAAAUAGUGAAAAGAUUGGGACCAGUAUGCGAUUAAUUCGUAAAAAAAUUAUAUGUGGACCCCACAACCCCCCAAAAUAAGAGAAUAAAUUGAUACACUUUAAACAACAUGAUACUGAAUUGAUACAUUUUAAACCACAGGGUACAAAAGUAAAAGUGCGAAAUUACAAGGGUUUUAACAAUUGGGACGUAAUCGCAAUAAAAUUAAGAAGAAGUGAGAACUUAGAUUGCAAAAGAAAAAUAUAUUAGGGACUAAAGUAAAAAUAGUGCAAAUGUUGGGACAAAUGGUGCAAUUGACCCUCAAUUAAAAAGGAAAAAGGAAUGCGGGACCAACAAAAUCCCCGAAUAAUUAAGGAUAGCUCUUCUUUCCCGUCCUAACCUACCAUGCUCCUGCUUAGCUCAGCUUAAAAAAAAUAUUUAUUAGGAUAGCUAAAAAUAUUAAUAUUUUUAUUAAAAAAUUUUUUUAUUAAUAUUUUUAUCUGGAGAUUUACGUCACUUGGUAAGUGGCGUAAGUAUUGAGUAUAAAUCUUUAUCUUUUUCUUAUUUUCUUAUUUUCGCCAUUUGGUAAGUGGCAAAAAUGGUAGCAUCUUUAAAUCUUUCUACACCCUUUUUCUUUCUUUCACCAUUCCCACACAAACCAACGAACAUUUUCGUGGGACUUUUUAAGAAAAGACAACUUUUCACCCAAAGUCUACAAACCAACCAUCAUUUUUUUUAAAAGUCCGGGCCUUUUAAAAAAAAUGUUUUACCCUGCUUUUGCCCUCAAAAGCAAAAGGCGAGUUAAACUCGCCUUUUGCUUUUUCGCGUUGUGGCGCGCCCCCUCUUUUCGCGCGACAGGUGCUCCAGCUCGCCGGGAGCACCUGGCGUGUCUCUCCGCGCGCUUCUCUCUCCAGGUACCUGGGAGAGAGAGGUGGAGAUAUAUAUAUAUAUAUAUAUAUAUAUAUAUAUAUAUAUAUAUAUAUAUAUAUAUUUUAUUUCAUGUACUUAAUCCUUGGUUUUCUUUNNNNNNNNNNNNNNNNNNNNNNNNNUCGGUAGUAAAACGGCUCGUUUACUACCGAUAGUAUUCUAGCUCAACUCUCUCUCUCUCUCUCUCUCUCUCUCUCUCUAUAUAUAUAUAUAUAUAUAUAUAUAUAUAUAUAUAUAUAUAUACACACAAAAUCAUUUACUUAUACUGUAAUGUCCCGGGUGUUUAGCAGUCUGUGUGACUUCAACAUCUGUGGCUUGUCGACACGUCUGGUGGGUGUCGAGACAAGUCGAAGUAGUUUUGGGUUUUAUGUACAUACUGUUAUGUAGUUGUUGUACUCGUUGGAGCGAGGUGUUAUUGUGGACUUUUGUAUGUACAGUGAACCCUUUAUAUUUUAUAUAUUUUUUAGUUCUAGCAGCUUUAUACUCUUAGUUGUAGCUAUGAUUUGAUUACAGGUACAGCUAUCGCUUCGUAUAUACGAAAAAUUUCUAUGUAUACGGCGCGUCUGUUGGCAUGCCCAAGGAAACGUUGUAAUCCGGAACGUGAUAGAUUAAGUUGGUAUCAGAGCUUAGAAUUAGGUCAUUAGGACCUAGGAAACCCUAGGCUUAGCAGACCCUAGGAAGGUAAGAUGCGAGAUGCGUGACUUAUCGCGAAAGUCGGCGAUUGAGUUGUUUUAUCUCCUCCUAGAGUAGAGAAGUAACUGAAGGAGUGUCUGUUCCGCCAAAGAAAAUUAUGUCGGCUACAAACGACAUAAUUUUGACAAGGAACGAGGGUGGUCUUCUAGACUUUCGCUUGAUUGGGUCGAGAGUCAUUGUGUUUUGUAUCUGACCCUUGUUUUGGUUUCAGGUAGCCAUGAGGCCGUAUCGACGCCGAGGUCGAUCGCCGACGCGAGAUCGUUCAGCGUCAUCGGAGAUGCCAGAGCAAGCAGGACCGAGUGCACCCGUUAAUUUGAGAGAGCAGUUGGCUGCCUUAACUGAGGUGACUAGGUAGCAGGGGGUGUUUCUACAAAGGAUGUGUGAGACUUUUACUCAACAGCCGAGUACAACGCCCAGAGUGUCAGAGCAGCAGGCGCCACCCUCGACUACUCUAGUGGCCGCACCAGCGAUAGCUGUACUGCCACCAGCAACAGCUUCUACAACACCAGUGGCACCUCUCGGAGAGGCGUUGCAGAUGUCAAAGGCUGAGCAGGAGCGGAUGACAGAGAGGCUCGCUCGUUUUUGUCGGUUUGAUCCGCCGUUCGAUGGCAGUCGUACCGAGCCCUGGGUUGUAGAGGCAUAGGUGAGUGCGAUAGAGAAGCUGUUUGAGAAUCUUUUUAUACCGAAGCGAGAGCAGGUACAUCUAGCAGUGUACUGUUUGGCAGGUGAUGCGCAUGAUUGGUGGAGGAGGAUGUAGCAAAACCGAGGCUUGGUUGCCCUAUAGAUGAGGUGGGACUAGUUUUGUGGGAUGUUGUACGGGGCCUAUUUCCAAAACAGCGUUAAACAAAAACUGGAAGAGGACCUGAAGAAGCUGCAGCAGGGGGGCAGUCAGUUCAGGAGUAUACUCGAGAGUUUACCAGGCUUCUGAACUGUAUUCCAUUCGUAGCCAGGGAUGAAGCCCACAAGGUCUAUCUAUAUGAGAGAGGUUUGAGGCCAGAGAUCUUUGUUUUGGUUCAGGCGCAGAGGUUGCGGAUCUUGGAUGCGUCAAUUGAGCAAGCGUUGUGGCUUGAGAGAGAAGCUGUAUCGGUCCGUGAGGGGGCGACGGUGCCGGGGCAGAGUCAGGACAGAAAGCGCCCGGUUCCAGAUGACGGAGGACAGACUAGUAACAGAUGUCCGCCGAGGCCUUCACGAUCACGCUCUCAGGGUUGUGGGUCUUCGGGGUGACAGCGGUCUGGGGGCUCUCAUUAGCAGCGACAGCAGCAGGGGACUCCGUAGUGUGUUAUUUGUGGGGGACCACACUGGCCUCGUUAUUGUGGGCAGAGAGAGGGCCGGUGUUUUGGAUGUGGCCAGCCAGGGCAUCUGCGGGCGGCUUGUCCCCGAGCAGCAUCACCAGCACCUUCGACGGUGUCGGCCCCGCCGGUACCUCAGUUGACCUUUGGAGUACCACCGAGCUACAGCCAGGUAGACAAGGCUUUAGUGCUGCGGCAAAGUGAGCGAAAAUAGCAGGCAUCAAGUGGCAGGGUGUAUGCAGCUCAGGUUAAGGACUCCACGGCAGCAGAUUGUGUGGUAGCAGGUAUUAUUUUAUUUUCUGGCAUUAGAGUUCGUGUAUUAUUUGAUACCAGUGCAUCGCAUUCUUUUAUUAGUCGAGUAUUUGCAUCAUUGUAUGGACUAGAGAUAGAGCCGCUGUUACAUGCAUUAGAGGUGCAGAUUUUCGACCAUAUUUUACAUGUGGUGGAGUAUUGUUGGGCUUGUCCAGUGCAAUUGGGCUCUUGGAUUAUGUCUGCAGACCCAUUGGUCUUGGGGUAGUUGUAGGACUUUAAUGUAGUGCUUGGCAUAGAUUGGCUGGCUCGAUACUAUGCGACGAUCGACUGUGGAGCUAGGACAGUGACGUUCCGCAAGCCAGGCCAAGAGAAGUUCACUUUCAGAGGCUGCAGGAGUACACUAUUCGCUACUUGAAUCUCUUCAGUGAGGGCUAGACAGCUGAUAAGUCGAGGGUGCGUCGCUUUCUUGGCGACGGUAGUAGAGGUGCCUACGGCGGCACCGGGACUCGAGGAUAUCCUUGUAGUUCGCGAGUUCCUGGAUGUCUUUCCUCUGACCUCCGAAGCUGACGACUAUGCUGCCGGAUAGAGAGAUUGAAUUUGUGAUUGACGUGGUUCCUUGAACUGCGCCAAUCUCGAAGGCACCUUACCGAAUGGCACCGGCAGAGCUGAGGGAGCUUAAGGCGUAGCUUCAGGAUAUGAUGGAUAAGGAGUAUGUGAGACCCUGUGUGUCAGCUUGGGGAGCGCCGGUGUUAUUCGUAAAGAAGAAGGAUGGUUCACUUAGACUAUGUGUGGAUUAUCGGAAGUUGAAUAAAGUGACCAUCAAGAACAAGUAUUCUUGCCCCGCAUUAAUGAUCUGUUUGAUCAACUACAAGGAUCUUGUGUCUUCUCGAAGAUUGAUUUACAGUCAGGUUACCACCAAUUAAGGGUAAGGGUCGAGAAUGUUCCAAAGACGACUUUCUGGACUCGGUACGAGCAUUAUGAGUUCACAUUGAUACUUUUUGGAUUGACUAAUGCCCCUGCCGCAUUUAUGCAUUUGAUGAAUCGAGUAUUUAAGCCGUUCCUUGAUAGAUUUGUGGUAGUAUUCAUUAAUGAUAUUCUGAUUUACUUCCGGAGUGAUAUGGAGCACGAAGAGCACUUGAGGAUAGUAUUACAGCUUCUGCGAGAGAAGAAGUUGUAUGCUAAGUUGAAGAAGUGCGAGUUUUGGCUUCAGGAGGUUUCUUUCUUAGACCACGUGAUUUCUGCAGCUGGAGUAGCAGUGACCUGAAGAAGAUUGAUACGAUUCAGGAUUGGCCCAGAUCGACGACAGUUACCGAGGUGCGAAGUUUUCUUGUAUUGGCUGGUUAUUACCGUCGGUUUGUGGAAAGCUUUGCGAAGCUUUCCACAACCCUUGUCACGCCCCGGGACCCGGCGGAGGCCAGCCCGGCGCGUGCCCAGACCCGCCAUAUGCCUGCACAUAUAAGGCAUCUACAACAAAAGCGAUGAAUAAAGAAAUGAUAAUAAAUAUCAAGAGAUAUCAGAACAUGAGUACAACUAACAUCUAUCAACAAGUAGAAGCAGUAAAACUAUCAACUGUAAUAAUCCACAAAAGGAGAUACACCAAGAGAUCCAAGAGUAAUAGUAAGAUGCAAAAUGGUAGUCUCUAUACUGGGUACAAAUCACUCUCAUCCUCUCCAACUAAUACAAAAGGAGAAAAUGAUCCACCUAGCAAGACUCUCCUCGCUCGCUAGCUCCAAGCGACACCCUUGCCGCGGUCCCUAGUCUCUCCCGGAAUGGAAGGCUCUGAAAGAAAACAUCAAACAUAGGGCGUGAGAACUAUAAUUUAUAGUUCCCAGUGGGUAAUUACUCAACUUAGCAAAAUGCACCACUAGGCCCAAAAGCAUGAGUAGAUAUGAGAAACUACUAAUAAACUACAGAUAUGAAAACAUGUAUUGAAAUGCUAAACUACUAUGCCAUAACAUAACAUGAUGUACAUCUAUUCUAUCAUGGUCACUAUGCCUAAUAUGUAACUGGUAUGCUCCAACAUGUCAUCAAGUAUACUAUAAUGCAAAAGCAAUACUAUCAAGUAUACAACAUGUCCAUAUGUCCAAUACUAUGCCAUAAGCUCGUCCAAGGAAUUCAUCUACUAUUAUCUAUCUAGUAGUGAUUGUCAUAUUAUAGUUUAAUGUCAAUGUCCAAUCUCAUUCAGGACCUACAAGAGUGUAGUCCGGCUUGCGCCGCCUAACUGCCUGUGGUAGCCCGUCAUCCCACGUUGGAAUGAGUCUAUCCCACGCAGCCCGGUAGGCUUCUCAAUCCCGCACGAGCGAACUACUGUCGCAAAGGCUAACUCCGGAGUGCCGGCUUGUAGGGAGCGACCCUCACAAGCAUGUGCGAAUGAGCACAAAUGACAAGCAAGCAUAGUCAUCGUCUCAAGGACCCAGUCAUCAUGUCUCUAACAUGGAAAUAGUCACUAGCAACCUAAGGUUCUAGUUUAAUGUCCCAAAGUAAAGGUUCAACCAUUUAUUAUACCUAAUGCCCCUUCAUGGCAUUAGGUUUACUAAGUCCAUACAUUUGCUGUCACGCCCGGGUACCAGCGGAAGCAUAUCCGGCACGUGCACAGACCCGCCAUACACCUGCAGUAUAUAAACGCUACAGCAGCAAUCGAAUAGAAGUAAAAACAAGAGAAGUCCUAAUCCUGAUAUCAAGAGCAAAGUAAAGUCGAUAUACAACGAUCAUCCAACGAAUCAAAAUACAAGUGUAUACAAACCAUAGAUCCGAGCAAAAUGGAAAGUAACACUACUAUAAUCUCAAUCCCGAAAGUAAAUAUACAUUCACGGCUGUUAGCAAAAAAAGAUAGCAAUGGUGGCCUCUCUAUAUAUAAUGACACACCUCGAGCCGCUAAGCCCGAGUAGCAAGGGUGAUCGACUAGUCACGCUCCUGUAGUCCCUAGCUAGGCGCGACGUGCCCUUUGCACAUGAAAUCCCUAGCUCUCCUGCUACAGCCUCUGUAAAACAACCACGCAAAAGGGUGAGAAUAUUAACAAUAGUUCCAGUGGCUAAGCCGCCAGCCUCGGGCGGACAUUACCACCACUAGGCUCAAGAUGGUACAUGAAUGAGAAUAGAAAAGCAUGUAAUUGCAUGCAUAGUUUUCAUGCUAAGCAACUUCAUAACAAUGUUAACAAAUAAUGAACCAUGUAACAACAUGUGAUCAUACAUCAACCAGUAAUGAUCAACUGAAUGAUAGAACAUGGCUACUACUUAUAAGUCGAAUACAUCGCAUAUAAGUGUUAAGUAACUACUGUACACUGUUAACUGGUAAUCAUUCAUUUAACUGUCGCAAUUUCCUUUUAGCCACUUUCCUUUCAUUCACAGGGCAUCUACUCAAGGAGUAACACUUGCGCCCGUAGGGCCUAAUGGCCGGUAGAUACACUCUUCCCCCAGCAAUCCACUUCGGCACCCAAUCCCGCACGGGCGAGCAACUGUCGCGUAGGCCAACUCCGGAGUGCCGGCUUGUAGGGAGCUACCCUCACAAGCGUGUGCGAAUGAGCACGAUGGCAAGCAAGCAAGGUCCACAGUCCAACAUGUCUCAAUUAUCAUGUUUUAGUUCACAAUAUUCUCGUUCUCGAUCCUUUGAUCGACAUUUCAGUAUAACAAAUAUUAACAACAACUAGAAUCCACUAGUUUAGUAAGCAUACAGGGGUAAUGCUAAUUUACAUAUGGCAUUAGAAUCUUUCCACUAUCAUGGAGGCAUAAAGUAUGUCAUGGUUCUCUACUUUCCAAAAUCAUCAUCAUUAUGUCCAUUAGUUAACUUAACUAAAUAUAAACAUAAAUAUAAGCAUAAAGACACUUAUGCAUGAGUGCUCUCUACUUCAUAGAGGUUCUAUUUCCAUUAUGCUAAGCUUAAUCACACGGAUGUCCCCAAUCCUUUAGCAACUACAUAGUGACAAUAACACACAAGUAUAUCAAUUCUCUAUAAUGACAUAUAGAACAUAGAGGAGCUUCACUUGCUCUGGUUAGGUCCGACCCACCUCGUACUAUGCUCAAAGCAGUCACAAGACGUCCCAAGAAUCAGCUCAACAAAGUCCCAAACCUCACGUUAAGCUUCCGGAAGGCCCUCCAAUGCCAAACAAAGGCGAUCCAAGGGUCAAAUACCUUCUCGCUGCGAACAAUAUCAAAACGGCGUCAAAAUCAUUGACUAUUAAUAAAUAUAGCCGGAAACUUGCGAUUUCAGUUUUCUAACUGAAGUUCUAGCUCACCCUAGGUUAGAGCAGCUUCCUAACCAGCUUCUAAGGGUACAAAUUCAGCUCAACGAAGCUCGAAGACCUGCUGCGAAGGAAAAUCCCCAAUUGCAUUAGUUCGCUCAAACAAUAGCAUUUCGUUCCAAAAUAGCUUCAUAAAUGGCUAAAUAUCUCCAUUAAGCUUCAAAGUAGCUUAACCCUGGUCUAAGGAGGUUAAUUCACAGCUAAUUAAUCCAACUUUAAUUGCUGAAAUCUCAGGUUAAAGCAACUAGAAGCAAUAACUCAAACGCAACACGUAAACGACUACUAGAACGUUGAUAAAGGAGAAAAUCGAGUCGUUUACCUUCUCAAGCUUCCAACCAGCACCUCACUGGUCCAGGGCUGCGAAAAUCCCUCCAAAACGCUCUCUUGCACGUGCACAAAGGUGCUGCGACGCUCGCAACCAGCGAAGAACGCGCGCGACGACGAAAACGAGCGAAAUCGGCGAAUUCUUUGUAGAGAGAGAAAAACCCUAGAGAGAGAGAGAGAAAAUGAUGCAAGGUUGCUUCUCUGGGCUCUAGCACACUCCAGCAAGCUCCAAGAGUCGUGCUGGGAUCAAAUAGGUAGGCACAAGAUGUGAAAUGACCAAUUUGGCCCUGCUACCACGAAUCUGCCAGCUUGUACCGGUACAAGGUAAUGGCUGUACCGGUACAGCAAGCAGAAAAUGCUGAAAUUUCGCAGGUCAAUGCAUUUUCUUAUUUUUUGCAUUCCAAUCACUCUCAAACUUGUCCAAACACUUGUUCUAACCUUUUAGAACAUGUAGGAGUGAUCCACACACCAUUCCACACACUCGAACUUCGCAAUUUGCAAAAGUUCAGUGUAUUACACUCACCCCUCCUAAAAAGAAGUUUCGUCCGCGAAACUUGAAAUCACUUACCUCAAGAUUCUGUCGAGAAAAGAUAGGGGUAGUGCUCUUGCAUUGCACUUUCCAGUUCCCAAGUGGCUUCCCGUUCCUCGUGAUUGCUCCAAAGGAUUUUCACGUAGGGUAUCUCGCGAUUACGAAGCCGUUUCACUUCUCGAGCUAGUAUCCUCACUGGAUGCUCCUCGAAGCUCAAAUCUUCUUGUAAAUCCACUGGAGCACUCUCAAGUAUGUGUGUUGGAUCAAAUACAUAGUUCCGAAGUGUGGACACAUGAAACACAUUAUGCACUCCCGAUAGGUUCGGCGGCAAAGCAAGCCGAUAUGCUACGGGGCCUAUCCGCUCCAACACCUCGUAGGGUCCAAUAAAUCGAGGGCUUAACUUUCCUCGAAUGCCAAAUCUUUUAACUCCUUUCGUCGGUGAAACCUUCAAAAAUACAUGAUCGCCGACUUGAAAUUCCAGUUCUCGCCGACGUUUAUCCGCAUAACUCUUUUGUCGACUUUGAGCUGUCAGUAGACGUUCUCGCGCAAGUCGCACUUUAGCUUCAGCUUCUUGCAGUACAUCUGGACCCAACACUAACCUCUCACCCACUUCACUCCAAUGAAGUGGUGAUCUACACUUUCUACCAUACAGGGCUUCAAACGGUGCCAUCUGAAUACUUGCGUGAUAACUGUUGUUAUAAGCAAAUUCAGCCAUCGGGAGGAACUGUGGCCAACUGCCCUGGUAGUCAAUCACACAGGCCCUCAACAUAUCCUCAAGGGUCUGGAUGGUACGCUCAGACUGCCCAUCACUCUGGGGGUGGAAAGCAGUACUAAAAUCCAAUCGGGUACCCAAAGCCUCCUGUAAACUCCUCCAGAAAUGUGAAACAAAGCGGGUGUCUCGAUCCGAAACAAUAGAGGCAGGUACUCCGUGUAAUUGCACAAUUUCAUCAAGGUACACUUGUGCGAGUCUCUCUCCUGACCAAGUUGUGUGGAUUGGAAUAAAGUGGGCAGAUUUGGUCAAUCUAUCCACAAUUACCCAAAUUGCGUCAUGACCUGUUUGUGAGCGAGGUAAUCCAACAAUGAAGUCCAUAGUAAUCCUCUCCUACUUCCACACUGGUAUGGGUAAACUUUGAAGUUUUCCCGCAGGAAGUCGAUGUUCAGCUUUGACCUGCUGACAGGUUAAGCACUUAGCUACGAAGUCUGCAACUUCCUUUUUCAUUCCAAGCCACCAGUAGGUUAACUUCAAAUCUUUAUACAUCUUUGUACUCCCGGGGUGUACAGUAUACGGCGCCCGAUGUGCUUCUGUUAGAAUCUCUUCUUUAAUAUCUGGAUUGGCAGGCACACAAAUUCUAUCACCGAAUUUAAGCAGUCCCUGAUCAUCCACUCGAAAAUCGCUAAUUGGAUCAACAGUGAUCUUUGCUCGAAUCUUUUGCAGGGAUUCGUCUUGAGCUUGCUUUUCUUUAAUUCGAUCAAUCAAGGUAGGUUUUACCACCAAUGACAUAAGCCUCCAAGGCGUAUCAGGAGCUACAACUUCCAAAUUCAACUGCUCCAUGUCCUUAAUCAACAGGGGUUGCAUAGUUAUCGACAUCGCCAAAUUUUCCGUCGAUUUUCGACUUAAGGCAUCUGCUACAACAUUAGCUUUUCCUGGAUGAUAGAGAAUGGUCAAAUCAUAAUCCUUGAGCAACUCCAACCAUCUACGUUGCCUCAAGUUUAAUUCCUUCUGAGUAAACAGAUACUUUAAGCUCUUAUGAUCGGUGUAAACCUCGCAACGCUCGCCGUAGAGGUAGUGGCGCCAAAGCUUUAGGGCAAAAACCACAGCUGCCAACUCUAGAUCAUGUGUAGGGUAGUUCUUUUCAUAAUCCUUCAACUGGCGAGAUGCAUAAGCAAUUACUCUGCCAUUCUGCAUUAGAACACACCCUAACCCAUUCAGCGACGCAUCGCUGUAAAUCACAUAGUCCACUCCAGUAACAGGCAGUGCCAGAAUCGGGGCGGUAGUCAAUCGUUCCUUCAGCUCUUGAAAGCUUCUUUCACAAGCUUCGUUCCACAGAAACUUAGCUCCUUUAUGUGUGAGUCGAGUGAGAGGAGUAGACAUCUUUGCAAAUCCUUCAACAAAUCUUCGGUAGUAUCCCGCCAAACCAAGGAAACUCCGAAUCUCUGUGACACUAGUCGGCCUAGCCAAAUCUUUAAUCGCUUCAACUUCUUGGAUCCACAGCAUCCGAGUUUCUGAAUACAUUUCCCACGAAACGCACACUUCCGACGCCAAAUUCCAUUCUUAAAGCUUUGCAAUAAUUUCUUUUCGCGAAAGUACUGAGUACUUCCUUAGAUGACUUUCAUGCUCCCGUUCACUAUCGAGAAUAAGAUCAAAGAUAUCGUCCAAAACACUACUACGAACCUGUCCAAAGAAGAAGGGCUUAAAGAACGGUUACAUUAAAUCCAUAAAGGCUGCUGGGGCUUAGAUCAAUCAUGCAUGACUGAAAUUCAAUAAUGCCCAUACGCUGUUAAAACAGUUUUUAGAACAUCUUCAGGCUUGAUAAUUAAGCUGAUGUAACCAGAUGCAAAUCAACUCUUGGUAAUACACCGUUCGAUCCUUGCAGCUGAUCAAAUAAGUCCAUGCAAUCUGCGGCAUGGAUAUUAAUUCUUGAUCGUACUUUGUUUGAAUUUCUUGAUAAUCACUACACAUGGUGCUAUCAAGAGAUCCAUCCUUUUUUUGACAAACAACACCGGUCGCUCCCAAGGGAAUACACUUGGACGAAUAAUCCCUUAUCUAAGAAGAUCUUGUAAUGUCCGUCAGCUCUUUCAAUUCAGCAGGUGCCAUCCUAAUACAGGGCUUUUCGGAUAGGGCAUUCCCAGGGAACAAGAUCAAUCAAAACUUCGACUUCCUAUCAGGUGGAUGCCCGGCAACUCAGCUGGGAACACAUCCCGAACUCCCCAGCACAACUGGAUAACAUACAAUCUGACGGUUUUUCCCGUCACUCACAAAAAAAUGCUAGCCAAAUAGGCUACACAACCUCUCCGUACAACUGUCGGGUCAUCGCGAAGAUCUAAUAGUCAUUGGCGAACAAUGAACUCUGACACCCUUUAUAACAAACUCUUGCUGCCUCCGGCUUCCUAACCGGUCACCGUUCUGUUUCGUGCAAUCAAUAGUGGCAUAAGUACUGAUUAACCAAUCCAUACCCAAUCCUACAAUCAAACUCACCUAGUUUGUGUAGUGCUAGUAAAUCUCACUGCAUAAUCCAGUCGGCACUACCCAACUGGCAGCGAGGGCAAAAACUCACGAACAUAUAGGGUAUGGUCAGGUACAAUUACUCGCCCAGAUGCAAAGUGGGUGCUAACUUAAUCUAUGCAACUCUCGGCGAAUCUGCGGCGUCAUAAAAGAAUGCAAGCACCAGUAAUCAUAAUAAUGCACGAACAAGAAUAUCAAUCAAUCAUAAUAAUACCUGCUACGACCUCCUGUCUGCUGCGCGGCCCCAGGCUGGGCAGGCAUACAUCCGCCACACUCGACCCUGGGCUCGAACUCUCCGACUGCCGCUGUCUGCUGUGGGCGCCUAUGACUGAGAUAAAGCACUGUCGGGUCCCCUGGCUCGGAUCUAAAGAUGCCAGUCAGGUCGCUGACCAAGAGGGUGCAGGCAAAGAACCUCUCGGCACUCUGAACGAAAGUGCCCUCCUGGUCAGGCAAAGAAACACCUGCCCCCACGCUGUGGGCACUGGGCGCGCACGUGAGGCCCACCAUCAGAUAUACACAAACGCGGCGGUCGACAGACGCUCAAGUGCUCCACGGGCGCUUGAAGAACUCUUCGAUCCCUCUAACGGACGCUCCUCGGCCGUCUGGUUCCUACGAUAUUUGCGGUCUCCCGAGGAUUGUCUGACCACGCUUCAGCUGCUGUCUCUCCAUUGCCUCGAUCCACCACGCUCUUCCUUCAUGAUUUCCGCCCCUUUCUCACAAUCAGGCCCGGUUCACCACAUCUCUGUAAGUCGAAGGAUUACGGCUGGAACCAAAUCUGAAAAUCGCAGGUCGCAAAACCCACCUCUCAAAAAAUAAGAGCAAUGAAAAUCCUCACAUCUCUUAACACAAAACGGAAAACGCAGUGCAUAUCGAGAGAACUCGUCAUACUCAGCCACUGUCUCUGUUCCGCCCUGUCUAGGUUUCUUCAAAUCCCUUCCAUCUGCCUCUUCAACACAUCCGUGAAAAUAGGUAUCAACAACAACUCCUUAACCUGUUCCACGUAAUAAGAGACAAAUCAGCACGGGAAUCCUCCGGAUUCCACCCACCAUCUGUAAGCCUGCGCCGUCAAGGUGUUUUGUCCCCGCAAACUCAAACCCGGUACUGUCCUCCACAAAGGUAUCAUAGAAUAGCCUUUCCAAUUGCAUCAGCCCAUUUCUCGACCACACCAGUGAUCUGCCUCUCCCCGUCAAAGACACGAGGGUUGCAACGAACCGACGAAUUCAUUCAGUCGUUUCCCAUCAUCGCUCCGCCUCUCUCAAACCCCCACCUAUCUCGGUAACACAUUCCCAAAGCUACAUGCUACAGUACUGGUGUUGUACUACUGUCUUCCUUUCGGGUCUCUGCCCUCGGAGCUACUGGGGUGUGUCAAGUACAGGUGAUUGUGCUCUCAACUGUGGCGCCUCUCUGGUCUAUAGACAAGAUCGGAAUAUCUCUGUCGUCCCGUCUGCCGCAGUAACAGAUCCCUAACCUCUUCAUCUGCCUCACUGGCCGACGUCGCAGCGUCCAUAACUGCUGUCGUGCUGCCGCGGCCUGCUGAGUAACCAAACUCUGUUCAACGUCGCAAGCUGAUCCUGCAACUCAUGGAUCUCAACUGGACCGCGACGUGACGAAGUCUCUACUCUUCCGCAGCGGCAGCCUCACCGCCGGCGGUCCAGAAGGGGGGGGGGGGACGAGUCGUAGCAUUGAACUUGCACACAAAAACAAACAUAGGGUCACUAAACCCUAUACUACUGAACCUCAUUGAGGAUAUAAACCAGGCUAAUCAAAGCGAAAGUAAUGAAUGUAACGCCUACUAACUUCCGAAUGUCACGUUGUCGGCCGCCAUAACGUACGCCUUCUGCAAAGUUAGUACUUCACAUCGCGCGAUCAAACUCCUACUAUUCGGAGUUUAUAAGGACGCCAUCAAAGUACAUCGCUAACAACCAACCUCUGACUAGACAUCGUCUCUCACGAGCCUAUCCUUAUAGUCCCAACCAGCUAAAGUUGCUAGGAUCUAACUAAGACUCAACCCUAGGCCUGAUUACCACUAUAAUCGUCAGCCGGGUACUCAGCGGAAGCAUAUACCGGCACGUGCACGACCCCGCAUACACACUGCCGAUAAUUAAGACUGUCUACGAGAAGCAAGCGAUAGGAAGGUAAACAAGAAGUCCUAUCCUGAUAUCAGAGCAAAGUACAGUCGAUACUACCAACGAGUUAUCCAAUCCGAAUCAAAAAUACAAGUGUAUACAAACCAUAUGAUCUCAGCAAAAGUAAGGAGAAUAACACUACUAUAAUCUCAACCCCGAAAGUAAAAUAUAACAUUUCACGGCGUGUACAAAAAGAUAGAUACAAUUGGGUGGGGUCCUCUUAGUAUAUAAAUAUGCGACAUCACCCACGCCGCUAGCCCGAGUGCAAGGUGAUCGACUAAGCACGCUCCUAGUAGUCCCUAGCUAGAGCGCGACUCCCUUGCCAGCAUCCCUAGGCUCUCCUGCAUAACAGGCUCUGAAGAAACAACCACCAAAAAAGGCGUGAGAAUAUUAACAAUAGUUCGCCACGUGGGUAAGCCGCCAAGCCUCGGGCGAAUUACCACCACUAGGCUCAAUGAUGUACAUAAUGGAAUAAAAAGCAUUAAUAUCUGAUAGAUUUCAAUGCUAACAUACUUCAAACCAAUGUUAACAUAAUGAACAUGUAACCAACAUGUGAUCAUAGCAUCAACCAGUAUGAACAACUGAAUGAUAGAACAUGCUACUACUUAUAAGCGUAAUCAUGCGAUAAGUGGUAAGAACUACUGUACACUGUUAACUGGUAAUCAUUCAUUACUGUCAAUUUCCUUUAGCCAAUUUUCUUUCAUGUCACAGGCGAUCUACUCAAGGUAGUCAGCUGCGCCGCCGCCUAAUGGUCCGUGCCGUUAGUACACAACUCCCCACGGCAAUCACUUCGGCACCCAUCCCGCCGACUGGGGAGCAACUGUUCGCGGUAGGCCAACCCGCAGUGCCGGCUUGUUAAGGGAGAAUACCCUCACAAACGUGUGCGAUAUGAGCACGGAAUGGCAAGCAAUCAAGGCACAGCUCCAACAUGUCUCAAUUAUCAUGUUAGUUGCACAAAUUUCGUCUCGAUCCUUUAGAUCGACAUUCAGUAUAAACAAAUAUAAACAACAACUAGAAUCCAGCUUUUAGUAAGCAUUACAGGGUAAAUGCUAAUUACUUAUGGCAUUAGAAUCUUCCACUAUCAAUGGAGCAUAAAGUCAUGUGGAUGUAUCUAUACUUUCCAAAAUCAUCAUCAUUAUGUCAUUAUGUUAAGACUUAACAAAUAUAAACAUAAAUAUAAGCAUAAAGACACCUAUAUGCAUAGAGGCUCUUCUAUCAUGAGAGCGUUCUAUGUUCCCAUUAGCUAAGCUUAAUCACGAUCGGAUGUCCCCAAUAUCCUUUAGCAGUACUACAUAGUGACAAUAACCCACAAGCUAUAUCAUCUCUAUAAUGGACAUAUAGAACAUAGAGGAGUCACUUUGCCUCUGGUAGGUCCGAACCCCACUCGUACUAGCUCAAAGCAGCAGUACACAAGACUCGUCCAAGCAAUCCAGUACUCAACAAAGCGCAACUCCUCUUAAGACUUCCGGAACCCUCCAAGUCCCAAACAAAGGCGAUCAAGGUCUAAAAACCUUCUCGGCUGCGAACAAAUCACAAAACGGCUACAAAAUCAUUGCGACUAUUAUAUAAAUCAGCCUGGAAAACUUGCGCGAUUUCAGUUCUUCAACCUGAAUUCUAGCUUACCUAGGUUAGAGCAGCUUCUCCGCCAAACCAGCUUCUAAGGGUAGCAAAUUCACAGCUCAACGAAGCUCGAAGACCUGCUGCUAAGAAAACUCCCAAUUGCAUUAGGUUCAAACAAUAGCAUUUCGUUCCAGAAAUAGCUUCAUAAAUGGUAAAAUAUCUCCAUUAAGCUUCAAAGUAGCUUAACCUGGCUAAUGAGGUUAAUUCACAGCUAAUUAAAUCCAAUUUAAUUGCUGAAUCUCAGUGUUAAAGCAAUCUAGAAGCAAUAACUCACAAACGGGCAACACGGUAAACCGUACUACUAGAAACGUUGAUAAAGAAGAAAUCGAUGUCGUUUACUUCUCAGGCUUCCAACCAGCACUCACUGUCCAGCUGCGAAAUAAUCCCUCAACCUCUCUAUGCACUGCUACAAAGUGUGCUGCGGCCUUCGCAACACAGCGAAGAACGCUGCGCCCCGACGACGAAACGUGCGAAAUCAACCGCGAAUUUUUGAGAGAGAGAAAAACGCUAUGAGAAGAUCGAGAGAACAUGGGAAGGUUGCUUUCUUGGGCUCUAGCACACUCCAGCAAGCUCGCAAGAGUCGUGCUGGAUCAAAUAGGUAGGGCAAAUUAAAAUUACGAAAACCAAACUGCACGUUAUCUGCAUUGUGUACGGUACACCAUAAUGGCUGUACCGGAAUAUCACAAGCAGAAAGCUGAUUCGCCAAUCAAUCACUUUCUUCUGUUUAGCGCAUCCAACAGCCUCUAACUUAUCCAAAAUAACUGGUUCAACCUUUUACGAACAUGUAUGGAGCGAGCCACUCAUACAUUCCACAUACUCGAACUCCGCAAUUGGCGAAAGUCCAUGUAUACUAUAUGCCAAUAAGUUCAAGAAAUCGCUUCGACGAUCACUUUCUUGUGUAUCCAAAAGUCUAAUAAGCUCUCACAAUGGCCCAAAACCCUUUAACAAACAAUUAGAAAUUGUGGCACAUGGCCACUUCUCAACCACAACUUUCCAACUUCACCAAUUGAGUUCAAAAGGUAUUACAUUGGGCCAGCCAUGCCUCUUUAUGACAUAAGCUUACCCUAUAUCAUACUAUCAUAUACAUCUAACCAUCUUUUAUGGCAUUAUGUCUUCAUCUUAGGUCAACAGAGUUCAUGCAUAUUGUACUCGCAUCUUCCACACUUGAAAUGUGAUCCCCAAAGCCACACAUAAAAUGCUAUCUAAAUGCAUGAUUCCAACCAUGAAUAACUCCUACUACAUAAGGUCCAAAUUUAUUAUAUCAAUGACAAAAUAACAUUUUAAGCAAAUUCUAAAUCCAUAAACUAAUUCUAUCUAGUAUGAUAUCAUGAAAUUUUAAUUUUACGGCAAGUAUAACCAUCAAACGAAAAUUAUCGUCAUUUUGGUGGCCCAACCAAGCUCUCCUCACGAUCCUCGUUUGAGCCGAUAAAGUGCCCACAACCUCUUACUCCCUAAAGGUGAAACUAGGAAAAGUUACAACGAACGAACGAACAACCACAUAGUUAAACAUUAACCAUCAAAAGAAUAGGCAAAACGUCCACGCUUAAUGGUGAAAAAACUCUCUCAAAAUCUCUCAAAAAUAGAUAAGAACCUUCUAAAUCCAACCUAGAUGAAGUCUAAUUCCAAACAAUUGACUCCAAAAGUCUUAAUGCAAAAAUCUCCAAAAUAAGCCCUAAAUAUCUCAUUCUAGGGUUUUAUCUAGCAAAAUCCAUCAAAACAUGAAUCUAGGCCAGAAACAUGAUACUCAAAUCUCAAGAGAAGCUCCGCAACAAUGUCUCAAAGUCAACUAGUUGAGAUCUUGCCCAAAUACAAGCUCAGUCCAACUCCCAACCUUCUUCCCAGUGUGGAAAUGGCACCAAGAAACAACAAACAUGACAGAAAAAGAAGGUUUAAUCUUCAAAUCCCAACUAAACACGAAAAUUAAAAAACAAAAGAGAAGGGUGAGGCCCUACCUCUCUCCACUACCUCCAAUGCGCUCAGGGAAACAAAGGGGAGGCGUGGAUUACUGUAAAGUGUUCUACAAUUCCAAGAAACACCUCUCAAAACUAAUGACGUUUCAAAGUGUACGUACACGAAUAAAAGUGUAAGCCGGUACAAAUCCUCAGUAACGCCAACCCGAGCCUCGGGUUGGCAAAAAUCGAUCGUGUAACCGGUACAAAUCCAAUGUUGUACCGGUACAACUCCGUUCCCCAAAAUACAACCUUUCAAAUGUUGUACCUGGUACAUUCCCUCUGCAGAACUGCAACCCAAGAGCAGAACUAAGUCUUUUUUCUCUUUGGAGACCUUCAGCUCUAAGCUUUAAUACUCAAUUCUCGGAUCGAGCCACUAAGUCGGAACACUGUCCAACGACCCUCCCAAAGAUAUCUGAAAAAACUCAGAGACAUUCACAUCAAACACUCGAACCUCGCAAUUUGCAAGGGUCCAGUGGUUACACCCCUCAUUCGAAUUGACCUUUAAAAGGAAUAAGUUUGUCGGGAGUGAGCGAUUGCCAAGAGCUCGAAUAAGUUGAAUACAGAAUUAUGUCCGGCUCUAAUCCUUGCCUUAUCCAAGUUUAUAGGAAAGGAUUGUGACUACAGUGAUGCAUCACACAACGGAUUGGUUUGUUCUGAUCCAGCAAGGGGGGGGGCAUGGUAGGCCGUAAUUAUUUAUGCUUCGCUGGCGCUGAAGGAUAUGAGAAGAUCUUAUCCUACGCAAUCUGACUUAGAGCUGCCCAACUGUGGCGUUUGACUGAACGUUGUGGCGGCUUAAAUUGUAAGUAGCACUAUGAGAUCUUUAUAGAUCAUAAAAGUCCAAGUAUCUAUCACCUCCAGAAGGAGUUGACCUAUGAGCAACGCCGGUAUAAAGUUGUUGAAAAGAAUAUGAUUCAGUAUUCAGUUAAUCACCCACCGGCAAAGGCAAUGUGGUGGCAGAUGCGUUGAGCAGGAAGUUUGUGCAGAGUUGGAGUGUUGAUCACUCAGCAGACCGUUGCUUGAAGAGUUACAAUGACGAGGCUCGAGGUAGUGUUACUUGUGACUACUGCAAGACUGAUGUCUAUGGUCUUGCAGCCUACUCUGUUGAAANNNNNNNNNNNNNNNNNNNNNNNNNGAGGAGCUUACAGGAGGCCAUGGGCACCCGACUGGAUUUUAGUACUGCUUUCCACCCCCAGAGUGAUGGGCAGUCUGAGCGUACCAUCCAGACCCUUGAAGAUAUGUUGAGGGCCUGUGUGAUUGAUUACCAGGGCAGUUGGCCACAGUUCUUACCGAUGGCGGAAUUUGCCUAUAAUAACAGCUAUCACGCAAGUAUUCAGAUGGCACCGUUUGAAGCCCUUUAUGGCAGAAAGUGCAGAUCACCCCUUCAUUGGAGCGAAGUGGGAGAAAGGUUAGUUUUGGGUCCAGAUGUACUACAAGAGGCUGAAGUUAAAGUUCGACUUGCGCGAGAGCGUCUACUGACAGCACAAAGUCGACAAAAGAGUUAUGCGGACAAACGUCGGCGAGAAUUGGAAUUUCAAGUUGGUGAUCAUGUAUUCCUAAAGGUCUCCCCGACGAAAGGAGUUAAGAGAUUUGGCAUUCGAGGAAAGUUGAGCCCUCGAUUUAUUGGACCCUACGAGGUGUUGGAGCGGAUAGGCCCCGUAGCGUAUCGGCUUGCAUUGCCGCCGAAUCUUUCGGGAGUACACAAUGUGUUUCACAUAUCUAUGCUUCGGAAAUAUGUUUUUGAUCCAACUCACAUAUUGGAGAGUACUCCAGUGGAUUUACAAGAAGAUUUAAGCUUUGAGGAGCAUCCAGUGAGAAUACUAGCUCGAGAAGUGAAAAGGCUUCGAAAUCGCGAAUUACCCUACGUGAAGAUCCUUUGGAGCAAUCACGAGGAACGGGAAGCCACUUGGGAACUGGAGAGUGCAAUGCAAGAGCAUUAUCCCUAUCUAUUCUCGAUGGAAUCGUGAGGUAAGUGUUUAUAAGUUUCGCGGACGAAACUUCUUUUUAGGAGGGGUGAAUGUAAUACACUGGACUUUCGCAAAUUGCGGAGUUCGAGUAUGUGGAAUGGUGUGUGGAUCACUCCUACAUGUUCUAAAAGGUUAGAACAAGUUUUUGGAUAAGUUAGAGGAUGAUUGGAAUGCUAAAAGUAAGAAAGUGCAUUGAUUGGGAGAAAUCAGCCUUUUCUGCUUGGUGUACCGGUACAGCCAUUAUGGUGUACCGGUACACAAUGCAGAAACGUGGCAGCUUGGGUAUUUUGGUCUUUUCACAUCUUGAUCUCAUCCAUAUGAAGCCAGCACGACUUCUGGAGCUCAGUGGAGGUUGCUGAGGCUCAGAGCACCCUUCUUCUUCAUCUCUCUCUCUCUCUCUCUAGGGUUUUUCUCUCUCUACAAAGGAUUCGACGAUUUCGCUCGUUUUCGUCGCUUCGCGCGUUUUUCGCUGGUGGCGAGCGUCGCAGAGCCUACGUGCACGUGCAAGAGAGCGUUUUGGAGGGAUUUUCGCAGCCCUGGACCAGUGAGGUGCUGGUUGGAAGCUUGAGAAGGUAAACGACUUGAUUUUUCCGUUAUCGACGUUCUAUUCGUCGAUUUGAGUAGCGAUUUCAGAUUUUUGCUCUUGGCUGUUCUAAACUGAGAAUUCAGCUAUUAUUAAUGAGUUAAUUAGCUGUGAAUUAACCUUCUUAGACCUGGGAUAAGCUACUUUGAAGCUUAAUUGGAAUAUUUAACCAUUUAUGAAGCUAAAAUCGGAACUUAAUGCACUAAGUUGUGCGAAUUGAUGCAAAUUGGGAUUUUUUCUUCGCAGCAGGUCUUCGAGCCUCGUUGAGCUGAACUUGUACCUUUUGAAGCUGGUUUGGGAGGUAUUCUAACCUGAGGUAAGCAGGAAUUUCAGUUAGAAAACUGAAUUUGCAAGAUUCCGACUAUAUUUGCUAUAUAUGUUGAUAUUGAUGCCGUCUCGAUGUUGUUCGCAGCGAGAGUGCGAACGAGCUUUGGAUCGUCGUGAGCUGACUUGUGAGAGCUCUUGGAGGCGUCUCUUGAGGUAUUACACUAGUCCCAAAACAGGGAUUUAAAGAGUUACUUUGUACUAAGUGGAAUUUAGGUCGAAAUCGGACAUUUCGGCCGUAGAUUUAAUCCGAUCUUGACGUUCGUUUUUCAGCAGCAUUGGGGCUUCGUUGAGCCGUUGUGGGACUUCUUGUGGAUAAUCGGAGCCUAGUACUAGGUGGGUCGGACCUAACCAGAGCAAGUGAAGCUCCCCUAUGUUCUAUAUGUAUUCUAGAAGUGGUCUAGCCUAUGCUUAUAUGAUUAAUAGGGACUUGAAAUGCGUCACCUUAAUGUUAGCUUAUUUGAAAUGGAAUCUCUAUUAAGUAGAGAACAUACAUGCAUAAAGUAUUCAUGUUUAUGUUGACUAGUUGAUAUGUUUCUAGUAUGUUCCUAGACACUAGAGAACAAUGACAUUUUUAUGACAUUCUCUGAACUUUAAAGUAGAGAACAAUGACAUGCUUUAUGCCUCCAUGAUAGUGGAAAGAUUCUAAUGCCAUAUGUAAAUUAGCAUUACUCCUGUAUGCUUACUAAACUAGUGGAUUCUAGUUGUUGUUAAUAUUUGUUAUACUGAAAUGUCGAUCAAAGGAUCGAGAACGAGAAUAUUGUGAACUAAAACAUGAUAAUUGAGACAUGUUGGACUAUGGACCUUGCUUGCUUGCCAUCGUGCUCAUUCGCACACGCUUGUGAGGGUAGCUCCCUACAAGCCGGCACUCCGGAGUUGGCCUACGCGACAGUUGCUCGCCCGUGCGGGAUUGGGUGCCGAAGUGGAUUGCCGUGGGGAGUGUAUACUACCACGGGGCCAUUAGGCGCGGCGCAAGCUGGACUACCUUGAGUAGAUCCCUGUGAAUGAAAGAAAAAUGCUAAAGGAAAUUGGACAGUAAUGAAUAAUUACCAGUUACAGUGUACAGUAGUUACUUACACACUUAUGCUAUGUUUAUGCUUAUAGUAGUAGCCAUGCUUCUAUCAUUCAGUUGAUUCAUUACUGUUGAUGCUAUGAUCACAUGUUGUUUACAUGUUCAUUAUUUGUUAACAUUGGCUUAUGAAUUGUUAGCAUUGAAAAUAUAUCAUGCAAAUUACUGCUUUUAUUUCCAUUCUGUACAUCUCGAGCCUAGUGGUGUAAUUCGCCGAGGCUGGCGGCUUACCCACUGGGAACUAUUGUUAAUAGUUCUCACGCCCUUUUGGUGGUUGUUUUUACAGAGCUUGUUACAGGAGAGGCUAGGGAUCGUGGCAAGGGAGUCGCGCCUAGCUAGGGACUACUAGGAGCGUGCUAGUCGAUCACCUUGGUACUCGGGCUACGGCCGAGGGUGAUGUCCAAAGAUAUAUAGAGAGACCACCAUUGUAUCUAUUCUUUUUGUACACCCGUGAUGUAUAUUUACUUUCGGGGUUGAGAUUAUAGUAGUGUUACUUCUCCUUUUUGUUGAGAUCCUGGAUUGUAUACUCUUUGUAUUUUGACUUGGAUUUGAUACUCGUUGUAUAUCGACUUGUAUUUUGCUCUGAUAUCAGGAUAGGACUUCUUGUUUUACUUCCUAUCGACUUGCUUCUUGUAGACGCCUUAUAUACUGCAGGUGUAUGGCGGGUCUGUGCACGUGCCGGAUAUGCUUCCGCUGGUAUCCGGGCGUGACAACCUAUCUCUUAAUUAUGAGGUGCAAGAUUGAGAAGCAGAUAAAAUGGUAGGGUUAUAUUUUUAUCACCUUGUUUUCCCUUUCUUUUCUUUUCUAGUUUCUCCCUUAUCCAAACAUGUGAUGGUGCAAAAUGUAUUAGCUACUCGUGAUUAAGUUAAUGGAGAUUCAAAUGUUAAGGUGCCAUGGCAAACCAUAGACCAUAGUAAACUAAGCAUAACCUCGUAUCUUUUUGUACAUAACCCAAUACUGAACAUUUUUAAGAUAUCUUAUCAAUCUUUUUUAUUUGAAACUGUGUGAUGCUGUAAAUUGAAGUAUAUUCUUGUCAUUUCCGGCAUUUUCUUUUGGUUGGUUGCAGAAACAACCAAAGUUUUGUUUGAGAUUGUUUAACCCUAAAAGAAAAUCGUAGGACAAUGUUAUAAUUGUCUUUGUUCUGGUGGUAUAGAGAAAUAUAUGAACUUAAAGAGAGAUUAGCUUCUAUAGAGGCCAAAGUAGAUACGCUUUUUUCAAAGCAGUCGGAUGCUCAAUCUUCAAAGGUCAUGAAUCUAUUUCAAUCCCUACACAUUUAGUUCUAAUUUCUAAAAUACUUAUUGUAUGUGAUAUUUUUUUAAAUUGUUUCUUAUCUAUGUGAUGAUGCUUUUCAUAAUGUAGGUUCAAGAUGCUAAUGGUAGAGCUGAUUGCGACACUCCAGGAGAAAGUGAAUUUUGACUGUGGAGCCAACAUUUAAUUGUAAGGUAACUAAUUCGUUAUAAAGUUUACACAAUACAUAUAAUUCCAUAUCUUCUUUCGCAUACCUUGUCUAUAGUUAUGCUGUUUUAACUUUUAAGUUUGAUGGGUAUUUUUGUAUUUUGUUAUGUUGAGGAGUUAAUUGUAUAGUUCCUUUUUUUUUUUUGAGUGUAUAGAAUCUCUAUUUUGCCCUUUUGUUCUCAGUGUGAGCACCAUCUUUUGCCUUUCUACGGAGUGGUCCACAUCGGCUACUUUGAUGAACAAAGUGGGUCUGGUAUAGAUCGAGCCCGCUUGCAAUCUUUGGUUUAUUUCUAUGGGUCCUCUAUGUUUUCUUCAAAGUACAAGUUUGGUCAUUCUAUUCUACAAACAAGUGAAGUUAUUUUCAGCUGUAUUGUUAGAUGGUGGACAUAAUCAUCUAGGAUUGUUUAGAGGUUGUUUAGAAUCCAAUAUGGUUUGCAUGGUAUCAUUUUGCCUUCCUUUCGUCACCCAUGCUCAUCGCCCAUGCUUUGUCCUGCGUUAUUCUUGAAGUGCUUGAAAGGACAGAGGGAGGGUUAAGGACAACUCUGCAAAUCUUAAUCAAAAACAAAGUUGCAAGUUGGGAAAAUAAGAAAAAUAAAAAAAAAAAAAAACAGAAAAAGAGAAACAAAGAUGAAGAGUACAAAUUAAUGAAAAGUACAACACAAGUAGAGGAUAAUAUGAAGCAAGUUACACCCAAGCAUUGCAGGAGGGGGUCCAUUCUCACGUAGGACAUGGUAUUCAACAAGUUGGUGAUAUCCAUAUAUUGUGAUUUUUUCCCCUAAAAUAUUAGAUUUUUUGUAGUUGUUGAAUAUGUGGGUCGUGAUUAUCGGUUGACCAAUGAACAUUGGUAGGUUGAUAUUUUGUAGGUUAUAAUAUCACGAGUCUUUACAAAUAUAUGCUUUGAUAUUGAAAUUUAUUCUGUUUUUUCCAAAUGAAAUGUUCCACUUCCAUGUACAGUGUUCAGAAUCUAGUUUCAAGCUUUAUAUGAGUUCUUUGUGAAUUUGAUCUGUGUUUCAUACUGAGCUCACAUUUGAUUUUUUUUUUUUUUUACUUUCUUCCCUAUGGAGAACAUGUGAAUUCAUUGUGUAUUUAAUAACUCAAUCUGAUUUUGUUCUGACAUAUAAAUUCUUUUUGGCAAGUCUAUUUGGUCUUGAUCCAUCUAUCCUAUAGUUCUUGUAGUUAAAUCUUCACAAUGAUGUGAUUGAUUUCAACUUUUCUGUAUAUACCUGUACGUGCAUCAUCUACUUAGACUUUUCUUUCAAAAUGACGACGCUUAUGAUCCAUGUUAAUUGCUAUUAUGUGAAUAGUACUUGAACACAAGUACUAUGCAAACAGACCUAAUUUCAGCAGGCUUUACAAGAUAAGGAAAUGGCUCUUUUAUUUUGUGAUCAAUUUACUUAUGGAACUUAACUGAUAUUCAUGAAUAUUACCAUCUAUUAUUACGAAAGAAAUAAUGAUAAAAUCAUCUACAAAUUCUGUAGAAAAUUCUAUUAUUUUGAUAGCACCAUGUCAAGUUUAUAUCAAAUCGAUCUAUCUCAUAUGUGACUCUCUUCAAAUAGGACAUCUACAAAAGUUUUGUGGAGUUACAAAACAGAGACUCAGCGAAUCAAAUUAACCUCUUACUUAGGAAUGGGUUGCAUGAGGUUGUAAGUGUGGCGUUUUUUAUUUCAAUGGAAGCCAAAUAUUUUGGAGUUAUUAGGUGUUCUUUGAAUGUCGGCUGAACCAUUUAAUUAAGUGCACUCACUCUGUAAUCAUCACACUUGGUGUGUUUGGCUAAUAUAGGAAAGCCAGAGCUCAAAUGUUGGCUGAUAUCCUGAUCUAUCUCAUCUCAAUAAAUUCUUGUCAUUACUAUUGCUAUGCACUUUUGUGAUGAUUAACACUGACUAUUUCUUGUUGAUAUCUUCGACAUGUACAAUUAUGUCACCUGAAAUGAUUAUCUACGCCAAAUCACUUCCGACAGUCUCUAAUUGGCAAAUAGUGUUCUUCAUUCUUCGAUAUGUACAAAUUAGCUUAACUAGAAUGUAAUUAGAUAUGUAGUCAAGGCAAUUAAACUGAUUACAUUUUUAAACUGAUUACGUUUUGUAGUGUUUGGUUUGAAAGGAAAAAAAAAAGUAGUUUUUCAUCAAUAUUUAUUUGGUUUGAAAGAAAAAAAAAUGAAAAUGUGCUCUAUAUGCAAGAAUAUUUAACUUUUUUGUUUGGUCCCUAAUUAAAAGAUGGUUUAGAAGUCUUUUGAUUUAAUUGUUUCACUAACUUGAUUUUUUUUUUUUUUUUGCAGGGAUUUUCAAAAAAAGGAAGGAUUGGUGUUUAAUUCGGAGUGAAUUCAUAAAAUAAGUUGAAGAACUUGUAGAAAACUUUGAUUUCAUAUGGAUUUUAUUUCUUUCAUAUUGAAAACUUCUUUGAAUAAAAUUUUUGAUUGACAAUUCUAUUUUUACUCUGCAAACUCCUAUUUGAUUAAAUGAUUUGGCUUCUAUUGUUUGACAAUUGUCGUAUGUAAUCAAAUUUAAAUUUGUUUGAAUAAUAAAUUUGUUCUUAUUUCUCAAUUUAAAGAGUCUUAAAUUUUUGUCUAGUUUUUUUUAAUUGUAUGUUUUAUAUUUUGAAUUGGAUUCGCAAGAAUUACGAAGCCGAUGAUAUAAAUUUACUAAUUUAUACUAAUGCUUUUUACUAUAUUUAGUAACGGUCGGAGAAGCGUUACUAAAAUUAUUAUCUUCUCCAAUGGUUGUAUAAACUGUCGGCAAAGACUUUUAGUGACAGAGAUCUAACAGCGGUUAUAAAAUUUUCUCCGACGGUUUUACAAAUGUCGGGAAACAUUUUCCCAGCGGCUCUAGAGACUUUUCCCAGCGGUUUCGACCACUUCUAAAUCUUAAUUUUUUUGUAGUGAUCUUUUCUAUUGAAAUUUUCGCUCUUUAAGAAUGAGUCUUCUUGAAGUGUAGUUUGAACUUCUCUAUUGGAGCGCAUAGAACUUUCCUUCCGCCUAUAAAAUCUUUUAAUUGCAUAUUAGUUUUCUUGUAGUUCGAAUUUUUCCUUAGCUAUCUAAUAUUUGAUUGACAUUUGUUUUGUGAUAAAAAUUAAUUUUGACAUUUAUUUGUACUCAUAACACUUUUGAGAAUAUAAUAGGCUUUUAUAUUCAGAUUAUUUAAUGUUUUUUGGAAUGUCGGGCUCUUAGUUUUUAUUGUCUAUGCAUUAUAUAUUUUUUGAAGCUUUUGUAGCAAUUAAUUAAAUAUAAUUUUUAAUGAUAAUUUAAUGCCUUUUAUAUUUAGUGGCAAUUUAUGUUAUAUUUGUCGGUAUUUAUGAUUAUUGUUAAAUAUUUUAUGGGCAAAUAUAUUUUGUUUUUAGUGGCAUUUGUAAUUGUCGGUAGAGAAUAACUUUUAGUGGUAAUUAUUUUACUUUUUAUCCUAAGACUUUUAGCGACCCCAUUUAUAAUAGCAAUUAUUAUAAUUGUCGGUAAGGAGAGAAGCGGCGAUUAUGAUCGCCACUAAUUUAUAAGAUAAUUGCUGCUAAAAAAUAAUUUUGUUGGAGUGACAAGCACAUUUGAUGUGAGGCUUCACUUCACAUGAGACCAAUCAAAAGAGGAGGAAUCCAGUAGAUUGAACAGAGGUCAAGUUAGCUGCUAUAUUUUCAUAAAGGCCCCACCUUUGAACUAUUUCACAGUUUGAAGAUCCAAUUUGGAAUUAUCGACAGAAAAGAAUUAAUUUUAUGGGGUAAGUUCGAAAGUAAUAAACGAAUAUAUAAAUCAGUUUUUGAAACCUUAUAAUAAUUUUGUUAAUUAAUUAGUUGGGUUUUGUUUUAAUCUCAUAGUCAGUUCCAAACGUUGAUUACGUUUACUAAUUUGUGAGGAGGAUCUGGAUGAUCGGCUAAGUUGUUGAGUUGUUAGGAAAUUAAGUCUUUGGGAUUCGGUUGAAUAGUCAAUUUUGUUACAUCGAACUCUGUAAUAAAUUAGACUAUUAGAGGGCCUGGAAAUAGAUGAGACAAAGAGCUGGCCAAUCUGAGAUCUCCAUUACUUUCAUAAAUUAUUAUUAUUAUUAUUAUUAUUAUUAUUAUUAUUAUUAUUAUUUCCUCCCAUGCACUUGAUUAGUACUACAGGCAUCUAGCUAGUAUCCGAGCCCUCGUCUUAAUUAUCUAAGACCAUGCAUCUCUGUCUAUGGAUCUUCUAUUGCAACAGCUAGCGCGCUCCCACGUAUGUAACCUGUCUGUUGGUCACCGUCCGUCGGGAGAGAUAUGAUGAAAAUCAGAUCAAGGGCGGCGCGCGCGCGAUCCGGACUGCGUCGAGAUUAUCGGACGAUCAAAGAUACCAACCCAAAAAUGAAUAAAUAAAUAAAAACCGUCGAUUUUAUAUAUAUAUAUAUAUAUAUAUAUAUAUUAGUAGUAUUAUAAUAAUAUAUACUAUAGAGCUAGGCUAUUAUUACUAUCUAUAGUACCGGAGCUCCCAGUACUAGUAGUGUUCUGUUUUCGAUCUUUCGGACGUUCAAGAUCAACGAUCAUUACCGUUAAAAUGAUUUAUGGCGUAUUUAAAGUUUUUUAGAAAUAAAAUUUAUAUUUUUGUCGACAUAAUUCUUACUUUAAGAUCAAAACCAUUUUAAAUUUGUCAAUAUUCAAUGGCUAUUAUGACGAGUUUAGAGUUUAAUGGUGUAUGAAUAAUCUAAAUUUCUUCAAAUUUUGAAAAACUAAACUAUAUAAGAUUAAAGGUUAACAUUCAUUUUUUUUUUUUUUUUUUUUUUUUUUUUUUUUGAUCUUGAAUUUAAAAGUCCCGCUAAUACUCAAAUUUUAAAGAGUAUUCUCAAUUUGCCACGUCCCAUCCUUUGACAAUAAUUAUUUUACAAAGUAAACAAUUAAAAAAGCUAAAAAUUUUAUUGCUAAGCAUUCAUAUACCAUAAGAUGAAUAUUUAACGAUGUAGAUCGUUGAUUUGAACGCCGCUAAGAUCGAAAAAAUAACAGCUAUACGUACCGGAGCGUCCGAUACUAUAGAUAGUAUAAUAGUCUUAAUUCUAAUAUUACCUAUAUACUAUAUAUACUAGUAUAUAUAACUAUAUAUAUAUAUAUGUGCAUGCGGCUAGGAUGCUUAUGAAGCCGGAGAGCCUCCGUGCUUCCACUUUAUUUUUGAUGGUUCCGGACCUUUCGAUCGACGAUCGCUCCGCGUGUUAGACCCUCUAAUCAGAGUAUUGAAGUAUCCUAUGAAAAUAAAUUUUCGAUUUUUCAAUAUCGAUUCGUUGUUUAGUGUCCGAAGUGACUCAAAAAUCAACGGCUGAAAAUAAAAAAAUCCCUUUAAAAACAAAAAUCAUGAUAUACUGAUAUUCAAAUUUUAAAUGCAACCAGUUAUUGAUCUUGUUUUAUAUGGUACUCACAAAAAUUUUCUAUCACAAAAUUUCACUGUGAUUUGGAAUAUUUCUACAGCCGUUAAACCUGCAACCCCCGGCCUCACCACGGCCAUUAAAAUUAUUUGAUUUUGAGCCCCCCUCUCGAUCACUAGCAAAUAAUAUCUCGAAAAUCACAAAAAUUUAUUUUCCUAGGUUACUUCAAUACUCUAGAUCGAACUCUAACGGAGGCCCCGAUCAUUCCCGAUUCGAAAAGUUCGAAUACCUCCCGAAAACAAUUUGGAAGCAUAAGGGCUCCGUGCUUCCAUAAGCAUACCAGCCGCACUCAUCAUAUAUUACCCCAACGAAUUAGGCUGAAAUACUAUUAACUAGUAAAACCGCGCCUUUUUGCUAUCAAGUUUUAAGCCCCUGGAUGAAAAAUUGAAGGUCAAGGAUAUAUAGUCGUUAGAUGAGGUGGUUCCCCUAAGGGUUGAGUGGUCCCCACCUGGGUUAUAGUAUUUAAUCCAAUGGUUAGAAAUAAUGAAAAGAGUUGAUCCAAAGGCUAAAAAACUAGUAGCAAUAAUGAGAUUUUGCUACUAAUAGUAGCCCAGUCCAACUCUCUCUCUCUCUCUCUCUCUCUCUCUCUAUAUAUAUAUAUAUAUAUAUAGUCCGGCUAUGGUGCUUGUAAAAGCACCAAUGUCACGCCCCGCGACCAACCGCCAAUUUGGACCGGGUCGCGGCGCCGACGACAGACCGCCGAACGGACCGGGGUUUCCCCUGUACGCGGACAGAGUCUCCACUGUACGUUCUAGGGUCGCAAUCCAAACAAUGUACAUUACAAGGGUUCCAACCAAGAACAGAUAUCAAUCGAGAUUGCAUAAGGAAGUAUCACAACAUAACACAUCCUAUAUUAUUACAACAUUCACAUUAGAUUCAUUUAUUUACAUCACACUUUAUAUUACAUUCAACUUCCAAAGCAACUAAGUUAUUACAAGUUUAAUAUAUUUUGUUCCUUUCAUUUUCUAUACCCCUAAGCUACGUCGACGGGGUACUGCUAGCUCUAGUCUUUGGGGGUAUGGCGCUAUCUAUGGAGCUACGCCCUUGCCUCGCGCCGCCGCGCCGCUCACGUGUGAACCUGUAAAACCCCAAAACAACGUGGGGUGAGAACCAACUCCAUGGUUCCCAGUGGGUACUGCCACCCAAGGGAGGAGCUCGACCAACAGGUCCAAGGGAGGCAAAUACAAGUUAGUCCAAUAAAUAGAUAGAUAGAUAUGUAUAUCAUAAACAUGCAACUAACUUUACCUUGCUUUGCCUCACAACUGCAAUGAUGCCGUGCUAUAUGCAACAGGAAUAUAUGCAACAUGAAUAUAUGCAACAACUAGUAGAAUUAUUGAUUCUACAAUUAAUCUCACUAAUCUUAGCUCAUGUCAUCCAACUCUAAGGUUUCUACUACCUUAAGUUACACAUUUACCACUAGCCCUCAAGGUUCUAUCUACCUUAUUCCAGCUAGCCAUCCGACUCGGUCUCGAGUCAAUCAACUGCGGAUAGUCCGCGCUCUGCCCAGCUCGAGGUGAAGGACCCUGUCACGACGCACCUCAGCCUGCAAGCCAAGAACAACAUCGCCCAACGGUCCGCCCGAAGGUCCGUGCACCGUGGUCAGGGAUCCGCCAGAGGGAGAGGAAUAUAGCCGCAUACAACCAUAGCCGAGACCCCUGAUAGGGAGAGGAAUAUGCCGCAUACACCCUAGCGCUCUUUGUUCUUGCUUAAUCACAAUCCUCAAAGUUCUUCCGGUGGGAGAGGAACAUGCCACAUACACCCGCGGUCCAAGAACUAUUGAGUUCACAAGUCUCAGGAUUCCGGAAUCCACUUCACAAGUCAAGGGUCCGUAUCCAACCCUAUGCUAUCGACCUAUCUAGGUCUAAUGCACUUUCCAUCCUAAGUCCAACUGACUCUAGGUCUAAUGCCUCAAUUUCACAACCUAGGUUUACCUUAACUCUAGGUUCAGUUCUCAACCUAUGUUCUUUAACACUAGGUUAGAUGCCACACACCUAGAUCCCGACUCUAGGUUCAUACUCAACCUAUGUUCUUUAACACUAGGUUAGAUGCCACUCGUUAUUUAUCCUAGGUUCAACAACACUAGGUUCGAUGUCAUCUAUGUCCGACCUAUGUUUAUUAACACUAGGUUCAAUGCCACUCGAUCUACUUGACGUCCUAUUGUCAUAUCGAGUACUAUAGAUAUCCACAUUUCAUCUCGCAUACAUUCUAUGAUGCCAAUAUGUAUUUAUUAUCUAGCAUGAACUCAUAAUGCUAAGUGCAACUAGCAUAUAUUCCAAAUACACACAUACAUAUCAUUUUACAUGGAUCUACUUAGCAUUUGCAUCAUAUUAUUAACAUGCAUUAUUUACAUUUAUAUGCAUCAUCUAUAUGCCUCAUUUACAUUCAUAUGCAUCAACGUGGAUUCUUAAUCAUCUUAGACAUAAAGGGCGACCUAGUCGCUUCGGUAAACACAACCCACCUUAACUCGCGUUCCGAUUGCUCGUCGACACUUGCAAUCGGCCUCCCGCGGCACUCGGCACCCGUUUGGGCCCGAUCUCACAGUUGCUCUCCAAGAGCGCGUCGCUUCGCCGUUUCAAGUGCUAACGAUCUUCGCCUUGCCGUUACGAUGCUCGGGACCCAAUUUCACGAUUUAUGGAUGUCGCCUCGGCCCUCCAGGCGGAAACGAAGCUCCAAGCGUCCGUUUCUUUAAUAACUUUGUAACGGCUCGUCGGAUUGCCGAACCGUCUUCGCUGACGUGUUUCGUUACCUAUCAAUUAGGUUUACAGAGGGUUAUUUGAGAUCAAACCCAUCUAUUUACAAAAAUCCCAUUUUUGAUGCCCUAGAUGCUACUAUUGCAAAAUACCCCAAAUCGAUCUCCGAUUCAUGCAAUAAAUAUUUAUCUAGCAUCAAAGGAGCCUAUGAAAUUCACUUCUAGAGCAUUUAGACCUAUUUCUAGAGAUCUACCAUAAGAGGGUAACAAAGCUUACCUCUCUAGAUUCGCUCCAAGCACGAGAAAGACGAAGGAGAGGAUGAAGAUCUCCUUCUUGAUCUUCUUCUCCUUCUUCUUCUUCUUCUUCUCUUCUUCUCCUUCCUCUUCUUCUUCUCUUCUUCUUCUUUUGUUUAGAGAGAGAGAGAGAGGGAUGAAACGGUGAGGGAAAGAGAGAGAGAGGUGUUCUAACCCUCUCUAUACACUUAACCCAUGCAACAAUUGCAUAAAAAUCUCCCAACAAGUCUCUUUUUGCAACAGCCCGAACUGGGCAUUUUCGGGGUUCGGGGACCGGUCUCUGCAUGAGGGACCGGUCCCUUAGAGAUCGGUCUCUCUGCCUGGGACCGGUCCCAGAGAGACCUCCAGCCCAGACUUAGCCAAUUUUCAGCUUCGUCCGUUUUCGCUCGUUUUCAUUCAUUUGACCUCCGAUUCGUCUCAAAUCGAACCGAGACUAUCCAAACAUGUUUUCAAACAUGUUUUCAUCAUCUUUCCAUCCUCGCUAAUGCCGGAUUUAGCUCACGGCCCAAGUUAGCCUUUCGGGUUCCGUUUUCGUGCCUAUGCGCACCGAAACGCCCGAUUGCUCUAGAACUUCACCGAACAUUACCGAGACAUUUCAAAUGGCACUCCCAUCGAAUGUACACCGUAACUUCAUAGUUUUAGAAGUCCGGUACCUUACAACCAAGCUCUUGGUGCUUGUGAAUUUUUUACCGUUAGAUCUACGCCUUUGAUCAUCACCCAUUAGAUUAUGCUAUUGAACCAACCACCUACUCAACCCUAGGGGGCCCACAUCAUCCUAACCGCACAUCUCUUAAUCCAAUGGCCAAAAAUCUACAAGCACCAAUAACUUGGUACUUUUAAAAGCAUAGGAGCUCAAUUAUAUAUAUAUAGAAUUAGGCUGGAAUACUAUUAAUAGUAAAACGGUCUUUUUGCUAUCAAGUUUUUAACCCUUGGAUGAAAAAUUGUAGGGUCAGGAUGAUAUUAGUCGGUUAGAGUUGAGUGGUCCCUCUAGGGUUGAGUGGUCCCCACUAGGUUAUAGUAUUUAAUCUAAUGGUUAGAAAUAAUGAAAAGAGUUGAUCCAAAGGAUAAAAAACUGGUAGCAACAAUAGGAUUUUGCUACUAAUAGUAGCCCCAGUCCAACUCUCUUUCUCUCCCUCUCUCUCUCUCUCUAUAUAUAUAUAUAUAUAGAGAGAUGACUGAGAGAAUGAGGGAGAGAAUAGGUACUAUUUGUAUUAAUAGCACGCAAGUCAUUUUGUGCUACAGUUAUUUGGGCAUUGGGAUUAAGAGGUUGUGUGUUAGGAUUGAUGUGAGGCCCUCUAGGGUUGAGUGGGGUGGUUUGGAUAUGCAAUAGUAGGGAUUAAGGGUGAAUAAUGAAUCAAAAGGGAUUGAAUCUAACGCGGAAAAUUGGUACACAAGUGCUUUUUCGUGCUAUUAAUAGACAUGUUAGCCGGACGUAUAAUAUAUUAUAAUAUAUAUGAUAUAUAUAUAGUAUUAUAUAUAUAUAUAUUUAUUAUAAUAUAUAUAUAUAUAUAUAGUGCGUAUUGGUAUGCUUAUGGAAGCACGGGAGCAAUCGAUGCUUCCAAGUUGUUUUCGAUGUUCGGGAUUUCAAUUGAUGAUCGGCUCGUUAGAUUUGAUCUAGAGUAUUUGAAGUAUCUAGAAAAUAAAUUUGCGAUUUUUCGAUAUAUUUGCCUAGCUGAUCGAAGUGGCCUCAAAAUCAAGGCUAAAAAAUAAAAUAAUGUAUGACAAUAUGAUUGAAUAUGACAUUAAAAUUUAGAUCAGUUAUUAUCUUGUUUUUAUGAUGGUAUAAAGAUAUUUUCUAUCAAAUUUAUGUGAUGUUGGAUAUUUCUACACGUUGUAAACUUUGACCAACGUCACCCAGACUAUUUUUAAAUUAUUGAUUUUGAGCCCUUCGUCAGUAGAAAAUGAAUAUUGAAAAUCACAAAAUUUAGUUUCUAGGGGUAUUCAAUACUCUUAGAUCAACUCUAAAGGCAGCCAGCGUCGGAUUCGAAAGAUUCAACUCGAAAACACUUAGAAGCACGGAGGGCUCCUGACUUCAGAUUCAUACCAAGCCCACUCAUAUACUAUAUAUAUAUUUAUAUAUUGAAUUGACGGUCUAUGUUUUAAAAGUAACAAGUCUUCAAUUUCGUGCUUGUAAGUUUUUGGCUUUGGAUUAGGAUGUGCGGGUUAGGAUGAUGUGAGGGGCUCCUGGAAUUGAGUGGGUGUGGUUGGUUUAGUAGUAUAUUACGGGCAAAAAUAUCAAAGGGUAGGAUCUACGGCUAAAAAAUUUACGAAGUACCAAGUGUUGGUACUUUUAAAAGCCACCAUAGUUUGGCUAUAAUAAUUAUAUAUUAUAUAUAAUAUAUAUAUUAUAUUAGCAUGAGGGCUACGUAAUACUCUUAUGAGUAUAAGCCCCCCUUUGUACUACAUAAGUUUCUGAACCAUUUGGAAUGAAGAGAAUGUGCGGUUGGAUAAUAGGGGUCCCAGUUAAGUUUAAUAAUGGCAGUCCUAGCUGGUUGAGUGGGUGGGAUUGUGGAAUAGUAUGAUCUAACGAGUGAAAUGUUCAAGAGAGUAGAUCUAAACGGCGAAAAAUUAUAGAGUAGAUAAGCGAAUAUACUCAUGAAGAGUAUAAGUAGCGGACAUUAUAUAUUAUAUUAAUAUAUAUAUAUAUAUAUUAUAUAUAUAUAGGAGAGAGAGAGAGACAAAUGAAUCAUCUCGAGCAGCAACGUGAGAGAGAGGAGAGAGAACGAGAGAAAUGAGAUGAGAGAUAUGAGAGAAAGAUUGAGACGUACACUGCGCCAGUACAUCGGUGAUUCGCGGAAUAUGUAUAUAAAACCUCGGACUUCCGAAUAGUAUUCUAGUCGGCGUGGAUGCUUCCUCAGGGCAGAGCGUCCAAGUAGAUUCACACUAUGAAAAACAUCGAGGACGAGAGAUGAGAGAGAUUGGACUGGGUAUUAGUAGCAAAAAUCCUUGUUGAUACUAGUUUUUUUACGCAUUUGGAUAACUCUUUUUGAUUAUUUCUAACACUGUUCAUUAAAUACUAUAAUCCGUGAAGGGACAAUCAACCCUAGGGCGGACCAUUCAACUCUAACGACUACUAUCAUCCAUGACCUCCAAAUUUUUAUCCAAGGAAUUAAAACUUGAUGAAAAAAGAGCGUACUGUACUAUUAAUGUUUCCCAGCCUAUUCAUAUGUAUAUAUAUAUAUAUAUAUAUUAUAUAUAUUAUAUAUAUAUAUAUUAUAGUGAGCAGUACUAUGUUAAUCGGAGCACGGAGCUUCGUGCUUCCAGUCGUUUUCGAUGUUUGAGACUUUCGAGAUCGUCGAUCGGCUCAAGUAAACUUGAUCUAGAAGGUAUUUGAAUAGCUAGCUAGAAAAUUAAGAUUUUAUGAUUUUGAUAUCUUUGCCUAUGUGACGAAUGGGGCUCAAAAUUUCAACCGGCUGAAAAUAAAUCUUAACAAUAUGUGAUAUUAUGACAUUAAAAUUGUAAUCAAAGAGAUAUUGAUCUUGUUUUAUCAUAGAUAUAAAGAUUUUCUAUCAAAUUUCAGUGAUUGGAUAUUUCUACACCGUUUUAAUUGAAAACGGCUCAACUACGGCCUAUUGAAAUUUGACUUGAUUUUAAGCCGCAUUCGAUCACUUAGGCAAAUGAUAUCAAAAAUAAUAAAAUUUAUUUUCUGGGUAUCCAAUACUCUAGAUCAGAUUACAGAGCCAGAUCGCUGCAUUCGGAAAGUCGCAGAUCGAAAACAAGGUGGGAGGCACCUGGAAGGAAAUCCGUGCUCGAUAGACUGGGGCCCGCAGAGAACCAGAUAGCAUGCAUAGUCUUGUAAGUGCAAUUAUAUAUAUAUACUAUCUAUAUAUAGAAUCUAUAUAUGAGUAGAGUAGAAUAGCUUGUAAAAAGUGAUCAACAAGUGAUCUUGUGUGUUUUUAGCCUUGGAGGGGAGGUGUGAGGGUUGAGUGAUGGUGGUAGGUGGUAAUAGAGUGGGUGGCUAGCGGUGGAAUAGUGUUUGAUCCAAGGAUAUUAGCUAAUAAAAAGUAGAUCCAAUGGGCUAAAAACACACAAGUAUCACGUUGCGGUGAUACUUGUAAAGUAAUUCUAGCCUACUUAUAUAUAUAAUAUUUAUAUAUAAUAUAUAUAUAUAGCGUUGAGGAUACAUAUCUAUCGGAGCGAACUUCCGUGCUUCCACCUAACAUGUUUGAUCGAUCUUUAGCGACUUUCGAAUCGUGAUGGCUUGUGUAAAACUUGAUCUAGAGUAUUUAGAGUAACCCAGAAAUAAAUUUUAUUAUUUUUGAAUAUUCAUUUGCCUAGUGAUCGAAUGGGCUUGAAAUAUCAACAAAUUUCAAUGUCGUAGUGAGCCGUUUUUGAGUUUAACGUGUAGAAAUAUCCAAUCACGUUGAAAUUUUGAUAGAAUUUUUUAUAUAUAUAAAACAAGAUUCAUAUCUUUGAAUUUAAAAAAUUUUAAUUAUCAUAUUAUCACAGUUUUGUUUAAGAUUUUUAUUUUCAGCGUUGUUUUAUUGGCCCCUUCGUUCAUAGGCAAAUAGAUAUCCGUAAGUCAUAAAUUAUAUUUGCUAGGGUACUUCAAAUACUCUAGAUCACGGUUCUAACGGAGCGAUCGAUGAUUCGAAGUCGGCAGACAAUCGGAAUGAGCGUGGAGCACGGAGACUCGUGCGUUUCCGUUAGUAUAGUAGCCCUCGCCUCUGAUAUAUAAUUAUGAUGAUAUAAUACUAUAAUUAUAUAUAUAUAUAGAUCAUAUAUAUAUAAUAUAUAAUAUAGAGUUAGGGCUAGAUACUUGUAAAAGAUAUAAUGACGAAGUCGUUACUUCGUGUUGUGUUUUAGCCUUGGAUGGAGAGAUGUGACGGUUGGAGUAUAGGUGGUAGGUGGUGCGGAUAGGUGGUGAGUAGAGGAAUAGUGUUUUAAUCCAAGGCUAAUUAUAUCAAAAAGUUAGAUCGAAAUGGCUGUCAACGCUAAUAGCACCAUGAUAAGUGAUUACUUGUAAAAGUAUCAUACGCUCAACUCCCAUAUAAUAAUAGUAUUAAAUAUUAUAUUGAGCACGCAUGACAGAGGCUAUGCAUGCUAUGCUUGGUCUCUGCGGAGGCCACGUAGGCAUUAAUUUGAAGACAGGAAGAGUAUUAUAUAGGGCCUUUUUUUGCAAAUAGCAUCACAAGCAAUUUUUAAUUUUAAAAUUGUUUCUAGUCAAACUUAAAAUUAAAAUGGCCUGUUCUGCACUGCAGGCGCCAGUUCAAGCGCACGCGCGGGAGGGCUGGCGGCCAGCAGAUUAAUUUGAUCGGUGAAUCAAUUACGACAGUGUUAAACCGGUGAAUUGGGUUCCGUAUUUUUUACUGUAUUUUUUUGAUAUUGAAAAUGGAUAAGGGUAGCGAUGUCAAUAGGUAAUGGAGUAUUCGCUAUAUUAUCGAAUGCAACCCGAUAAAUUAUAUAUAUAUAAGUNNNNNNNNNNNNNNNNNNNNNNNNNNNNNNNNNNNNNNNNNNNNNNNNNNNNNNNNNNNNNNNNNNNNNNNNNNNNNNNNNNNNNNNNNNNNNNNNNNNNNNNNNNNNNNNNNNNNNNNNNNNNNNNNNNNNNNNNNNNNNNNNNNNNNNNNNNNNNNNNNNNNNNNNNNNNNNNNNNNNNNNNNNNNNNNNNNNNNNNNNNNNNNNNNNNNNNNNNNNNNNNNNNNNNNNNNNNNNNNNNNNNNNNNNNNNNNNNNNNNNNNNNNNNNNNNNNNNNNNNNNNNNNNNNNNNNNNNNNNNNNNNNNNNNNNNNNNNNNNNNNNNNNNNNNNNNNNNNNNNNNNNNNNNNNNNNNNNNNNNNNNNNNNNNNNNNNNNNNNNNNNNNNNNNNNNNNNNNNNNNNNNNNNNNNNNNNNNNNNNNNNNNNNNNNNNNNNNNNNNNNNNNNNNNNNNNNNNNNNNNNNNNNNNNNNNNNNNNNNNNNNNNNNNNNNNNNNNNNNNNNNNNNNNNNNNNNNNNNNNNNNNNNNNNNNNNNNNNNNNNNNNNNNNNNNNNNNNNNNNNNNNNNNNNNNNNNNNNNNNNNNNNNNNNNNNNNNNNNNNNNNNNNNNNNNNNNNNNNNNNNNNNNNNNNNNNNNNNNNNNNNNNNNNNNNNNNNNNNNNNNNNNNNNNNNNNNNNNNNNNNNNNNNNNNNNNNNNNNNNNNNNNNNNNNNNNNNNNNNNNNNNNNNNNNNNNNNNNNNNNNNNNNNNNNNNNNNNNNNNNNNNNNNNNNNNNNNNNNNNNNNNNNNNNNNNNNNNNNNNNNNNNNNNNNNNNNNNNNNNNNNNNNNNNNNNNNNNNNNNNNNNNNNNNNNNNNNNNNNNNNNNNNNNNNNNNNNNNNNNNNNNNNNNNNNNNNNNNNNNNNNNNNNNNNNNNNNNNNNNNNNNNNNNNNNNNNNNNNNNNNNNNNNNNNNNNNNNNNNNNNNNNNNNNNNNNNNNNNNNNNNNNNNNNNNNNNNNNNNNNNNNNNNNNNNNNNNNNNNNNNNNNNNNNNNNNNNNNNNNNNNNNNNNNNNNNNNNNNNNNNNNNNNNNNNNNNNNNNNNNNNNNNNNNNNNNNNNNNNNNNNNNNNNNNNNNNNNNNNNNNNNNNNNNNNNNNNNNNNNNNNNNNNNNNNNNNNNNNNNNNNNNNNNNNNNNNNNNNNNNNNNNNNNNNNAAUUUAUUUUUGUUUAUUUAUACAAUAUAUAAAAUAUUUAAUAAUUUUUAUUCCUUAGAUCUUCAUCCAACGGUAUAGAUUUUUAAAACCCGCUGGGUUGGAUGAAGAUCUAAGGAAUAAAAAUUAUUAAAUAUUUUAUAUAUUGUAUAAAUAAACAAAAAUAAAUUUUAUAUAUAUAUGUAUAUAUAAUUUAUUCGGAUUUGAAUUCGAAUAAUAUUUCGGAUAUCCAUACCUAUUGACAUCCCUACUCCUUAUUCCACUUUUCAAUAUACAAAAAAUACGUAAGAAAAAAUACGUACUAAAUACGGUGAACCAUUUACCGUGUUCACCGCACGGUGAAUAGUUCACCGUGUUCAACUUAACACAUGGGCCCAGCCCUGCCCGCGUGGCGCUGACGUGGCGCCUGCGUGGCAGGCCCAGAAUUAUUUUUGCAAAUUAAAUUUUGACAGAACUAUUUUUAAAAUAAAAAUUUGUUAGGGAUCUAAAUGCAAAAAAAAGCCUAUUAUAUAGUAAGCGAUCGAGUCCCACUCACAUCGAACUACCCGAUAUAAUCAAUCAAUUUUGAUCUCCUUUUUUGGGUCUGUCUGUCUUUUUGCGAUCAUCCGGGAACUACCAAUUAAUUAAGGGAGAGAGAUCAGAUGGAGGAGGAGGAGGAGGGGACGGGCCGCGAAGGGUUGCUGGAGAAAGAGGAGGAGAGCUGCGGGCUGCAGGUGCGGGGGCCGGGAUGGCGGCGGCGAAGGCAGCUGAUGAUGAUCUGGGAGGAAGGGAAGCGGGUGGGGCAUCUGGCGGGGCCGAUGGUGGCGAUGGGGCUGACGCAGCUGCUGGUGCAGGUCGUCUCCAACAUGAUGGUCGGCCACCUCGGCCAGCUCGCACUCUCCAGCGCCGCCAUCGCCACCUCCCUCACCAACGUCACCGGAUUCAGCCUCCUCGUACGUCAAUCUCCUCUCCUCUCCUCUCCUCUCACCUCUUACAGCUGCUUCAAUUCGUGACUCUUAACUUAAUUCAUCCAUCCAUCAUAAUAAUAUAUAGUUCGUCGACUCUUCAUCCAUCCAUCCAUCCAUCAUAAUAUAUAAUAGUCCUCAUGAAUUUUCCUAUAUAUAUAUAUAUAUACAGAGUACAUAGUAAACAAAAAAUAAUAAUAAUAAUAAUUGGAAUCUAGAAAUUAGUAUGUGAGUUUUAAUGAACCAAUUUCGUAGUACAAUUAGUUUAUUAGUAUAUGAGUUUUUUCAUCGUUCUUCGGCGCGUUAAUUAUUUAGUUAUCAUUCUAGUGUAACUUUUGCAUUUAAUACUAUAUAUACGAUCGAUAUGCAUUUAUCUUUUAUUUACCAGAAAAUUUUAGAAACAAAACCUCUUAAAAGUUAAUAAACGCGCGAGAAAAAGGGUUUUAAUGAGCGGUUGAUGUGGAGAUAGAGGUUUAAUUAAUUCCCUGAAAUGAGUUUUGACCUCUUCUGGCUUGGGAUGCAAGCAUACAACUCCAACCCACAAUUAAUUUGCCCGACCAGCUUGUUAGGUCAGAUCGGGUAGCUGUCCAGAAGAUAAAAGCCACGUGGCACUAGCACCACAUUAUCAUCCUUCCCUAUCAAUAAAAAACUAAUAUAGAGUCUUAGACUUCGUGACUAACAAAUAAUAUUUAAUAAUUAAUACCAUACGAUAAAAUAUAGUAUAAUAUUUAAAAAAAUAUAAAAUAUUUAAAUAAUAUAUUAUAAUAUAGAAAUUUAUUUUUUAUAUUUUAUAGUCGGUUUACUGUACAAUAAGCACCUCAAAAAAAAUUUAUUGGAUGUGUGACAAGAUCCCAUUGGUCUAUAUCUUAAACCUAAUACGUACCAGUAAUAAUAGGAAAUUUGUAAAGGAGAAAUUGUUUUAUACACCAGGUGUCUAAUUAUUUUUUUUGCACUAUAUUUGUAAGGGAAGUGAAUUCUCGAAAUCCAGGAAUUAGACUUCGUUGGGAAUCGACUGAUUAUCGAGUGUGUAAGCUUCGGAAAGUCCGAAUGUGGUAGUAAUGCGUAAAGUGCAUUAAGGAAAGGUCUGCGAGAGCACCAGUGCAAAAGCUGCACUGGAGCAGAAAUGCACUCGGGGACCGGUCCCUAGCGAGGAGGGACCGGUCCCAUCGGGCUGGGCUUCGGGGGUCUCUGAUGAGACCGGUCCCUGGCAGGCAGGGACCGGUUCCCGAACGUUAGCCCAGCGAGAAUUAGCCGAAAUUUGGCUAAGUCCCGAGAACCCAGCUCUCGGGAACCGGUCUCUCAAACAGGGACCGGUCUCCCGGGGACCAGUCUCUCAGGCAGGAACCGGUUCCCGAACGCGAAAUCCCUUCUGCCUGGUUGUGCAGCUCUCGGGGACCGGUCUCCCCGACCUAGGACCGGUCCCUCACUGCGAAAAUGGCCCAGGAAGGGUUGUUUCAGGAAAUGAAAAGUUGAGGGGGCUAUCUGCAAAAUGGCCUAUAUGAGGGCUUGGGGACCCCUCUCUUCCUCUCAUUUGCUCUCUCUCCCUUUCACACUCUUUCCCUCUCUCUCUUUAGAAAGGAAAAGAAGGAAAAGAAGAAGGAAAGGAAGAGAAAGGAGAAGAAAGAAGAGGAGAGGAAGGAGAAGAAGUAGGAGAAGAAAAAGACAAAGGUGGAGAUCACCUUCCUCAUCUACUUCUUCUUCUUGGACUAAGCUUUUGAAGGUAAGCUUCUAGCCCUACAAUGGUGGAUUUCUUACAAUAGGGUUUUAUGGUUUAGAAAUGGGUCGAAUGGAACCUAUUGAAGGUUCGAGCUUGAAAUCGAAGCUCGCACCGCGGAUUUCUCCAUUGUUGAGACCUAGGGCUCAGAAUUGUGAUUUUGCCAAAUCUAGAGUUUUGAUCUAAUUUGAUGGGUCGCAAACCUAAUUGCUAGGUCUCUGAACACGUCGGCGAAGACAGUUCGUCGAUCCGUCGAGUAGGUGCGAAGUUAUCGCCUAAGGAGACCCUCGGAGCGUCGUUCUCGUCUGGAAGGCCAACGAGGCGUCGAAACGUCGGCGAAUCGCAUUCGAAGAGUCAUGGUAUCGCCACGAGGUGGGGAAGUGCCAUCCCGAAGCAGUCGAACUGCUUUCUAUGCCUGAGUACUAAUGUUGAUCAAUUACAUAUUGUGAUAUAGCAUUAUAGGGUGUUAAAUGUAAUUAUACAUAUCUUUGCAUGCUAGUGAUAGUUUGGGUUGGGGAUACAAUGAAUGAGAACCUAGUAUGCAUGAGUGGAAUACUAUGAGAUAGUUCGCCCCAUAUAUGAUGAAUAUGUCUAUGUGAAUAAGAACCUAGUGUAUUGGAAGCUAGUGUAUCAAGAACUUGUCAAGAGAACGAGUGGCAUCUAGUUAACAGUGAACCCAGGACGAGUGGCACUUAGUUAAUAUUGAACUUGAGAACUUUAGUGUGAUUGAGACACUAUGUGAUUGAGCAGAAGAACACAUGAUGUUAUAGUGACACCAAUUCUAGUUGGUUAGGGUGUUCCCAGUUUACGAGAUUGGAUCGAGCUCACUUAGCUUGUCUGCACCUAUGGAGGUAGCUCCUCACAGGUAGUGCACUCCGGAGUUUGUCACGCGAGGGGGCCAGUGUAGUGCCCUUGGACCAGUGUAGUGUCCGUAGGCGGUCUCGGGGUAGGUGAAUAGCUAGCCACCUCCCCUAUGAGACUUAGAGAUGUGAGACUGUGAGCGAACCUUACGUUCGCCGAGAGAUUGGGUAAUUGGAUGAAUGAUUUCAAUAUUGAGCAUGGUAGUAUGAUAGCCAGCCUUCUUACUAUGAGUCCCAUGCAUGCAUCAUAGUGGAUUGAGGCAUUGAUAGAUCAUAGUUCAUAGUUGCUCCUUACUAUUAAUGCUUUCAGUAUUACAUCUCUAUCUAUCUGCAUAUCUAUCUGUGCCUGCUUAGAUCUAGUGGGGAGAUCGGCAGAGUCGGCGGCCGAACCCACUGGGAACUAUUCGUAGUUCUCACUCCACCAUGUUGCAGGUCCGAGUUCGAGUGCCCCUAGUGAGGAUCGCGGCAAGAGCGUAGCGCCCUAGUGAUAUUAGUAGAGGUUUACUUUCCUUUAUGCAUUAGCUACACCCUGUACCUAUUUUGAAAGUAGAUGAUGUAUAGGGUGAGGAUUUUAAAGUGAUUGUACAUAUACUCUGGAAGAAUGUAAAAGAUGAAAUAAUUGUAUAAAGUUUAAUGAGUUAAUAGUUAAGUAUAUCUAUCUUUAUCACUUGUAUGCUUUACAUAUGUUGCUUGCUCUUGAUUGAUAGGCACUGUUUGUGCUCUCGUGGUUGUUGUAUGAUUGUGUAUGUAUUCAAGUUGUUUUCCUGGGAACUUGUUGUACACAAUCUAGCCGUUGGAGCCUUUGUCACGACCCAAGCUCCGCCAAUUUGGUCGGAUUCGAGCACGCGACAGACGCCGAACAGACAGUACCUCCCCUGUCCGCCCAAGGCUCCAACAACAAGUAUAAUGCAAGCAAAACCUCAAGGAGAAUUGCGAGAUAUACAAGGUUUGCACGAGAGAAAACAACAACUACAGUGAAAGCAUCGAAACUAAUUAAACAUCCAAUAUACAUGUCAUUUGAUUACAUUUGAAUCAAACACAAGUAGUUCAACACAUUUACAUUCAUUACAUUAUUUCUUGCAUUACCCAAAAUAAAAUUUACAUUACAUUGCUUUUACCUUACAAUUUCAACAUAGAAAAGUUGAAUACAUCAAGAGUAUGGUAUGCCUAUGUAACUCCGGGGUCGCUAUCUACGGCGCAACUCCCUUGCCUCGAUCCUCCGCCGCCCCGCUCGCGUACAGAUCUGCAGGGUUAGUGGUAAUGAGAACUAGAACGAAGUUCCCAGUGGGUUCGGCCACCGACCACGCCGAUUCGCCCACUAGGUCUAUUCAGGCAUAUGUAUUUCAAUAAAGAAGAAUAACAAACCAACUAAUGUACUUCUAAUACAAUGCCUGUAAGAAACAAUUCAUAGAUAGAUAUUCAUAUUCAAAUACAUGAUUACUAUGCAUGCAUGUCCUUUUUCACUUUCCUUUGGCCUUUACCCAAUUCAACCUGGGGUGCUCCUGGUUUACCCCAACUCACAGUCCACAUAUCCAUCUAAUGGGGGAGGCACAAGGCACUACCACCCGAAGGAUCUUCGCCGGGUACGUCCACCCGUGGUGCAUUUCUUCUCCGGAGUACACCGCUCGUGGAGGAGCGACCUCACACAAGCCGGAACCAAUACAUGUGAGUAUGAUCCCAUCCUCAAAUUUUGAGGAGGUAUGGCCAACCUGUCACAAUUCUCACUGUCUCAAUGUCGCUGAAUGGUUAUUACCUAUUCAUGCACAUACUGUCACUUGCCAAUGUCACGGUGGUCCUGAUGCCACAACACACAAUGUCACUUGGGUUAAACCUUGUUUAACUAUUCACUUAUCGAUGUCAAUCAAGUCACUAAUGUCCAUGUUGCCUUUGUUUACUACGGUCACGGUCAUUUCUUACAUUCACAUGCAUAUAGGGUCUUUCACUAUCUUUGUUCACAUGGAUCUAUAUCAUUACAAUAAUCUUACGCAGAUAAUUGUCACAACCAAUAUAUACUAUUCAUUACCCUACAUGCAAGAAUGCUAUAUAUCAACAUGCUCAAAAAGGGACAUAGACAUAGAAAGAGAUCCGGUAUUUCCGGAUAGCACCCCCCACCUUUAUGUGUCACAAGGAUACCACGGUUCCGAUUCCACGAUUUUUAGACUUGUUCGCCGCGAGCAACGACGAUCUGUACUAUUUCUGCUUCUUUUUCCAAUAUCUUCACGCACGCUCGUCGUAUCGCCGAACCGAGUGCACCAAUGCAUUUGUAGACCUACCAAUUAGGUUAAAAUGAAAUCAAAACCAAGUUUGAACUUCAAAAUCACAAAACCCUAAAUAUGGGUCCUUCACAACAUCACCUUCUCCAAUCAAGCCCCUAGCUUGACAAAACAUGGAGGAAAAGCCACCAUAGACCUCUCUAGAUGCUUCAACUAGAAGCAAAAAAUCCAAACCUAGCUCAAACUCAUAAGAACUCACCUUUGGAGUCCAAAGCUUCCCUUCAAAAGCCUUCCCUAGCUUGCUCUUCACCUUGGAGAGCUUCUUCUCCAAGCUUUUCUCCUCCAAACCCUCCUUGGUCCAAGCCCUAGAGAGAGAGGGAGAGAGAGAGGAGAGGUUUUUAGAGAGAGAGAGGGAAAGGUUUAUGUUGAGGUGUGAGGAAAUGAGAGCUAACCCUAACCCUUAGCUCUAUACAACCAUCUAAUUCAACAUUUGCACUUAAACCCCUCUCAAUUUCAUAUUUGCAAACAGCCCUCACUGGGCACUUUCGGGCUCGGGGACCGGUCUCUCCCCUUCAGGGACCGGUUCCCGAGAGCUGUCCUGCAACCUGCGCAGAAGGGGACCGUUCUCUCCCCGAUGAAACCGGUCUCGGGGGACCGGUCUCUCACCUAGGGACCGGUUCCCGAGAGCUCAGUUUCCAGGACUUAGCCGAUUUUUUCCUCUACUCGGUUUACCAACAUUCGGGAACCGGUCUCUCACCGAAGGGACCGGUCCCCUAGAGUAAAAUUCUGGAAAUUUUCCAGAAUUGCAGUUUCACUCUCUCGGAUCCCUUUAUACUUUAUAUAUAGGCUCCAAUUCACUUUUAGCCUAUAGUAACUCAUUCCUUUCUGCGCUCCGCUCGUUUUGACGGGACUCGACUCAACCUACGGGGUAGUGAUACGUUACAUUCCCCACCCCUUAAAAUUAUUUCGGCCGCGAAACUAAUUCACUCGUAAUUCAACAUCCAUACCUCAUCUUAGUUCCUCGAAGAGAUGAGGAUGACGUUCCUUCAUCACGUCCUCAAGCUCCCACGUUUCUUCUCUAUCGCCGUGUUCGCUCCAAUGGAUCUUAACAUACGAAAUUUCUCGAUUCCGUAGCUUUCGCACCUCCCGAUCAACAAUGUACGCCGGGAACUCCUCGUAGGCCAUGUCCUCUUGAAGUUCUGUCGGUAUAUACGAGAGAACAUGCUCCGGAUCGUGAACAUACUUGGGGAGAUUAGACACAUGGAACACAUCGUGCACCCCCGCAAGCCUCGGCGGUAAUGCUACUCUGUAGGCCACCGCGCCAACUCUUUCUAAGAUCUCGAAGGGUUCGACAAAUCGGGGACUUAACUUUCCCCGGACACCAAACCUCUUAACACCGCGCAUCGGCGAUACCUUCAGAAACACGCAGUCUCCAACCGCGAACUCGAUGUCCUUCCUUCGCUUAUCGGCAUAGCUCUUGUGCCUUGAUUGCGCCGUCACUAACCUUUGCCGGGCAAGACGAACUUUCUCCUAUGCCUCCCGAACAACUUCUGGGCCAAGAACAACUUUCUCGCCCACCUCGCUCUAAUGAAUUGGCUAGCGACACUUCCUUCCAUAUAGAGCUUCGAAUGGCGCCAUUGCAAUACUUUCUUGAUAGCUAUUGUUGUAUGCAAAUUCCGCCAUCGAUAAGUAAUCGUGCCACUCUCCACGAUAGUCAAGCACACAUGCUUGCAACAUGUCCUCGAGUAUCUGAAUGGUCCUCUUAGAUUGUCCAUCACUCUGAGGAUGAAACGCCGUGCUAAAAUCGAGCCGCGUGCCUAGAGUAUCUUGCAAGCUCCUCCAGAAAUGAGAAGUGAACCGAGGAUCUCGAUCUAAUACGAUCGACAUGGGAACCCCAUGUAGUCUCACUAUCUCGUCCAAGUGAACCUGGGCCAACUUAUCUCCUGACCACGUGGUGUGGAUCGGCAAAAAAGUGAGCCGAUUUCGUCAAAAGGUCCACAACCACCCAUAUGGCGUCAUGUCCAGCCUGCGAUCGGGGCAGCCCGACCACAAAGUCCAUCGCGACAUUCUCCCACUUCCACACGGGGAUCGGUAAGCUUUGCAGCUUCCCCGUGGAAAAACGACACUCGACUUUUACUUGUUGGCACGUCAAACAUUGCGCCACGAAUUCUCCGAUGUCCUUCUUCAUACCCGGCCACCAAUAAUGCAACUUUAAAUCCUUGUACAUCUUAGUGCCGCCCGGGUGAAUACUAUACGAGGAAUGAUGCGCCUCUUGCAACACCAUCUUACGAAUCUCAUCGUCCUUGGGUACGCACAAUCAGUUCCUGAAUCUAAGUGCACCAUCGGCUCCCACGCCGAAAUCACCGGCGCGCCCAUCACUAACAUCGUUCCACACCUUUUGGAGAUACGGAUCAUCAACUUACCGCUCCUUGAUUUGCUCCAACAAGGUCGGUCGAACUAUUAGUGCCGCCAAGAUAGUCGGAACUUCCGGCGCCACUACCUCCAAUCCAAACCACUGCAUUUCCUUAUGUAAUGCCGGCUGAUUUGUAAUCGUCGUCGCCAAGUUCUCAGCAAAUUUCCUACUCAGCGCAUCGGCCACCACGUUGGCUUUACCGGGGUGGUAUAGGAUAGUAAGAUCAUAAUCCUUUAUCAAUUCCAGCCAACGCCGCUGCCACAUAUUCAACUCUUUCUGGGUGAACAAAUACUUGAGGCUUUUGUGAUCGGUAUAUACCUCACAAUGCUCACCAUAUAGAUAAUGCCUCCAAAGCAUCAGCGCGAAAAUGACCGCCGCAAGCUCAAGAUCGUGGGUCGGGUAGUUCUUCUCGUAGCCUUUCAACUAGCGCGAAACAUACGCAAUGACUCGCCCAUUUUGCAUAAGAACACACCCAAGAUCGGUGUAAGAAGCAUCACUAUACACCAUGAAGCUCUCUCCCGGCGUUGGCAAAGCAAGUACCGGAGUAGACGUCAACUUCUUCUUCAACUCUUGGAAGCUUCGGUCGCAACCUUCGCUCCAAUCAAACCUUACUCCUUUGUUCGUAAGGUGUGUGGGAGGAGUGGUCAACUUCGCAAACCCCUCAACAAAACGCCUAUAAUAGCCCGCCAAUCCAAGAAAACUGCGGACUUCCGCCACGCUCGUAGGAUGGGGCCAAUCUCGAAUCGCCUCAAUCUUCCUCGGGUCCACCGAGAUCCCGCUCCCGAAUAUCACAUGACCUAAAAAGGUCACCUCCGGAAGCCAGAAUUUGCAUUUCUUGAGUUUAGCAUAAAGCUUCUCAUCUCGGAGUAUUUGCAACACGGUCCUUAGAUGUUCCUCGUGCUCUUCUUCACUCCGCGAAUACACCAACACGUCGUCGAUAAACACCACGACGCACUUAUCCAACAAUGGUCGAAAGACCCUAUUCAUCAAGUCCAUAAACGCUGUCGGGGCAUUGGUAAGCCCAAACGGCAUCACCGUAAACUCAUAAUGGCCAUACCGCGUACGGUACGCCGUUUUAUGCAGGUCUUUCGGUCGGAUUUUCAACUGAUGAUAUCCCGACUGAAGAUCUAUCUUCGAGUAUACCCGCAACCCCUGCAACUGAUCGAACAGGUCAUCUAUUCUUGGUAACGGGUACUUGUUCUUGAUUGUCACCUUGUUCAACUCGCGAUAAUCAACGCAGAGUCGAAGGGUGCCGUCCUUCUUCUUCACAAACAAUACUGGUGCUCCCCAGGGGGACACACUUGGCUUCACGAAACCUUUAUAAAGUAGGUCCUGCAACUGGGCCUUUAACUCUUUAAGCUCCACCGGUGCCAUUCUAUACGGAGCCUUUGAAACUGGCGCCGCACCGGAAAUCAAGUCAAUGUCGAACUCGACUUCCCGAUUUGGUGGUAGUCCCGGUAACUCUACAGGAAAUACGUCCGGGUAUUCACACACUACCCGAAUGUUCCCCAACUCCGGGCGCUCUUUUUGAGGGUCCACGAUGGUCGCCAAGUAAGCCUUGCAACCACCCUUGAUCAUCCUUUUCGCCCUCACCGUCGAUAUAGUCACCGCAAAACGCACGCCCUUACACGCUCGAUACUCAAACUCGUCUUGACCAGGCUCGCGAAAAGUGAUCACUCUACUGUCACAAUCGAUGCUGGCAUAGUACUUGGAGAGCCAAUUAACUCCCAAGAUAACAUCAAUGCCCCACAUCUGCUUAAGUACUAGCAAAUCCACCGGCAUAAUCCAGUCGCCGAUUUGAACCGGACAUGCUAGGCACUCGUCGUGGACUCUAAACGAGUGUUCCGGUGCGUUAACCCACCAAUAGUCAUAACUAUGUUCUAUGUCCAUGCCAUGUGUCUUAGCAAACGAGACAUCAAUGAAUGAAUGCGAUGCGCCCGUGUCAAAUAGCGCUCUUGCUCUAACACCAUUAAUCAAAAUAAUACCUGCCAUGACGUCGUCAGGUACGGCAGGCUGCUCCUCCACCUGAGUAGCGAAAACCCGUCCACUCCGUGCACGUGAUCCCUCCGGCUCUCGCGGUGAUGAAGCGCACCCAGCCGACAUGGCAGGUGGCAGUCCUGCGAGCUGUCGUGGAGCAUACUGAGCCGAAGCAGCUGACGAAGCCGGUGACGCGCCGCCCGGGCAAUCCCAUCUCAUGUGCCCCGCUUGGCCGCAUCGGAAACAUCUCCCGUCACGCUGAGGACAUUCACUCGGCCUAUGAUUCCCACCGCAAAUUACGCAUGGGUAGGAACUCAUCUGACUCCUUGUCUGGCUCCUAUCUCGCCGCCACUGCGAUCUAGGGUGCCGAGGGGGUCGCUUGGAACUCGACUGCCCCGCGGAACCACCAUCCGAUCACUUCUUAGACUUCUCCCUGUCCUUGUCCCUUUCAAACGCCUCGCGUUCCUCACGCGCAAUGGCGUUACCGCGCUCUAUCCAUAGCGCACGAUCAAGCACCUCUUCAUAGGUCUUCAGCCGAAGCGCCUGAACCAUCUUGAAUAUCUCCGGCCGCAACCCGCGCUCGAAGACCUCCGCCGGAUCUCGGUCACUAUGAACCAAGCCGGGAACGCAGUUAACCAUGUGCGAGAAUUCCCUUUCAUAUUCCCGCACCGUUUGGCUUCCCUGCCUCAACUUGCAAAAGUCCUCCUUGAUCUUCCGUUUGUCACUUUCCGGAAAGUACUCCAUUAGCAGAAUCUCCCGGAACGCCUCCCAAGUCAUAGUAGCCGGAUCCAAGGACCGACCACCCUUCACUCUCGUCCACCACGAUCGAGCCGGCCCCUCUAAACAGUGAGCCGCCAACCGAACCUUGUCCUUCUCGAGGGUGUAGAUGUCCUCGAAUAACGCCUCCAUCGUAGAAAGCCACGCCUCCAUCAACCAUGGGUCUUUCACAUCACCCACAAAGGUCGGAGGAUUAAACCGUUUGAAGGCCGUCAACACCGCCAACGACCGCUCCCGCUCGGCUUCAAGUACCUCCGGAAUAGGAGCCGAAGAACCUAAAGCUGUCGGAGGAAUAGCCGUCACCGGUGCCGCCGCCAUCGGCGCAGGUGAUAUAGGUGCAGGCGGGUCCUGAGGUACAGGUGCAGCCGCCGCCGCCUGUCGAGCCACCAACUCAUGGAGCUGUCCCAUUUGCUCCCCUUGCUGUCGCAUAGCCCCAGCCAAAGCUGCUACUUGGGCCCGCAACUCGCGAACUUCAUUAGAUCCAACCUGCUCUGGCACCUCAUCAGGCAAUGCCGGAGCGGUCCGUCGGGUAUAGCGUCUCGGUGACAUCUGUCCUGAAACGAAAUGCACACGUUAAUACUCGACAUUCAAGACUCUUACUCGUUUCCAAACAUCUACCCAAUCAAGCGAAAGCAAUCAAGUACGUUCACUUUCUACUCUCGGCAUUAUGUAGUCCUCCGCCCCACAUAAUACCUUGAAAGAAAACAACCGUCCCUUAAGUCCAUCUCUAUUUCCGUUUAGAGAAGUUCCAUAAGAACCCAAUCCAUUAGCCUUCGCAUAUCCAAGUCCACGUUAUACGUGUCUUAAUUCCUAAGGUCUCCGAUCCUAAGGUCCCUAAGUCCAUCCUAGACUUUUGCUUUCACAUUGCUCUGAUACCACCCUAUCUGUCACGCCCCAAGCUCCGCCAAUUUUGUCGGAUUCGAGCACGCAACAGACGCCGAACGGACAGUACCUCCCAUGUCCGCCCAAGGCUCCAACAACAAGUAUAAUGCAAGCAAAACCUCAAGGAGAAUUGUGAGAUAUACAAGCUUUGCACGAGGGCAAACAACAACUACAGUGAAAGCAUCGAAACUAAUUAAACAUCCAAUAUACAUGUCAUUUGAUUACAUUUGAAUCAAACACAAGUAGUUUAACACAUUUACAUUCAUUACAUUAUUUCUUGCAUUACCCAAAAUAAAAUUUACAUUAUAUCGGUUUUACCUUACAAUUUCAACAUAGAAAAGUUGAAUACAUCAAGAGUAGGGGAUGCCUAUGUAACUCCGGGGUCGCUAUCUACGGCGCGACUCCCUUGCCUCAAUCCUCUGCUGCCCCGCUCGUGUACGGAUCUGCAGGGUUAGUGGUAAUGAGAACUAGAACGAAGUUCCCAGUGGGUUCGGCCGCCGACCACGUCGAUUUGCCCACUAGGUCUAAUUCAGGCAUAUGUAUUUCAAUAAAGAAGAAUAACAAACCAACUAAUGUACUUCUAAUACAAUGCCUGCAAGAAACAAUUCAUAGAUAGAUAUUCAUAUUCAAAUACAUGAUUACUAUGCAUGCAUGUCCUUUUUCACUUUCCUUUGGCCGUUACCCAAUUCAACCUGGGGUGCUCCUGGUUUACCCCAAUUCACAGUCCACAUAUCCAUCUAACGGGGGAGGCAUAAGGCACUACCACCCGAAGGAUCUUCGCCGGGUAUGUCCACCCGUGGUGCAUUUCUUCUCCGAAAUACACCGCUCGUGGAGGAGAGACCUCACACAAGCCUGAACCAAUACAUGUGAGUAUGAUCCCAUCCUCAAAUUUUGAGGAGGUAUGGCUAACCUGUCACAAUUCUCACUGUCUCAAUGCCGCUGAAUGGUUAUUACCUAUUCAUGCACAUACUGUCACUUGCCAAUGUCACGGUGGUCCUGAUCCCACAACACAUAAUGUCACUUGGGUUAAACCUUGUUUAACUAUUCACUUAACGAUGUCAAUCAAGUCACUAAUGUCCAUGUUGCCUUUGUUUACUACGCUCACGGUCAUUUCUUACAUUCACAUGCAUAUAGGGUCUUUCACUAUCUUUCUUCACAUGGAUCUAUAUCAUUACAAUAAUCUUACGCAGAUAAUUGUCACAACCAACAUAUACUAUUCAUUACCCUACAUGCAAGAAUGCUAUAUAUCAACAUGCUCAAAAAGGGACAUAGACAUAGAAAGAGAUCUGGUGUUUUCGUAUAGCACCCCCCACCUUUAUGUGUCACAAAGAUGCCACGGUUCCGAUUCCACGAUUUUUAGACUUGUUCGCCGCGAGCAACGACGAUCUGUACUAUUUCUGCUUCUUUUUCCAAUAUCUUCGCGCACGCUCGUCGUAUCGCCGAACCGAGCGCACCGAUGCGUUUGUAGACCUACCAAUUAGGUUAAAAUGAGAUCACAACCAAGUUUGAAUCUCAAAAUCACAAAACCCUAAAUAUGGGUCCUUCACAACAUCACCUUCUCCAAUCAAGCCCCUAGCUUGACAAAACAUGGAGGAAAAGCCACCAUAGACCUCUCUAGAUGCUUCAACUAGAAGCAAAAAACCCAAACCUAGCUCAAACUCAUAAGAACUCACCUUUGGAGUCCAAAGCUUCCCUUUAAAAGCCUUCCCUAGCUUGCUCUUCACCUUGGAGAGCUUCUUCUCCAAGCUUUUCUCCUCCAAACCCUCCUUGGUCCAAGCCCUAGAGAGAGAGGGAGAGAGAGAGGAGAGGUUUUUAGAGAGAGAGAGGAAAAUGUUUAUGUUGAGGUGUGAGUAAAUGAGAGCUAACCCUAACCCUUAGCUCUAUACAACCAUCUCAUGCAACAUUUGCACUUAAACCCCUCUCAAUUUCAUAUUCGCAAACAGCCCUCAAUGGGCACUUUCGGGCUCGGGGACCGGUCUCUCCCCUUCAGGGACCGGUUCCCGAGAGCUGUCCUGCAACCUGCGCAGAAGGGGACCGGUCUCUCCCCGAUGAAACCGGUCUCCGGGGACCGGUCUCUCACCUAGGGACCGGUUCCCGAGAGCUCAGUUUCCAGGACUUAGCCGAUUUUUCCCUCUGCUCGGUUUACCAACGUUCGGGAACCGGUAUCUCACCCAAGGGACCGGACCCCGAGAGUAAAAUUCUGGGAAUUUUCCAGAAUUGCAGUUUCACUCUCUCGGGUCCCUUUAUACUUUAUAUAUAGGCUCCAAUUCACUUUUAGCCUAUAGUAACUCAUUCCUUUCCGUGUUCCGCUCGUUUUGACGGGACUCGGCUCAACCUACGGGGUAGUGAUACGUUACAUUCCCCACCCCUUAAAAUUGUUUCGGCCGCGAAACUAAUUCAAUCGUAAUUCAACAUCCAUACCUCAUCUUAGUUCCUCGAAGAGAUGAGGAUGACGUUCCUUUAUCACGUCCUCAAGCUCCCACGUUUCUUCUCUAUCGCCGUGUUCGCUCCAAUGGAUCUUAAGAUACGGAAUUUCUCGAUUCGGUAGCUUUCGCACCUCCCGAUCAAAAAUGUACGCCGGGAACUCCUCGUAGGUCAUAUCCUCUUGAUGUUCUGUCGGUAUAUACGAGAGAACAUGCUCCGGAUCGUGAACAUACCUGGGGAGAUUAGACACAUGGAACACAUCGUGCACCCCCGCAAGCCUCGGCGGUAAUGCUACUCUGUAGGCCACCGCGCCAACUCUUUCUAAGAUCUCGAAGGGUCCGACAAAUCGGGGACUUAACUUUCCCCGGACACCAAACCUCUUAACACCGCGCAUCGGCGAUACCUUCAGAAACACGCGGUCUCCAACCGCGAACUCGAUGUCCUUCCUUCGCUUAUCGGCAUAGCUCUUGUGCCUUGAUUGCGCCGUCACUAACCUUUGCCGGGCAAGACGAACUUUCUCCUCCGCCUCCCGAACAACUUCUGGGCCAAGAACAACUUUCUCGCCUACCUCGCUCCAAUGAAUUGGCGAGCGACACUUCCUUCCAUAUAGGGCUUCGAAUGACGCCAUUGUAAUACUUUCUUGAUAGCUAUUGUUGUAUGUAAAUUCCGCCAUCGAUAAGUAAUCGUGCCACCCUCCACGAUAGUCAAGGACACAUGCUCGCAACAUGUCCUCGAGUAUCUGAAUGGUCCUCUCAGAUUGUCCAUCACUCUGAGGAUGAAACGCCGUGCUAAAAUCGAGCCGCGUGCCUAGAGCAUCCUGCAAGCUCCUCCAUAAAUGAGAAGUGAACCGAGGAUCUCGAUCUGAUACGAUCGACACGGGAACCCCAUGUAGUCUCACUAUCUCAUCCAAGUAAACCUGGGCCAACUUAUCUCCUGACCACGUGGUGUGGAUCGGCAAAAAGUGAGCCAAUUUCGUCAAACGGUCCACAACCACCCAUAUGGCGUCAUGUCCAGCCUGCGAUCGGGGCAGCCCGACCACAAAGUCCAUCGCGACAUUCUCCCACUUCCAUACGGGGAUCAGUAAGCUUUGCAGCUUCCCCGCGGGAAAACGACGCUCGGCUUUUACUUGUUGGCACGUCAAACAUUGCGCCACGAAUUCUCCGAUGUCCUUCUUCAUACCCGGCCACCAAUAAUGCAACUUUAAAUCCUUGUACAUCUUAGUGCCGCCCGGGUGAAUACUAUACGGGAAAUGAUGCGCCUCUUGCAACACCAUCUUACGAAUCUCAUCGUCCUUGGGUACGCACAAUCGGUUCCUAAACCUAAGUGCACCAUCGGCUCCCACGCCGAAAUCACCGGCGCGCCCAUCACUAACAUUGUUCCGCACCUUUUGGAGAUACGGAUCAUCAACUUGCCGCUCCUUGAUUUGCUCCAACAAGGUCGGUCGAACUAUUAGUGCCGCCAAGAUAGUCGGAACUUCCGGCGCCACUACCUCCAAUCCAAAUCGCUGCAUUUCCUUAUGUAAUGCCGGCUGAUUUGUAAUCGCCGUCGCCAAGUUCUCAGCAGAUUUCCUACUCAGCGCAUCGGCCACCACGUUGGCUUUACCGGGGUGGUACAGGAUAGUUAGAUCAUAAUCCUUUAUCAAUUCCAGCCAACGCCGCUGCCACAUAUUCAACUCUUUCUGGGUGAACAAAUACUUGAGGCUUUUGUGAUCGGUAUAUACCUCACAAUGCUCACCAUAUAGAUAAUGCCUCCAAAGCUUCAGCGCGAAAACAACCGCCGCAAGCUCAAGAUCGUGGGUCGGGUAGUUCUUCUCGUAGCCUUUCAGCUGGCGCGAAGCAUACGCAAUGACUCGCCCAUUUUGCAUAAGAACACACCGUAGACCGGUGUAGGAAGCAUCACUAUACACCACGAAGCUCUCUCCCGGCGUUGGCAAAGCAAGUACCGGAGUAGACGUCAACUUCUUCUUCAACUCUUGGAAGCUUCGGUCGCAACCUUCGCUCCAAUCAAUCCUUACUCCUUUGUGAGUAAGGCGUGUGAGAGGAGUGGUCAACUUCGCAAACCCCUCAACAAAACGCCUAUAAUAGCCCGCCAAUCCAAGAAAACUGUGGACUUCCGCCACGCUCGUAGGAUGGGGCCAAUCUCGAAUCGCCUCUAUCUUCCUUGGGUCCACCGAGAUCCCACUCCCGGAUAUCACAUGGCCUAAGAAGGUCACCUCCGAAAGCCAGAAUUCGCAUUUCUUGAGUUUAGCAUAAAGGUUCUCAUCUCGGAUUAUUUGCAACACCAUCUUACGAAUCUCAUCGUCCUUAGGUACGCACAAUCGGUUCCUGAAUCUAAGUGCACCAUCGGCUCCCACGCCGAAAUCAGCGGCGCGCCCAUCACUAACAUUGUUCCGCACCUUUUAGAGAUACGGAUCAUCAACUUGCCGCUCCUUGAUUUGCUCCAACAAGGUCGGUCGAACUAUUAGUGCCGCCAAGAUAGUCGGAACUUCCGGCGCCACUACCUCCAAUCCAAACCGCUACAUUUCCUUAUGUAAUGCCGGGAGUUCACACAUCUUCUGAACUGCGUCCCGGACGUGGCGACGACGGAGCAAGAUCCAGCAGAUUACUUCGUGAGAGGACUCCGACCCGGCGUGUUUCGUAUGGUGCAUGCCUUCAAGUUUCAUACUUUCACGGAGGCUUUGGACCGUGCCUUAUGGGUCAAGCACGGGAAUGCCUGCGAGCAUGAGGACCGUGAGGUGUUCGAGAAGGAUAAGGGGAAGAAGCGACCGGGCGGUGGUUCGGGGGGACAAUCGAGUUCCAAAAGGCCCCCGAAAUAUCCACGAUCACAACCGAAGGGCCGCGGAGCGCAACGGUGUAUCUUUUGCGGCGGUGACCACCGACCCAGUAUCUGUGAUCAGCGCCGAGGAAAGUGCUUUAGAUGCAGGCAAGCAGGGCACAUCACACGCGACUGCCCUCAAGGAGGGGCUUUAUCUGCUCUAUCUGUUGCAUCAGCCCCGACAAUUUCGGCUCGUUAUGCAAUGCCACCUGCUGCGGCGUCGGCUGGACGUGCGGCGGCACCACGUCAACCUGAACCAGCACGAUCGUCUCCGAGCGGAAGGAUGUAUGCCACUCAAGUGCAAGAAGAGGAGCCCACCGAAGCCGAGGAGCGCAAUGUGGUAGCAGGUAUGGUGUUGGUUCAUGGUGUUCGAGCAAGAGCUCUUUUUGAUACUGGCGCCUCUCACUCGUUCAUUAACCGGUCGUUUGCACAAGUACAUGACAUUGAGAUUAGUCUCGGGGAGAAUGUGUGGCGUGUAGAAGGACCCGGACGAUCAUUCCUUGUUAGGAAGCGCUGUUUGGCAUGCCCAAUACAAGUAGGCGACUGGAUUAUGCCGGUCGACCUGUUGGUGCUAAAGAGGUUGAAAGAGUUCGACGUUAUAUUGGGCAUGGACUGGCUCUCGAAGUAUUAUGUGUCUAUUGACUGUAAGACUAGAGUGAUCACAUUUCGGGAGCCGGGACACGAGGAGUUCACGUAUCGAGUUUGCAAGAGUUCGUGCUUCACCGCGACGGUGUCGGCGACAAGAGCGAGGAAGCUAGUUAAUAGCGGUUGUACGGCUUACUUGGCGACCGUUAUGGAAGUUGACCGAGUGGUGCCGGCUCUAGAAGAGUUAGAGGUUGUGCGAGAGUUUCCGGACGUGUUUCCUACGGAGUUACCGGGGAUGCCGCCGGACCGGGAAAUUGAGUUUAUGAUAGACUUGCUUCCCGGGACCGCGCCGAUAUCCAAGGCCCCGUAUUGCAUGGCGCCGGCUGAGUUAAGGGAGUUGAGGGAUCAGUUGCAGGACCUCCUCGACAAGGAGUUCAUUAGGCCGAGCAUGUCACCGUGGGGAGCCCCAGUAUUGUUUGUGCACAAGAAGGAUGGAUCUUUUCGACUUUGCGUGGAUUACCGCGAGUUGAAUAAGGUCACUGUGAAGAACAAGUACCCGUUACCCCGUUACCCCGCAUCGACGACUUGUUUGAUCAAUUAUAGGGGUCGCGAGUGUACUCGAAGAUUGACCUCCAAUCCGGCUACCAUCAAUUGAAGAUUAAGUCGGAGGAUGUUCCGAAGACCGCGUUCUGCACGCGGUAUGGACACUACGAGUUCACCGUGAUGCCGUUUGGGCUUACAAAUGCCCCGGCCGCGUUCAUGAGCUUGAUGAACCGAGUGUUCAGGCAGUGCUUAGACCGAUUUGUCGUAGUUUUUAUAGACGACAUCUUGGUCUAUUCGCGCGAUGAAGAGGAGCACGCAGAGCAUUUGCGCACCGUACUUCAAAUCCUUCGGGAGAAGAAGUUGUACGCAAAGUUGAAGAAGUGUGACUUCUGGCUCCGGGAAGUUACUUUUCUCGGGCAUGUUGUUUCCGAGGGCGGUGUUUCUGUUGACCCGAGAAAAAUAGAGGCUAUUGAGAAUUGGCCGCGCCCGACGAAUGUCGCUGAGGUCCGAAGUUUUGUGGGCCUAGCACGUUAUUACCGACGGUUUGUGGAGGGCUUCUCGAAGAUCGUGACUCCACUCACCCGUCUGACGCAGAAGGGCGAAGAUCGUGACUCCACUCACCCGUCUGACGCAGAAGGGCACCCGAUUUAUUUGGAGCGACGAGUAUGACCGGAGUUUUAAAGAGUUGAAGGAGAGGUUAACUUCAACUCCGGUACUCGCCUUACCGGUGCAGGGUGACGAUUAUGUAGUGUAUAGCGACGCAUCCUAUCUGGGUCUGGGGUGUGUACUGAUGCAAGGCGGGAGGGUCAUUGCUUAUGCAUCCCGUCAGUUGAAAAGCUACGAGAAGAACUACCCCAUACAUGAUUUGGAAUUGGCGGCGGUGGUCUUUGCUCUGAAGCUUUGGAGACACUAUCUGUAUGGUGCUCAUUGCGAGAUCUACACCGACCAUAAGAGUUUGAAAUACUUGUUUACCCAGAAGGAGCUGAACAUGCGGCAACGGCGGUGGUUAGAAUUGCUUAAGGAUUGCGAUGUUGAUAUCCUUUACCACCCCGGGAAAGCGAAUGUAGUCGCAGACGCGCAUAGUCGGAAGUCGGCGGAGAACCUCGCUUUAUGGGUUACAAGCCAGACGCCCCCGCAGUUGCAAAUGGGGAAGAUGGAUCUCGAGGUGGUGGCUCCGAAAAUUUCGGCUAGGUUGACGACGUUGGUGGUCCAACCGACCUUAUUGGAGAGGAUCAAGAAUCUACAGUCGGCGGACCCGAAGCUCCAGAAGGUGCGGCACCAUGUUGAAAGUGGCCGUGGCGGAGAUUUCAGCAUGGAUGCAAGUGGUGCAGUACGGUUUCGAAACCGGUGGUGUGUGCCAAAUGACGAGGAGCUUCGCAAGUUGAUUUUGCAAGAAGCGCAUUGGUCACCUUAUGUCGACCACCCGGGCGGCACCAAGAUGUUUCACGAGCUGAAGACACUAUAUUGGUGGCCGGGAAUGAAGACUGAUAUUGGGCGCUUCGUGGCGAAGUGUUUAGUAUGCUAACAAGUGAAGGCGGAGCGUCGAUUUCCAGCGGGGAAAUUUCAGAGUUUAUCUAUUCCCGUCUGAAAAUAGGAUGACAUAUCGAUGGACUUCAUCGUUGGCUUACCUCGUUCGACAGGUGGCCACGACGCAAUUUGGGUGAUUGUGGAUUGUUUGACGAAAUCAGCGCACUUUCUGCCGAUCCACAACACUUGGGCAGGUGAGAAGCUAGCGCAGGUGUAUCUUGAUGAGAUUGUGAGGCUACAUGGGGUGCCGAAGUCGAUUGUAUCAGAUCGAGACCCCAAGUUCACUUCACACUUUUGGAGAAGCCUGCAGGAAGCCCUUGGCACGCGACUCGAGUUCAGUACCGCCUUUCAUCCUUAGACUGAUGGACAGACAGAGAGAACCAUUCAGACCCUGGAGGAUAUAUUGCGGGCGUGUGCCAUUGAUUACAAGGGGAAUUGGUGUAACACCUGCCGAUGGCCGAAUUCGCCUACAACAACAGCUGUCACGCGAGUGUGGGGAUGGCACCAUUCGAGGCUCUUUAUGGGCGGAAGUGCCGAUCUCCCAUUCAUUGAAGUGAUGUGGGCGAGCGGGCAGAGUUCGGUCCAGACGUGUUGCGAGAAGCGGAGGAGAAAGUCCACCUUGCUCGCAAGAGAUUGCUUACGGCGCAAUCUCGACAGAAGAGUUAUUCGGAUAAGCGCCGUAGAGACUUAGAAUUCGCGGUGGGUGACCGCGUGUUCUUGAAAGUUUCGCUGAUGAGAGGCGUGAAAAGGUUUGGGGUGCGAGGAAAGUUGAGUCAUCGUUAUGUUGGCCCUUAUGAGAUUUUGGAGCGGAUUGGGACGGUGGCUUACCGGCUUGCGUUGCCACCCAAGCUUGCGGGUGUGCACAAUGUAUUCCACGUCUCCAAUCUCCGCAAGUAUGUGCAUGACCCUGAGCACGUCUUGGUCUACGAGCCACCGGAAUUACAGGAAGAUAUGAGUUACGAAGAGUUUCAGGUGGAGAUCCUAGCUCGAGAAGUACGCAAGUUGAGAAGUCGCGAAAUUCCUUAUGUUCGAGUCCGGUGGAGCAAUCAUGGCGAUCGCGAAGCCACCUGGGAGCUCGAGGAGGAGAUGAAAGCGAAUCAUCCUCACUUAUUUGAAGGUUGAGCUGAGGUAUGGAUCUAGAGUUUAAAUUCUGGAUGAAUUUAGUAUCGUUGAGUUCGUUUUGAGGACGAAACUCUUUUAAGGUGGGGAGAAUGUAAGGAAAGUGAAUUCUCGAAAUCCGGGGAUUAGACUUCGUUGGGAAUCGACUGAUUGUCGAGUGUGUAAGCUUCGGAAAGUCCGAAGGUAGUAGUAAUGCGUAAAGUGCAUUAAGGAAAGGUCCGCGAGAGCACCAGUGCAAAAGCUGCACUGGAGCAGAAAUGCUCUCGGGGACCGGUCCCUGGCGAGGAGGGACCGGUCCCAUUGGGCUGGGCUGCGGGGGUCUUUGAUGAGACCGGUCCCUGGCAGG